rnacentral:lncRNA from 1 species
UUUUUUUUUUUUUUUUUUUCCUGAAUCCUUUUUUCUUCUUAAGCUCAUCCUUGAAAAUGCAGUCAAAACAUACGGUGGCGGAGUUAGAAAAAAUUCUCAGUGUGGGCAAAAAUAACAUUAAAAUUUUUUACCAACUUUUCUUUUUUUAGUUUUGUAAGCAGAAAAAUAUUCAUCAACAAGUUGAAAUGAAAAAUCUUUUUUAGCUUACUUCAAAUGAAAUUUUGUGGUUCAUAUAUCUUUUUAGAAUAUUAGUUCAUGAAUCAAGUUAGAGGACCAAAUGAUUCUUUCGCUUCCUUCGUAAGAAAACUCCAAAAGUACACUUGAGAUUAUAUCAAAAUUCUACGGGCACUGUAGAAAUUUAAGGAGGCUCCACAAUCCUCACCUCAAACAUAUACAUACCGUUCUGAGAGGGGACCAACAUUUUCCCAUUAUCCUAAGAGUUUAAUGUCCAAUCUUUCACUAAUAUUAACAACCAGACUCACUAAACUAAUUGGUUGGGGGUUGCACUGUAUCUAUCCAUCUAUCUAUAUCUAAUGGAGACAACUCAGGAGAAAUGAACCACGAAUUUGAUGUUGUAGAAGCGUCCGCAAACUAGGGUUCUUUUUCAUCAUAAAGGGCUUGACAAGCUUUGCUGCUUUAGGUGUUUCAUCAUCAUAAAGGCCUUGUUUUGAAAACAUUCCAUCAAAUAUCAUGUCCAGUUCUGGAUGCUUGUUGUGAUCGCAGCUUAAACAAUGCUGACAAUUACCCUUUGAGCUUUAUGCUGAUCCGUCAUCCAAGAGGUGGUUGUUCCCCAUCUAAUGGACAAAAGAUGAUUUAUGACCUGAUUACCGGAAGACUCGUAGGAAAUCAGAAACACCUAAAGAUCUUUUACAACAUUAGCUGUUUGGCUUGGGAUUUUCCUUGAAUUGGUAACAAAAGUUGGCAUGAAAGAAGAGAUGCAACUGACUAGAGUAGAGGCUCGAGAUAGAGACGAGUACCAAACUUUAUUUACAUUUCGUCUUAACAAUUCAUUGAUCAAACAAGUCUUUAACGGAGUAAUGCUUUAUUAUUUCGAAGUGAUGACUUUUCUUUCUAGGUAUAGAGAGUAGAGGUUAUGUGACUAGGCUUUUUUGUUUUGGAAGACUAUUGAGUCCAUAGAUUCUUUUCUCUGGUAGGCACCGUUUCACUUUGGCUUUGAAGGAAAGAGAAGGAAAGAAAAGGAAAGAGCUCUAGUGAAAAAGAAAAGAAAGGAGAGUAAAGGAAAUUCGAGUCCAUCCAUCUUAUUUGGAUUACGGAAAGAGGGUAAAGAAAAUCAUUAUGCGUUAGUUAGUUACGUUUUUGUUUAUAGUUUAAAAGUUAAAUUUAUAAACAUAUCAUCGGUAUUUUUUAUAAAGAAAAUUUCAAAAAAAUUUUUAAAGUAAUUUUGGUGUCCCUUCUCUCGAUUUCCACCCACUUUUGGACAAAAAAUAUACUGAUAAAAAAAAUAACUAAUACUUAUCACUCCCUUUUUCCUUCCAAUCCUUUCCUCUCCCUCCUAAAAAAUCAAUCAAACAAUAAAAAAUUUUAUCCUUCGAUUCCCUUUUCUUUCAGUCCCAUUCCCUCGAAACAAACCGUGCCUAAAAUUAGUGUACUAAGGCUGAUAAAUCUACUACAUCACUUGGCUCUUGGGCACUUUGGUGCAGGACUACAAAAGUUCGAUGGGUCAGAUUCAUACCCAUUACAUCUGUUCCACAACAUGAUCGGAGCAUCAUCAUUCAUUCGUCAAAUUGACAUGAUUGAGCCCGUUUAAAAAUUUUAGUUGGACUAAUCUUCGGUCUUCACUUUAUUCGGCCCAAUGUAAAAUAUUCCUGCGUGCUGCAUGCACUGUGCCCACUCCCAUUAUUAAUUGCAGAUAUCCAUAGCCCAAGGCAACCCAAAAAAGGGGAUAAAUUGCCAGGCAGGCAAGAGGCACCAGAAUCUUCUACACUUUCGGUCAAGACGCUUCUGCUUCGGCUACUGCAAUUCAGUCGGAGUUAUAUAUAUAUAUAUAUAUAUAUAUAUAUAGUAGAAGUAAACCCUACAUAGGGUUUUAGUAGCAUAUAAUAAUCACCGUCACGCCCCCUUCCUGGGAGCUUUAGAGAGGUGAGAUUUUGGUUUUGCACAAGCCAUCCAACCCAGCAUAUAUGCUACUAGUACUACGAUUCUGUUAGCUACGCACUGCACUGGUGGUGUUGGGUGGCUUGUGCAAAAUCCACAAUCUUUUCCUCUUUCUCACUUUAUUUUUUUUUUUUUAUAAUUGUCCAACGCGGCAAAUCCAGUGAUUGUGAAAAAGGUAAAGCUGUUUCAGUAUUUUUUUUUUUUAAAUUUUUUCUGAUUAAUGUGUGUCCAGGUGAGUUGUCGGACUUGUAGGUUUGAAGGAAGCAGGAUGAUUUUGACGGCAUAGAUGUUCCAUUGAUUUGUGGCCUUUAUUCUAUAGGUACUGAUAAAUUUGGAGUCCGGCGCUGUUCUGUUCUCUGCUUGUAUGACGGGAUGUACUUUUUAAUAGUCCCUAUCUCUGUUAGUGGUGAUUAUAUUUUGUAAGCAAUAAUCGGAUGCAUUUUGAGAGUCGAGUACUCAAUUCAGAAACAUUUUGAUAUAGAUUCAGUCAAUCUUCUUUUUUCUGAUCAACCAUUUGAACAAAUUGUGUUUUGUAAGCUCAUCAUUUGCAGAUCAGCUAGGCCAUCUGGUUCCUUUGCUGCGGCUCUUUUUUCCAAGAAAAUUACGACGAAGAAGGAUCCGGGUUGUUUACCUGGAACCGCAGACUACAGUUGACAGUCAGACCUGGCCCAGGAGAUUCAAAUUUGCAUAGGACGGCUCGGGUUUUUUUUUUUUUGGAGACUCUUAUAUGAUAAAUCAAGAAAUUAAUUGUGUGGUGCGAUCGCAGCAGGCACCGGCCCCUAAUCCGACGAAGACGGCUAAACUUUUCUUUUCUAUAGAACAUAUUGUUCGCCACUAUACACGCAUUUCAACGAUGAGAUAUACGUAUGUCAAGAUUCACAGUAACAUCUUUCAAGAACAAAACAGCUGCAAAUAACUCUUCCCAAAAAACGAAAAAGUAGGCAGCUGCAACCGGACAACGUUUGCGUAUUUAAGGAAAAGGUCCUACGGUUUCCGGGAAUACAACUAAUUUCCUCUCCUCUCCUCCUGUCAGCUCUUUGGCCUGCUGCAACUAAUUUCCUCUCCUCUUGCCAGCUCUAUGGCCCGCUGCAACUAACAGAACCUUUCCAAUAAAGCCUGUGUGAAGUCCAACAGCCACUGCCGCUCCACCGAUAGCUACCCACCUCCAAUCAAUUCCACCGUCAUUCUUGUGGCACUGGAUGUCCCUUCUGUUAGCUUUUUCUUCUUCCUUGCGAUUUGGCUCUAAUAAGGCGUAAGCGCCCUCAUCAGAAGAAAUUCUUGUGGUGGUCCUUGCCAUCAGAGCACACCUGGAUGGUGAUUCUUCUGACCUCCUCGCGAUCUGGUAUGCUCUUAAGCCAGCAUGCAAUUUCUUAACAGUUCCCCACAUCCCAUGACGUACACCAAGUUUAGCCACGUCCCUGGGGAUCCCCAUAUCUUCAUAGUGGACUAGCAUCACCUCACAUGCAGACAACUGGCCAUCCCCUUUAAGUGAGUGCACUACACCCAUAUCAUGAAGAUCAAAUUAGUAGACGCGGUCAAUGAAUCUCACUGAUGUAUGAGUUACCCGGCAGUACUUACCAGGCUUAAUAAUCCAGCUGGAAAAGUAUAAAUCAACACGUCUGGGUCUGUCUCUUCUAGGCACAGCUGGAUGCGGUACUCCCUGGUGAUGCAGCGAACAGAAGUGUCAUGAAGAAGUACCAAUAUUUGCAACAUGGAGCUAAAUUUAUGAGAAAAAUAAGUCAGCAGUUCAUAGUGUCGUCAAACAGCAUGAAGUUGCAAACUAGAAUUCCCCAAUAAUAUGCAAAUUCAUACCUUGGUUACACAAUAGUAUGUUCCCCCAGCUUCCCAUAUCCUUCUUCCAAUAAUAUAUUCUCUGUCACUGCAAAAAAAGGGAAACUGCAUACCAGAAGCACAGAAGAAUCCCAUCAGUUUAGAAACUAUUUGACCAGAUGAGAACUUAUGAUAAUUAUUGCAGUAAAACUGAUAUGGGCCUCAUCAUCAACAAACCUUUUUAGUCCAGCGUACUAUCAUGGUCCCAUUAAGGGGGCACUCCUCCAAGAUUUCGACAGACAAAAUCAUGGGAUCCCAUUUAAGACGGAACUCAUCAUCCCAGAAGAAAUCUCUGACUAAAUCAGGAGUUGCAUCUUCAAAGACAGUUUUGCUUCUAAACACUACAGGGCCAGUCUAAGAGACAAGAUUCGCUAUCAGGUAAUGUUUUGACAGUGUAAGAAUGUAUUGGAGAAAAGUAUGAACUCUUUCUUUAAAUUGCACAAGAAACAUAAACACAUUGUUUCUGUAGGACACCAUCAAAAGUUCAGGAUGCAAGUGACUUAUUACAUGCUAACACUAAUGUAUGGACACAAUGACCAUGCAAGGCAAUCAACAUCUUUUUAUCCAUGGUUUUUCUUGCUAGUUGACAAAUAUCAGCAGUACAUAGACUAGCAAGGUGCUCUCUUUGGGUUGAAGGAGAACAAUGGAAUCAGCUUAUUGCAUGGUUGUUCCAGAUGAAUACCAUUUUGCUGAGGUAAUAGAUGCAGCCCAAUUUCUGGAACAUUUUCCCCCCUUUUUUGGCUCAUCACUGUAAAACAUUCUAGUUCUAUCCCAAGUCACAUCUACAAAAUCACAGAGAAAGUUGAAGAGUUCCGCAAACUUCCCAAAAGAUUAGCGGCAAAAUGGCAAUGGGAAACAAAGUUUACAAGUCCAAUCUAUUUGAACCACGUUGAUUAAUCAACGAUAUACGCUUAAAAAAGCCAGUGACAGUAGUCAACAUGCUCAAUGUUGAUGAUAGUCAACAAGAAAAAUUUGACAUCAAAUGGUGCUCAUGCAGACUGUUUCAGUGUGUUAACGAACUAAACAAAUAUUACUUCUAAGGACAAAAUUAAGGAGGAAGAGUUUAAGUUGGGAAUACACACGUAAUAUAUCUAGAUUGAGAUCCAAUUUUACCUCAGCCUCGUAGCGCCAAGCUCGGUAUGCUAAGUUGGGAGUGGAGCGCUCCAUCAUACUCUGCCAAGCCAUCUCUCCAUCUUUUCCAUCAAGAAGAUGUAGCAAGUGUGCCAAAUCAUUCUCCGUGACAACAUUCUUGUCUGUCUCAAGUGUUCCAGCGGUUGGCCUUCAAAAGACACCAAGACAAUAUUAUGGAAAAGUUCUUUAAGCAAGGUCAGAGAUUGCACACGCACUAACGAUAGGGUAAAAGUUGAAGGAAGCCAAAAAUAGUAGAUAUGUGUAGUUACAGGAUCCCAAUUCCUUAUUUGGUAAAGAUAAGCCAGUAUGCCUGAGAGAUUGUGCAUCCAAACAUAAGAGAAUGUAACUUGAAAUUUUGAGUGUCUUCUACAACAGAUAGAGCAGUCAUUACAGGAUAAACACGACCAGUAGAGCGGUCACUACAGGAUAACUAAUGAUUCUCAGAUUUAUGAUAGACAGAUCUAUAACAAUGUCACCAGAACUUUCCAAGUGAUGUUUAAGGAGGACUGAACUUGCACAUAAAAUUACCUAAAUCUUUCUUUAAUUCCAUUCAACACUAAGUGCUAUCUGAAGAUGAAAAGAAAGCAAACACAAAUAGGCACAUACAGAACUUAGUGAACAAAGAUUUCUUCUUCCUCUCAAGACCUGAAAUGCCACUAAACCUUCAACUGUGAUCACACAAGUAAACCUAUUAACUAAUUAAGCAGAUAAUUAGAACAGAAACAUAAUCAAUCAACUCCAAUGCUGUUCAACAGAGAGAAUCAACAACAAAUUUAAAGAGCACAAUUCGGCACACACAUAAACCUAAUCAAGAAAAAAAGCUAAAAAAUUUCAAAACUUCAAUAAAAUCGCAACAUGCAUUACCACGAUAAUUAUUACCGUCAAAUGCGCAAAAUUCUAAAAAAUAAAGUGAUUGCUUUUAAAUCUACCUGAUAUCAUCACUGCUAGAUCUAGCCUCAACAGUCUGAGCCGAAAGCGAUGGAAAAUCCACAGCCGGCUGCUCUACCUGAGCCGAAGCCAAAGAGAAGUCCUUCCUAAUCCUGCCAUGGAGCUUAGACAAGAGUUUACGGGUAAGCGAGAACGCGGAGAAGGCGGUGAAGGCGAACCAAAGCUGGCGAGCGCCAAAACCCGCAGGAACGGUCCAAGCGAACCGGAACUUAGACCGGAGACCGAGAAAUAGCAGUCCGGUCCACCUAGGCCUCCACGACCAGCCGAUAAAGAGUCCGAUCGUUACCGCGAGCCAAAUCGGAACGAGGCAGAGUAAAACGUCGACGAACGUUUCCAAUACCGUCUGUGACCUGAACAUAUCCCUCACUGUUUGGUUGAAAACGUCCAUUUUUUCCUAAUUUUUUUGGAAAAUUUUUCUUCGGAAAACGGAUGACGCUGAGGCGAGGGAGAAUUAUUUAAGCCAUGGCUGGACGGUGGCGCAGAAAGGAGGAGGAAGAAGGCGGAGGUGAAAGAUAUCGGAAAUGAAUUAGUUGGGUGGGGUCCAGGCAACUGGGUGAGUUUUAUGACGUGGACGGAAGAUAAGCGUUGAUCUGGAUUUUAGUGUGGAUAAGGUUUUGUGGUGGGCGCGUGAAGGAAACUGGGGUUGGUUUGACAGAGAGGAGAGCUCUCUCGUUCAAAAUUAAUCUGAAGUAUAAUAGGAGGGGGAAUUUAUCCCAAUGCAGCCUUUGUUGAAUUAUCAUUUUUUGGAGAAAAAUUUUUAUAUUUUUCGUAAGCACAUAUUCUAAUCAUCAUUUUAUUUGAUAUAUAUCAAAUUAUUAUAAUAUAUUUUUAUACAAAAAUUUCUAAAAAUAACAAUUGAAACGGGAUGUAACUUUAAAAUCCUAUGGAACAAACUUUGGUAAGUUUAAAUUUGAUUCACAAGAAGGAAAAAUUUUCAAUUCUUGAAUAUGACUCACUAAUGCAAGGUUCAUUAUUAGAGCUUAGGGCUUAAAACAAGUUCGGCCCAUGUUCACAAUUUAAUAUAUAAUUAUAUAUUUAAUAUUCGUAUGUUAUUAUAUAAUUAUUUGUAAACUAUGAAUUUUUUUAGUUAUAAUAUGCAUAGUUUCAUAUAUUGUUAUAUAUACAUUAUAAAUACUUGAAUUAGGUAAUUAUUUGGACUUGACUUUAAUCGAGUAUCCCUUAUAAGACCUAGAUAUGACUCACAUUUAUUUCGAGCCUAAAUCUAGGUCCAAAUUGUAUCAAACUUAGUUAAACGCAACACUUACCUCUAUUUUCUCCGAUUGAGUGGACCGGACCGAGUUCAGAUAGACCUAACCCCAUUAACAUGGUAAGAAAAAGAUAAAGUCAAUGCACACACUAAUGGAAAGUUAGUGCGUUUUUAGGUUAAUAAACUCCUAUAUACAAAUCCUUCUGUAUUUGUAUAUACUUUUCAUAAUUAACUUUACUUUUUAAAAAAUGUUAACACCUAAAAAUUUGUUCUUGACAUCUUUAUCUUUGUUUUUUUUUUUUCUGUGACUCUAUUUGCCGUGAUUGGAAUUGUAAAACUUCUGUCCAUUUCAAUUUAGGGACCUGGUUGUGUGAGAUCAAUCCCUUGGAGUGAUCAGCUCAAAAAUUAAUCUGCCUCCAAAUCUUUUAACUGUUCCGAGCACGAGAAUCCUAAUCCUAAAUAUGGUAGAAAUUGCCCUCGACCGCGGUCUUGCGCGUGGCAAGAUUUAUUUAUUUAUUUAUUUUGCUGUUGGUGGGCUGGGUGCUGGAGGGCGUAUUGCUCGGAUAGCCCAUAAAAAUUUUUGCCACGCGCAAAAAUUAAGGCGCAGGCUGCCUUAAAAAUUGUUUUAUACUUUUUUUUUUUUUGAGAACAACGUGUGAUUUGUGAUAUCGCUACACGACUUAGCAAAUGGAGCUAUGCGCGAGAGUUACGCGUGGUUAUCAGAUUGCUGCAGCGACGGAGUCAGUGCACAAUAAAUAUUAGCUCAAAUUUAAAAUGUAUUGGUUCGAAAAAUUUUUAGUAUAAUUAAUUAUUUGUUAUAAAUAUGUCAAUUAAUUUACUUAAUAUUACAAUUUUUUUUUAGAAAAAAUUAUUUACUGCUUGUGAUUAACUUCAUCAUUUUAUAAAAUUAUAUAGAAUUUUAAAAUAUGCACAGGGCUACAAGACGUGCGCAUGACUGUACUAUCACAGAAAUAGUCAUUUUGUUUGUAAUUCAUAUUAUUAGGCGUCUAAAAAAGUUCAAUGUUACGUAAUAAAAUAUACUAGAAAAACAAAGUAGUUUUCCGUAAUAUAUUUUGUUUCAAGGUUUACUUAUAGAACUGUAGGAGCAAUUGUAAAGAUUUUAACACUUUCGAGGAGGAGUUGCAAAAUGCAAAGUUAGAAGGAAUAUUAUCAAAAUUCAAGGUAACAAGCAAUACUAGAAAAUCAAAAAUUUUGUAGGCUAUUCUACAAUUUUCAAAAAAUGUACAGAAAGAAGGUUGCCGACGCUAACGACCUAAUCUUCUCUAUGUACAGAGCCUUUCUCUUUAAAAUUAUCCAAGGCCACAUUGGGGUUAUGACCAUCACCAAUCUAGCUGCCAGUUAGUACAGUCCCACCAGCUUGGACAAUGUCAAGUUUGCCACCAAUAACAUAGUACCAUCUUUUAUGUUCCACCACAGGGUAUAUUACAAUUGGAACAUAUUUGUAAGUAGUUUUUUUUUUUUUUUCUACAAACACCUUCUAAGUUUAAUGGCCUUCAGAAAACUAGAAUCUUUUAUAUUUUAUAAUUUGGCAAAAUGAGUCAAAACCCUAAUGGAAAUUAAUGACCAUCAUUAUAAUUUUUUUUCUUAGAUUUGUGGUGUAUAGGCAAAUUGCAGGUUAGAGAGAGAGAGAGCUCAGUUAGCUUCUCAGAUUAAAUUAAUUUUUGAGAAUUGCAGGUUAGAGAGAGAGAGAGCUCAGUUAGCUUCUCAGAUUAAAUUAAUUUUUGAGAAAAAUUUGCAUUUGAUCAGAAUUGUUCGUCGAGAAAUUGAUUUUCUACAUCAUGCUGAUGCAGGCAAAUAUGUUAUUGGAAAAAAAAAAAAAAGAAAAAGAGCAAAAAAAAAAAAGAAAAAGAACAAGAGGGGUUGUAACACAUCAAGCUUUUUGGCUGUCGUAACAGCUUUUAGAUUUUGUUGUGAAGGAAUUUGUCUUUCAAGCCUUCAAAUGGGCUUUCCUUAUCUUUUCAAAAUUUUUGGUGUUGAAUGCUUUUUAGAGUUUUGAGUUUAGUCAAGUCAGGGAAAAGUACAUAAUCAAUGUGUUUGAACUUUGAACAAAACCAUCUUUCCAUAAUGUGAUUGCUUUUAUUGGAGCAUAUAAUACGGCUUUGCCCCUUUUUUUCUUUCUUGUACAUAGUCCACUAGUCUAUUCCUACUUCUCUUUUCUUGAACAAGCACCUCUAUUACGUAACUUUGACUCAUGCAAAACACACACACACACACACACACACAAAGAAUGGAAUUUUUAGGCACACAUAAGACUGCCUUUUUUUUUUUUUUGGUGAUUAUGUUGAUGUUGCGGACAAUUUUCAAUCAAUAAUUUGGUUCGUUGAGAAACUUCAAAUCAACUUCAAGAAUAUCUAUCCUAGGGAAACCUUUCAAAUCAAUAUUCAAUUCUUCACACCAGCACAAAAGUCUUGAGCUAAAGGGAAGGCUUCUACUGUAUCUACAAAAAUCAUUGGGCACUCAUACGUACACAUUAAUUGAUUUCUUCGUUGCCAUACACAAGAAUAUAGAGAGGUUUGUCUUUGUAUCCGUGUGUAUAAAAUGGUGAAGCAAUUUCUACUUUUUUUUUUGUACGGGUAAGUAAUUGCCAAAACAAUCAACAAGAAAGGCAUAAAAAGUAAAGUUUUGUCGACUAACGCCAUCAUUCACAUUGGUUUUGGCAACUUCAUAUUUUUGCGUCAUUGCAAUGAUCAGAAUUCCAAUCAAGAUGGUCAUGUUGCCCCUUUUCCUAUGGAGAUUGUAACACGGUCAUCUGAGCUGCAAUCAUAACAACUGAAUGGGGGUUUCAAUGAUUACAGAAUUCUAUCAUUUUGGGUUCCAUGGUUGAAUGGAAAAGUACUUUAGUGAUCUUUCUGUGAUUACUUCACAUUAGAACUACUAGCUAGAAUUGCCUUCAAAUUGACAUUUCAUUUCCUGUACCUACUACCUAAUUUAACCAGUCUCAUAUUUCAGCAAUCUAAUUACCCCUAAAUAAGGAUGCUUCAUAAGUUCAUAGAAAAGGGAUGGUGCAUUAUUAUCUAUGCAGGGUCAAAUUACUGUAAUUUCGUCUCUGUGAUCUAACUUAUCCCACCUAGUUAGAUGAUCAUGAAAUCUUAUCCCUUUCUCGUCUCCUCUUGAAAAAACAAAAAAGAAAAACACUCAAGAAGGUUGGAUUAAUAGGUUUGUAUUCAGAUUUCUACAGUGUUUUUUUUUUGUUUUUUUUCCGCCCGGCAACUAUGCAUCUGUCAAGACAUGCCUCGAGCAAAUAUUAAACAUUAAUCUGAAGUCCUAGAUGUGACUACCAAAUUCAGGUCAAUCAAACUUGGCAUCGUUCACAUAUCAAUAUUCUGAUCAUGAUUAGAUUCACAAGGCAAUCUAUUCCAGUCUUCGUGCAACAUCGAAGCAACGCCAGGUGUUACCAAGUUUCAGGUCAAGAACUGAAAAACACGCAAGAAUUAAUGUUAUGUAACAAGUGGAUGUGACCCCAGGGCUUAGAAUCUGAACCACACGGUAGCAGGAAGGGAGGGGCCAAUGGCUAGAAAUGUCUUGAACAAACCCACAUGGUAAUGUAGGAUUUUCAUGUACUUAUGUCCCACGUUGUAGUAAAAGGAUUAGAUUGGGGACAAGGCUAGAGGGAUUGCUAUGAUGGCUGUCUUAAGGUAAAAAUUCAAAGACACCUUUGAUUGAUUGGAAAUCCGUUAGGAUUUCUUUCACUGCUCUAAUCUCAUGCAAAGAUAAAGUGAAUUAAAGGGAUCUUGCUUGACUCAUAUUCUUUGUUACCGUCUGCAAGCAAAGUCCUAAGUCCAGAUGGAUAAAGAUUCAAACCCUGAAAAGAUGAAACCUAACUUUGUUAGCUUUUCCAAUAUUAUUGGUUAGUUUAUUUUCUCUUUAGUCAUAUAUUCACACGAACCAUAUUGCCAGAGUUCAACGAGUUAGGUGAAAAAUGUAAAAAGGAUACCGAGGACAAAGGUUGCAUGUGGAGGCUAGCUCACUUCAAAGAAGAAAAUGUACCCUACAUUUUACAGCUAAUUUUCGAUCCACUUCUUUAUGAUCCAUUUCUUUUCCUAAGGAAAGCAAAACUGCACUAUAUUAGUAGCAUUUAGACACGGAAAAAACAAAAAGAAAGAUUGGGAUUGCCAUCAUCCAUCAGUUAGCUUAGCUUGACCAACUACUAGUACUGCUGUUUUCCACAUUACUUCCUUGCGCCUAAUCUGUCUCCCUAUCUUGAUAAAUAGUCCACACGCAUUCUAAACCUGAAAAGUGUGGAUUGAUAAACAACUGAAUUUCCUUUUAAUGUCACUUCUACAAUGCAUUAGAAGAGACUAAGAACAACGAAGAAAAAAAAAAAGAAGAAAGAAACGGAUUAAUUGCCACCAAUGAAGCAUGACUUGUAGAUUGAGCUAGAACACACUACAACUCUAGUCUUGUUCCACAACACUUAAAAUCUCUUGCAACAAAGCUACCUUGAUCAAUUGGGUACAGCAGACAAACAAGGUUAGAAAUUGACGAAACAGUUGGUGCCUGAAAAGUUUUCUCAAAUCACUUCUAAAAUGCAUUAAAAAUGCUUGCAGCGAAUUUUUAAACAAGAAAGCUCCAUUCUAAUUAUUAGAACUGAUCAAUCAACAGAUGCCGUUUCUUUGAAUUUAAUAACCUUAGUAUCCCUAGCUAUGCAGUAUGCAUCUGUGUGUGUAAUUGUCUUUUGCUUGAUUCAAAUUCAAAGCCUACCUGCAGACAUGGCUGGAGGUUGCAUCAAAGCAGACAUCCGCAGAUGACAAUGAUAGCACUUAGGUAAUAUGUAAGAUGAGAGCGUGGAGGAGCCUGCUAUUCAGUUGACUUGAUUAUAACAAGAACAAGAAGCUUUGAGUUGGGGGGAAUGAAGCCUGGUCCGAGAUCAUUCAUCAGAUGAUGUCUGUCCCAAUUUCUUGGCUUCAAUGAAUGGUCUCGAACCAGACAGCAUUCCCCUCAACAUUUCAAGAGAGAGAGAGAGAUCAGAAAGGAAGAAGAUGUUUGAUUUUGAAAGGGCCAUGCAUUUGGUUCGAUAUUCACGGGGUACUACUACUUAUAUACGUAGGAUUUAGGAGGGUUGUGUUUGGAAGUCAGACAGAUGCAGUUUUUCUCUUUUCUUUUUCACUUUCUACACCUUCCAACCCAUGCUUUACACACACUAUAUUAUAAGGUGGUGUGUGUGACUCUUGAUAUUGAGCAACCUAUGAUUCAAUAAAAGUCGGUAAUUACAUUGUUGGACUUGGUGUGGAGGAAUGAAGACAAACAAAUUGGGCACUUUUUAGCAUCAUUUUCAAGUUAAGGGGUGGCAGCAAGUCAAGACAAUUUUUGGCUGUCAAUGAAGGGCCUUCAGAAAACUAGAAUCUUUUAUAUUUUAUAAUUUGGCAAAAUGAGUCAAAACCCUAAUGGAAAUUAAUGACCAUCAUUAUAAUUUUUUUUCUUAGAUUUGUGGUGUAUAGGCAAAUUGCAGGUUAGAGAGAGAGAGAGCUCAGUUAGCUUCUCAGAUUAAAUUAAUUUUUGAGAAUUGCAGGUUAGAGAGAGAGAGAGCUCAGUUAGCUUCUCAGAUUAAAUUAAUUUUUGAGAAAAAUUUGCAUUUGAUCAGAAUUGUUCGUCGAGAAAUUGAUUUUCUACAUCAUGCUGAUGCAGGCAAAUAUGUUAUUGGAAAAAAAAAAAAAAGAAAAAGAGCAAAAAAAAAAAAGAAAAAGAACAAGAGGGGUUGUAACACAUCAAGCUUUUUGGCUGUCGUAACAGCUUUUAGAUUUUGUUGUGAAGGAAUUUGUCUUUCAAGCCUUCAAAUGGGCUUUCCUUAUCUUUUCAAAAUUUUUGGUGUUGAAUGCUUUUUAGAGUUUUGAGUUUAGUCAAGUCACGGAAAAGUACAUAAUCAAUGUGUUUGAACUUUGAACAAUCCAUCUUUCCAUAAUGUGAUUGCUUUUAUUGGAGCAUAUAAUACGGCUUUGCCCCUUUUUUUCUUUCUUGUACAUAGUCCACUAGUCUAUUUCUACUUCUCUUUUCUUGAACAAGCACCUCUAUUACGUAACUUUGACUCAUGCAAAACACACACACACACACACACAAAGAAUGGAAUUUUUAGGCACACAUAAGACAGCUUUUUUUUUUUCGUGAUUAUGUUGAUGUUGCGGACAAUUUUCAAUCAAUAAUUUGGUUCGUUGAGAAACUUCAAAUCAACUUCAAGAAUAUCCUAAGGAAACCUUUCAAAUCAAUAUUCAAUUCUUCACACCAGCACAAAAGUCUUGAGCUAAAGGGAAGGCUUCUACUGUAUCUACAAAAUCAUUUAGCACUCAUACGUACACACUAGUCAAUGUUUUCUUAUUUGCCAUACACAAGAAUAUAGAGGUUUGUCUUUGUAUCUGUGUGUAUAAAACGGUGAAGCAAUUUCUACUUUUUUUUGUACGGGUAAAUAAUUGCCAAUACAAUCAACAAGAAAGGCAUAAAAAGUAAAGUUUUGUCGACUAACGCCAUCAUUCACAUUGGUUUUGGCAACUUCAUAUUUUUGCGUCAUUGCAAUGAUCAGAAUUCCAAUCAAGAUGGUCAUGUUGCCCCUUUUCCUAUGGAGAUUGUAACACAGUCAUCUGAGCUGCAAUCAUAACAACUGAAUGGGGGUUUCAAUGAUUACAGAAUUCUAUCAUUUUGGAUUCCACGGUUGAAUGGAAAAGUACUUUAGUGAUCUUUCUGUGAUUACUUCACAUUAGAACUACUAGAAUUGCCUUCAAAUUGACAUUUCAUUUCCUGUACCUACUACCUAAUUUAACAAGUCUCAUCUUUCAGCAAUCUAAUUACCCCGAAAUAAGGAUAUAUACUUCAUAAGUUCAUAGAAAAGGGAUGAUGCAUUAUUAUUUUCUAAUGCAAUUUAUCUAUGCAGGGUCAAAUUACUGUAAUUUCGUCUCCGUGAUCUAACUUAUCCCACUUAGUUAGAUGAUCAUGAAAUCUCAUCCCUUUCUCACUUAUAAGGCUUCGAGUCUCCUCUUGAAAAAACAAAAAAGAAAAACACUCAAGAAGGUAGGAUUAAUAGGUUUGUAUUCAGAUUUCUUCAGUGUUAUUUUUUUGUUCUUUUUUCCCCCAGCAACUAUGUAUCAAUCAAGACAUGCCUCGAGCAAAUAUUAAACAUUAAUCUGGCAUCUUUCACAUAUCAAUAUUUUGAUCAUGAUUAGAUUCACAUGGCAAUCUAUUCCAGUCUUCGUGCAACAUCGAAGCAACGCCAGGUGUUACCAAGUUCCAGGUCAAGAACUGAAAAACACGCAAGAAUUAAUGUUAUGUAACAAGUUGAUGUGACCCCAGGGCUUAGAAUCUGAACCACACGGUAGCAGGAAGGGAGGGGCCAUUGGCUAAAAAUGUCUAGAACAAACCCACAUGGUAAUGUAGGAUUUUCAUGUACUUAUGUCCCACGUUGUAGUAAAAGGAUUAGAUUGGGGACAAGGCUAGAGGGAUUGCUAUGAUGGCUGUCUUAAGGUAAAAAUUCAAAGACACCUUUGAUUGAUUGGAAAUCCGUUAGGAUUUCUUUCACUGCUCUAAUCUCAUGCAAAGAUAAAGUGAAUUAAAGGGAUCUUGCUUGACUCAUAUUCUUUGUUACCGUCUGCAAGCAAAGUCCUAAGUCCAGAUGGAUAAAGAUUCAAACCCUGAAAAGAUGAAACCUAACUUUGUUAGCUUUUCCAAUAUUAUUGGUUAGUUUAUUUUCUCUUUAGUCAUAUAUUCACACGAACCAUAUUGCUUGAGUUCAACGAGUUAGGUGAAAAAUGUAAAAAGGAUACCGAGGACAAAGGUUGCAUGUGGAAGCUAGCUCACUUCAAAGAAGAAAAUGUACCCUCCAUUUUACAGCUAAUUUUCGAUCCACUUCUUUAUGAUCCAUUUCUUUUCCUAAGGAAAGCAAGACUGCACUAUAUUAGUAGUAUUUAGACAAAAAAACAAAAAGAAAGAUUGGGAUUGCUAUCAUCCAUCAGUUAGCUUAGCUUGACCAACUACUAGUACUGCUGUUUUCCACAUUACUUCCUUGCGCCUAAUCUAUCUCCCUAUCUUGAUAAAUUGUCCACACGCAUUCUAAACCUGAAAAGUUUGGAUUGAUAAACAACUGAAUUUCCUUUGAAUGUCACUUCUAAAAUGCAUUAGAAGAGACUACGAACAAUGAAGAAAAAAAAAGAGAAAGAAAUGGAUUAAUUGCCACCAAUGAAGCAUGACUUGUAGAUUGAGCUAGAACACACUACAACUCUAGUCUUGUUCCACAACACUUAAAAUCUCUUGCAACAAAGCUACCUUGAUCAAUUGGGUACAGCAGACAAACAAGGUUAGAAAUUGACGAAACAGUUGGUGUCUGAACAGUUUUCUCAAAUCACUUCUAAAAUGCAUUAAAAAUGCUUGCAGCGAAUUUUUAAACAAGAAAGUGCCAUUCUAAUUAUUAGAACUGAUCAAUCAACAGAUGCCGUUUCUUUGAAUUUAAUAAACUUAGUAUCCCUAGCUAUGCAGUAUGCAUCUGUGUGUGUGUGUGUGUAAUUGUCUUUUGCUUGAUUCAAAUUCAAAGCCUACCUGCAGACAUGGCUGGAGGUUGCAUCAAAGCAGACAUCCGCAGAUGACAAUGAUAGUACUUAGGUAAUAUGUAAGAUGAGAGCAUGGAGGAGCCUGCUAUUCAGUUGACUUGAUUAUAACAAGAACAAGAAGCUUUGGGUUGGGGGGAAUGAAGCCUGGUCCGAGAUCAUUCAUCAGAUGAUGUCUGUCUCAAUUUCUUGGCUUCAAUGAAUGGUCUCGAACCAGACAGCAUUCCCCUCAACAUUUCAAGAGAGAGAGAGAAGGAGAGAGAGAGAGAUCAGAAAGGAAGAAGAUGUUUGAUUUUGAAAGGGCCAUGCAUUUGGUUCCAUAUUCACGGGGUACUACUACUUAUAUACGUAGGAUUUAGGAGGGUUGUGUUUGGAAGUCAGACAGACGCAGUUUUUCUCUUUUCUUUUUCACUUUCUACACCUUCCAACCCAUGCUUCACACACAGUAUAUUAUAAGGUGGUGUGUGUUGAUAUUGAGCAACCUAUGAUUCAAUAAAAGUCAGUAAUUACAUUGUUGGACUUGGUGUGGAGGAAUGAAGACAAACAAAUUGGGCACUUUUUAGUAUCAUUUUCAAGUUAAGGGGUGGCAGCAAGUCAAGACAAUUUUUGGCUGUCAAUGAAGGGAGGCCAGACCAAGUUAGAAGACCUUUUUACAAGCAAAUGUGGCAUCAAAGCCGGGACUAGCGAAUUCUUUACUCUACUUUCUCUAUCCUAUAGCGUUGAGGCAUAUGUUUAAUUUCCUAACAACUUCAAUUGGUGUUGGUUAAAAAAAAAAAAGAAAAGAAUGCAUCAAUUCUUGCUAUAGUUCCUAUGGAUUCUACCACUAUAAGGCAUUAAUAAAUUAUGAGUACUUUUUUGGAGUAGAAAUUGGGAGUCAAUUUAUAAAAUGAUGUGGCUGUUGUUUUCUAUUUGAGGAAAAGGAGGAAAGGAGAAGUGGAUCUUUAUCAAUAAAGGUUUUGUGCAAAUUAUGUGAUUCCAAGCUUCAAUUGAAAGAAUACAAAAGUUUGGCUAAUUAAAGCUUGGCUGAGCAGGACCAAUAAAGUUAAAAAAAGAUUUGGGAAAUGGGAGUGAGACACAAAAGUUGAGAGAGAAGAAAAAAGUGUUCCUAAGUGACAUUAUUAACUGUAUUAGAUUAUUUUUCACUGUGCUCAAUUAACUUUGACAGACCAGAAAAAAUGAUUGAAAAUAAGUGGGCACACUAUUAUUUUUUUUUUAAAAAAAGGCAUUUCUGUGAAAGAAGUCAUAUACACUUUUGUCGUAUAGGGCCAUAAUCAAAUUUAGCCAUCACAAAUCAGACUGCACAGAAAUGCCAGCUAAAAUUGAUCAUUAUUAUACUGCCGACGCUUUUUUGUUGCUAUUAGAAUUAUGUGAUCAAUAAUUUACAACACGUUUAAAUCAAAGAAAUAUGUACAGAAAAUAUAGUGAAGCUGAGGAAAGUCACCAAUGCCCAUGUUGAAAUAUUGAACAAAUAGACUAUUAGAGCCUUGUACAGAAAAAAAAAUGUUGACUUCUGGUUUCAGAUAUUUUUAACAAUGCCAAUGAAAUACUUUAGUAAGGCUAUGAGUAGACAAGGAAAAGGCCUAUUAUCAUGGGGCAAACCAAGAAUACCUAGCGGAGAAAAAAAAAUAGUUUCAAGACUGCUGUUUUCAGUCCAAAUUCCCCAUGAAGGAAAAGCUAAUUCCAUUCCUCAUCCCAGCUCAUCUUCACCCCUCCUUACCAACAAGCCACCGUCCGGAACGUGAGAGGGGCCAGUGCGGUUGGGGUUUGGUAUAGUUCGAUUCGAUUAUCGUAAAAGUGAUAUACAUAAAUAAAAUAUUUGACAUUGAUUUAAUAUAACAUUAUGACGUAUUUGUAUAUCAAAAAUUUAAAUAUGUACAACGACUCGAUGGAAUCACAUAAAAGCAUAAUUGUACUGAAUCUAUACCCUGCUAGAAAAACCAAGAGUUGGGUUUGGACUUUUUUCCAUGGUACUGCAAUUCAUGUGACAUUGACUCGAGCAUUUGUGCAUUAUCCAAUAAACCUAAUUGAUUAUGACAAAAGUCAAUCCAUAAAUAACUUUAUAGUAAUUUUCAACAAUAUUGUUUGGAGACUUAAUAUGCUUUUGCUUUGUAGAUAGGAGGACAAACAUCUGACUUUGGAGUUUGGACUUGCAGACUAAUAAUACAUGUACUUUUACCGUAAGGGUUUGACAUUAUUGUAAGGUACAAGGGCUUACAUGUGGAACCAUCCAACAGAAUUUCUGGAAUUUGCAUUACUCUCGAUGCCAGCAUGUCUUAUGACUGGAUCACACCAUCAAACUCAAUUAUAAAGUCUCCCAAGACGACUUGUGAGCAAAUAAUUCGCACCAAGCAAAACAACUUGGAACCCGUUUGAAUUGCUGUUUCUUGGAGUUUUUUAGAAAAAAAUACUACAACGAUUCGAUAUAUGUGAAAUACAUCCAAGCCCUUUGGAGUUGGUUCGGAUGAUUUCGAGAUAGUUUAGUUAGAUCCCGAGAUCGUGUGUUCGAAUCAUCUCUCUACCGCUUGUGUAUCCUUGGGGGGCGGGGUGCACAGGCGCAAGGAAAUUAUUCUGACAAAACUGGGAUACUUCCUGUGUUGAAAAAAAAAAAAAAAGAUACAAGAUGAUUGAAAAAUAUAUACACGGAACGCAGAAAAUUUUUUUGAGGAAGAAUGGCUUUCUAAAGAGAUUGUGAAAUGCUUGGUCAACCUUCGUGGUCAUACUCAUAAUCCCCAGGAUAAGUAGCUAAACUAGAAUUAACAUGCAACCAAAUUCAACAACCCAAGGUAUAUCAUCAAAAGACAGUAGCCUUUUAUGUUCAGGAAUACUGGAGAAUAUCAAGGAUGUUCCCCUUAAAAAGUCAUAUUUUUGCUGAAUAUUUACAACACUUCAACUUGAGGCACUUUAAGCUCUGUUGGAAUCUAUUCUUUUGUUUGCAAACUUUAUAUAAUUAGCCUCUCCACAAUUGCACUAAGCAAAGGUUCCAGCACAACAAGAGCACAUCUUAAUGGGGGUCCCCAUUGCCUGUAACUUUAUAUCCAUCAUUGAAUUUAGACUUGAGAAGCAACCAUCGGUAAGUGCUGUGUAACACUUGUAACUAACUGGACAACCUUCCUUUUUGGAAUCGGCAAAUUCUAUUUAGCUUUCUUUCUACACUCUUUUGGGAAUUUUGGGUUGGGGAAAGGAAGAACAUCAUAACGCAAUGUUGCAAAAAUUGUACAGCAGUUCUGACUAAAUUAAAACAUGAAAAACAGUGGCAUCAGAUAUCCACUCGAUUAGCUGCACACGAACUUGCCACUCCUUACUUGUGAAUGCAAUUCCUUGCAUUUAUAAACAUAAAACAUAAUUCAAGAAAUGCUAUCCAGUUAUUCCAGAGAGAAAGGAAAUCAUAUACAACAAAGACAGUCCUUCAGACAUGGGACUUGGGCAUAUAACUUACAAAAUUUACAGUUCACAAAUAGAAAAUAAAUACACAGCCCUCUGCAAGCAUUUCUUGCAGUUAAUAGAAACCAAAUGCACGUCAUCAGAAUGGUGACAAGACAAAAGAAAAGCUCUUUCUUCAAUAAAUUAGAAGACUGACCAAAGACUAGGAUGGAAAACAGAUGCCCAUAUUCAUCCUGCCAAUAAAUUUAGAUGCAAAUGGUUCAUCAACUUGUCCUGGUUCAUGCUCAUCAUUGGAUAUCUGAGUGGUGAUAGGAAUCUGGAUAUUGACACGAUCUUUCCUUCUUAUGGAAGAAAUGGUGGCAUCAUCUCUGUAAAUAUUGAGGCUAGCUAUCCUCUUUUCAAGAGCAACUGCUUCACUGCAGCUCUUUCUUCUACCCAACUUUGGUGAUUUUGCACGAGUUGGAGGUUGCUAUGCCAUAAAACAGAGUUUAGUACUAUUCAGCAGUAAUUUGUUUUGGGUUGAUGAGCCUCAUCAAGAAAUUAUAACGCUAAUAAAUGAAAACUUUUAAUGCUUCAAUAGUGCAUAAAAAACACAUUGUAAUAUCUCCAAGCUUAUAAAGCAAAUAACCCGUCUCAUACCUUUUUCAGUUCAGCCUUGGGAGGUGGACCCUCAUGGUAGAAACUUGGCAUUGGGCUUGCCUUAAAUAACAAACUUUUUCUGAAUUGUUUGAUAGCUGCUUCUUUCUCUUCCUAAAAAUGUUCCAGAAUUGGAGGAAACAAAAGACGACAUAUAUAUCAGUCUCCAUGUGCUUAAGACGUAAAGGAUCAAGAUCAAGACAACUAAAAUGUGAUAUGAAGUAUUUCUAUAUUUGGUUGCUAGAUAAGAUAAGGAAAGGGGAUCUGAAGUUGUCUGGACAUAGUAAAAGUUAUACCUUUGUCCUCUCCUCCCACUGAAUCUUCUUAGCUUCAAGUGCUUGAUGUUUCUCUUCUAAUUUUGUGUAAAACUAUCAUAAACAAUCAAAAGAAAAGAAGAAUGGGGAUAGUUUAGUCCCAUUGGGUUUUAGAUAUAUUGCUCACGAAAAUGAGGCUUAGAAGAACGUCAUAUGCUGAGAGUUUAAGAAGCAUUACUUCCUUCCUCCUCUCUGCCCGUUCAGUACAUCUGAACACAGGGGCUGAUGCAUUAGUAGUCCUGGACUUUCUUGUUGAUGCCAAAACGCUAGACAUAGUUAAGGAACUAAUCUAACCACAGUGCAAAAGUCCAGAAGGAAUAUAACUAACUAGAGAGAAAGAGUGCUUAUUGAGUAAGAAAGUCCUCCAGGGAGAAGGAUACGAAGAAGCAACAGAAAAUGAGUCUUCUUCACCAGGGUGCUUCUUAUUAUUGGGCUGCAAUGGCUUUCUUUGAGCUGCAGGUGAGACUGGCUGCAGCAACAGAAAGGUACAUAGUCAAUCAUCAGCAUAAUGUAAUUCCACAACCAGUAGCAAAAAAGACUAUAAACUUCACCAAGUUAGAGAUUUUCCUAUUAUCACAUCUCAAUUCAGCUUGUUGGCUUUCCCUGUGAAAAAAAGAGCACCCUUGCUUAUACUACAUUAAUGUCUUCUUCUAACUCCUGUUCAUAAAUGUAUAUGUUUUAAAAGUGAACUAUUAAACUUUAAGUUGUAAAAACAUGUAUACAAAAGAACUACCCAUCAACGAAACCACAUCUUGUGUAACUCUAUCAUGCACCAAUGAUUUUUGGGUAGAAUCAGCUUAGCUUAUAAUCAUAUUCUAGAUAGUUCAGCAUCCACAAGUAACUAGUUUUUCCAAUGAGCAAAGAGAUAAGAGAAGAUUUAAAAAAUGAAGGAACUGAUAGGGGUUUUGCCAUUUCAUAAUUUCAUACUAUGUAGCUGGAACUUUCUGGAACAUAGAGGAGCUGGCUCUUACUUAUAGUAACCUGUUGUGUGCACAACCUAUAGCUGAUGAUAUUCUAUGAUUGGUAUUAUGAAUAGGAAGUACUGCAUGAGACAAAGUGUACAACCCUUAGAUCGAAAUAUAAUUAAGACACAAAAAAGAUGCUAGAAAGGAUUCUUUCCCUUUGAGAAAAGCCACCCAAGAGAUAAAAGUAUGACUUGAAGAAGACUGAGUGCUACCACAAGAAUUCAUAGAAAAAAAAAAGGAGGAAAAAAAAGUGUAAACUAUGAGCUUCGGUGCAUAGCAGAUACCUGAAUCAGCCUUGUACCACUUUUAUGCACGGCAGCGCUAAUCUUUGAUGUUUUAGUAGCAACACCAUUGUCAGUUUCAGUUCCAACCGGACGAGCUCCAAAUGAAGCACGCUUUGCAGUCGCCAAUGCAAAUGGCUGUGGAAUAGUGCAUUUGGUUUUACAGUUUCCAGAAGGAGACUUUGUCUUAGAUUUCGCUGGAACUUUUGUCUUCCUACUAUCAUCUUUUACUUCAGGGCUUUCGGAUUUCAGCUCCUCAGGUGCCCCAGUCUCACAUUUUGGGACUAGUACAGCUUGCUCAACAUUCUUAAUGUGACAGACUGUAGAUACAACUGACUUUUCACUGGUGCAUUCCUUCACGUCAUACUCAUUCACUUCAGCUUUCUCUUCUAUAACAUUGGACUGAACAUCCCCAUUGACAAGUCCACAUGUCUCCAUAACAUGAUGAGGGUUGGUGGUCACAUCAUUUUCCUCGGUGGGAGUACCACUUGAGUAUGUCACCACAGAAUUGGGUUCUUUGUCCAUACAGAUCUCAGUAACUUCCAUGCCCAUUGGACUGCUAAAACAGACCACUUCCAUUGGAAGAUUAAUCAAAUGCUUCGUCAAAUGCUAUUUAUAAGACUAAGACAAACAAGUUGUUGACUGGCGAACCUAUUAGAUGUGUGUACCAUUAUUUUAAGGAGCUAAUGCAGGUAUAACAUCAAACUUGAAGUUGUCAAUUGGAUUUUUAUUUUUUUAAAUGAUUCUAAUCUACCCUUCACUUAUAAGAUUAAGAAAGUAAAAAAAUACCAGAUUCAACUCAUGUGGAGAUUACCCAUUAUAUUACAGGUGAGCCCCAAGAAAAAGCACAAAAGCUUUCUGAACAAUUUUAUAGUUUUUUAUAAUGCAAACACCAUAAUUUGAAUUCCAAGAUCAGUUUAAAUAAGAGUAAGACAAGAAAAUUGAAAUUUUUACGACAUUUUAAGUACAUGAGAAAAAUCUUAAAUAAACGGAGGCAAACUAAUUAACCAGAUUACUCUAGUGGAACAUAAUUACACAAGGAUCCACAACAAAAGAGAUACAUACGUACUCAGACUUCAUGUUUUUGAUAGUUGCAAAGCUCAAUUAACCUUUAUGUUUAUGGCCAUUCUCACCAUCUACCAAUGUACUCAAACUAAUGCGUACUCAGAAUUAGGAUAAGUGACUUAAAACAAAAGAAAAUGGACUCAAGAUGCAUAAUGAGGGCUGAAAAUUGAGCUUAUACUAUACCAACUAUUGCUGGCACCAAGGACUACAUUGGACGGUAGAAAUCAAACAUCAAAGUAUUUACAUUAGUAAAAAUUUAAAGUUUUUGCUCCAAUGCCAAGAGACUAUCAGAAAAAAGAAAAGAAAAAUCAAAAUCCAGUGCAAUAACACAGAUUCAUAAACAAUUACUACUAAAUCCGUCAACUUAACUGAAAUUCUCAAUCAAAGUACCUACUAAAAUGCUAAUUCUUCCUGCAUUAUCUUCUGAAAAUUACAAGCUGCAUCUUUUUCUUCUUUUUUUUCCCAUACAUAUUCAGAUAAAAAAAGAUGACACCUGUAAAAUUUAAAAAUCAAACCCACAAAAUUUUAUCACAAAAAAAAAGAUACCCGUCAAAGGUUAAGGUCAAGAACAUGUCUUUCAAGCAAAUUUUGACUUAAAUCUUGAAAUUAAAAGAAAGUAAACCUGGACUGGACUAAACAGACAAAAUACACCGAUCCCAUUUCAAGAUUUUCUUAAAAAGAUCAAGGUACAUCAAACUUCAAUGUAGAUAUAUUCAUAAACAAAGACGACACUAAGGUUGCAUUCUGACCUGGGAGAAGAAACUCUGUCUAAAAUGGCUUCCUCUGUCUGUGUGUUUUUCUGUGUGAUGAGUGUGUGUGUUUUUGUACUUUGUCUCUGUUUUCUGGAAUUUAUACUGGUAACUGUACAGAGCGUGAGUUAACGGCGCUAGUUGACGGCUGAUCAGUAAUUUGAAAUGACAAGGGAGGCAUAAGUUGGAGGGCAGUAUGGACUUUGAGUGUAAAGGAGGUUAAAUGACUUAAAUGCCCUCAUUAGGUUGAAGAUUUUAAAAUUGCUGCAUCAUAAGAAAUUGAAUGCAAGUACCAUAUAUAAUCCUUGCAUUGGUGGUUGAGUGGACCUCAAUCUUUUUGUUUCUGUUUCCUGUCCCAUAAUUGUCUAUUGAUUCAUGAUUUGUCUACACUUUUUUUGUACAUAGGAAUGAGAUGAAAUUGAUGUAUUAUGCUACAUGCACUUUUAAGGAUAUUUUAAUUGAUCCCAUGAAAGGAGGAUGAUCUUUCCUAGUUUAGGUAAGUUAGUGGAUUUGAGAAUAUGUAGAAAGCACACUUGUUUCUAUCUAUCUGCUGAAGUCCUAAUUGUUCCAAUGAUUAAAGCUUGGCUGUGAUAAUUUAACAAGAGGCAAAAGGUUGUGGUUGGGUUCUUGAAAUUCUAAACCACACCAACCAGUAUAAGAAUGAAUUUAAGGUUUUAAUUGACUUAAUACCAAGACAAAGUAGAAGUCAGCAAUUUUUUUUAUAAAACUGCUUGAUAUGGUGCCUCAUCUAUGGUGGGUUUUAGUUUUAGGGCCUUAAACUAAACCACCACAAACUUCUUGAAAUGAAAAAUAUGAUAAAAAAUAAUAAUUUUUUUCUAUCCUGAGAUGCAAAGGGCAAAAUGGAAAUAUACAUAUGGCCACGAAAUGGAGGACCUUUACUUAUCCACUCAACUCAAUAGGAUAUUAUUGUGAUCCAAAGCAAUCUUUACCUUGUUUGGUAGACAUGAUUCCUUUUCUAGGCAAAUAGUGAAGAAGUCAUGAAAAUUUGAAUGCCAUGCAUUUAAUUCCAAUUGAGUUAAAUGCAUGUCAAGACUUUAUUGUACUGUAAUAGCUCUGUUUGGAUUGCCAUUUUCUGUUAGAAAAUUGCGUCAUUUUUCAUGAUCACAUUUUCCUAUUAUCUUUUUCCCUCACAUACAUCAAAUCGCUAUAGUAAUUUUUCCAUGAAAAAUGACGGAAAAUGCAAUCCAAACGGGAAUUUUUUAAAUAAAAAUUGUUACGUUUUUCAUGGAUACAUUUUUCAAUCAUCUUUUUACCUUACAUAUAUCAAAUCGCUGUAAUAAUUUUUUUACAAAAAGUCUAAAAAAAUACAAUCCAAACAAACCCUUAAUUUGCAGAUUUGAAGUCGUUCUGGGAUUUUUAGUUAGGUAUGAAAUUUAUUAUGUAAACAAAUCAAGAGUUAAGAAGGGUUGUUAAUGCACCAAAUGUUAAUCAUGGUUUUUCACAAUGGAAGUGCAUAGGAUGAUAGGCAAUGGAAGAUGAGGAAAAUGGUCAUAGAGUAAUGGUCGGUGGAGAAGAUCAUUCAACAUAUUUACUUGUAAAUAUAUCACCGAAGGUAUUUAACAGCAAUGGCAACAUGAUUGCUAUGGUGAUACUAACUACUAACUACUACAACAUAUAAUCAAACCUUUCAUGUAUAAAAUUUUAGCUGUAAACUUAUUUUCUUAUUUUCUUGAAUGAUGGUUAGGAGAACUUUAUCUUUUUUUUUUUUCUUUGUUUCUCUGUGAGUGCUGAGUAGUUUAGAUGUAUAACACAGGUCUUUAAGUUUCCAACAUGCAAUUUUUAUUCUUUCGAAGAAAGAACUCCUAUGUUUUCUUGCCGGUCGGUUGAUCAACUGUUUAUUCUCAUGGCUAGUGCUAAUAGCUUCCAAUAAAUACUUUUUUUUUUCUUUUCUAAAAAUGAAAGAGUCUUUUUACCAAACAAGCUUAAAAAUGAAAAUAGUUUUGUCUUUCCCUAAUUCGACUCUUACAAGCCCUCUCCAUUGCAUUUGUAAGACUUGGAGUCUCCCUUAAAAAAGUUAAAAAAAAAAAAAAAAAACUUGAUAUAUGAUUACCCUCUCUAAUUGGAGAGCCUUUAGGUUAGGAAGAACUAUCACUCAUUUAUGGAUCGAUAUCCCAAGUCUUCUCUAAAAUAUGCAUCUUUCGAUGAGCAAAUUCAAACAAUUAUUGCACCAAAUAUUAGAGCACAAGUAAUGGAUGUGGUAUGCAAUCAGUCUGGUACUUGCAUCUCAACCUAACACAGGAUCUUUAGGUCUACGGAGAUUUUUCUUGGGUUCAAAAUAUUUGAUGGAAACAUAAAAAGAGAACGUGUAUAAUCUUUUUUGUUUCCUUAUUUUUGCAUGUAAUAUAUGGUAGGAGUAGAAGCAGAUUACUUUAAUGUUCUGCAAUUACAGCAAAAUGACGUUUAAGUCCCAACUGAAACAUGAUUAGAGACAAAGAAAGCUGCACCAAUUAUAGCUUAGGCCCCAUCUUUGAUUAAUAGUGUUUAACCUUUUGAUAAUGUCUUAACACCCUCCAAUACAAUUUUACAUUCAACCUAUUUUUAUUCCUAUACCCUGUUUGCCCUGUUAACUUAAGCAAACAACAAGUAUGCAAUCCAUUUUAUCAAAGAAGUUGUGACUAAUUUGGACCCUCCAACGUCCUUGCUGGUCCCAAUCUUGAAUCAUAAAUUUCUGAGAACUUGACUGUCAAUGUUUGCAUGUUUAAGAUAUCCAGAAUCUCACUUUCUCAUGUAACUAAGUUAUGGACAAACCUAUUUUUUGCUAUUUAUCUUUGGGAUGAUCUUGAGAACAAACGAAGGAGUACCAUAGCAAGGUUUUAUAUGCAAACAUAAUUAGCUGGUUUUCUCGUUUGCAAGCUGGUUUUCUUGUUUGCAACUAGGACUGCAAAUGAAUCGAGCGGCUCGAGUCCAAGUUCAAUUUGAGUUCAGUCAACAUCGAACUCGAGGUGAACUCAAGCUGACUAAGUCGAAUUCGAACUCAAAAAUACUAAAUUCGUUAACUCGUGAGUUAGCUCGAACUCAAUUAUAUAUAUUUUUUUAUUUUGAUAGUAAAAUCACAUAUGUAUCUCUAAUAUUUUAUUAUUCGUUAAGAAAAAUUAUUAUUUUAUUUCUUUUUUAAAAAUAAAAUUAUGUUGAGUCUCGACUCGAUUAGAUUGAAAUUUGAUUCGACUCGACUUGUUUGUACCCCUAUUCGUAACACACAGAACAUCUCCCUAGGUUGCUGCAUGAUGGCCCGAAUUAUGGACUAACUUGAAUUUACGCAGCUUAAACGGAACUAACUGAUACAAUUCGUUAUGGAUAAAUUUUUCUUACAAUGACAAUUAUAUACUGUUGGGCUUGGAUUUUAUCCCACCAGUCAUUUAUUGGGAUAAAACCCAGGCCCAAUAUACACUAGAUGGCUUAGAUAUAGAAUAAUUAACUUCAAUUUGUAUUUAAAUUUAAAAUCUAGCACAAUGUAUACAUUGUCUGUAUAAAUUAGAUUAAUCUAUUUUUUUUUUAGGAACAAAAGGAAACCAAGGCCAUACAAAUUAAGCCGCAGCAACUAAAAGAGCUGGGCUGCAGUGGACAAGUUAAUAUGGCAUGCAGUCAUGUCAUUAUUAAUCAACAAGGUUACUCUUGUAAUUACGAAUUAAUUGAAGGGCUUUCCAUGUGUAAUUCUCUUAAUCAGUUUUGGAAGAUUGAUUUGUGGGCAGACCAAAAAGGUUGCCUUGAGCCCAUCAAUGGAUAUGUGAGGCUGUGUUAAGGUGAGGAACGGUUAAUGGAAGUGUUAAACAAGCAAGAAUGCACCUUAAACAAAACCAAUUUCAUUAAUUAUUGGGAGAUAUGCCUAAUACCAACGCUUCCACUUCUCUGUAUCACGCAUCAGAUAAUCAACCUUAUCUCCGAAGGAUACAUAUAGAUCCUUCUUCCCAUGUCCCACUCUCAAGAUUCUCCAUGCGUGUGUUGCGUGUUGAACAUGGAGGCAACUUUCGGACCUUGGCAGAAGAAUAUAUUAGGUGAACCCUCUUUUGCUCCUUUUUUUUUUUUGGUUUUUUUGGGACCAAGUGGACAUUCCAAAUCAUGGCGGAGGGAUCACCCGGGGGAAGGGUUAGAGAAUCGAAUCAUGGAAAAAAAAAUUUAGAAAACAAAUAAAUAAUCAGGUAUAAUAAUAGGGAUAGAGUAAACUGACUUGAAGAAAAUUAAGAAAAAAAAUCAAGAAAGAUACCAUGCUAUAAAUAAAGAAGUAAAAAAAGGAAGGGACUUAAUUGUUACAAAAAAUAGAAAAAAGAAUAAAAAACAUUAAAGACAUUGAUGUGGCGAAAAGAUAAAUAGUCCACUUGACAGAAAAUUAGAGUAACUAACUCAACAAUCUAUCAAAACCAGAACUGAACAUCAUUUUAUUAUGUGUGUGUGUGUGAUUAGCACAUCAUUAAAAUGUAAGUUAUCGAUAAUUUGAAUUAUGAACCAUCGAACUUUGGUUUAGUGGCCACCAAAAAGGGAUUAAGUCUCUUUUUGACCUGUAGGCCGGGGACUCGGGGGUUUGAACCUCUUUUGUCUAGUCGGAUUCUCGAACCUGCUAGUCCAUUAUAUAGGCUCUUUAGCCUCUCUUUUCAUGUACAAUAAAAUAGAUUAGAUUAUACAAAAGUUAUAGUAGCAGAAAAAAAAAUUGAAUUUGAAGUUUGCAGACAUUAGGUUAAUGAAAGAAUAAAGACAAAAGUAGGGAAGGAAAUACUCAACUAAAAGAAGGCCCAAAAGUGGAGGCUUCAGAUUCAAGGUCUCACUGAUGAGCCCGUAAUAUUAUGCAUGGCUCCAGCCUGGUGCGUGUUUUUGAACCCCAUGUUUUGGCCCAAUAAUGGGUCCAAGCGAGCACCAUACUAGGAAUUAUAGGAAAACUUUUAAGAAAUGUUAUUUGCAUUCCCUUUUUUUUUUUGGUUAAUCACACUUUCAUUAUUGUUAUAAAAAUCAUAUAAUUAUCAUUUAUUAGAUUAUAUGAUAAAAUAAAUAAUAAUAGUGCAAAUAACAAAAGAAUAGAGUGCAAAUAACAUUUUCCAAACUUUUUUUUUAAAAUUGCUCAUAAUACACUUUUCAUGGACAUCAUGAAGUUUGUGGUGUAGAUCUUAAGUCAAGAAUCUUGUGGAUUAAUAGUUGAUAAAGCAAUAUAAAAUGUUAAAACGACUUGGCAAAGGUUUCGUUCCCUAUCUCACAUACAAAUGAGUUUUUUUUUUCUCUUUUGAAAUCGUAGAUUCUGAAUCAGAAUCUUUUACGUACAAUCCCUUUCUCUUUACCCCAUAAUCCAACCUUCAUCCAUACAAAAAUGCUAAUAAUAUAAGGGUUUUGACUUCUAGUAGAGGAGUACAUAUUUUGAACAUUUAUUAUUCACUAAUGAGUAGGUGUAAUCUAUUUGGUCAGAGCCUUAGAGGUUAAUCCACAUAUUAUCCAAUUCCAAAUGAUAUGCUACUCGAAAAGAAUGAUACUACUUGUCACUCAUCUGAGACCACAAGCUUAUGUUCUUGCUUAAUUCAUGUCCUGUGGCAUUCAAACCCAGAAUGUAAAAAAAUACGACUAUAUAUAUAUAUAUGUUUCUGAAUGAUAAAAGUCAAAUGAAUUUCUGUUUCAUGUCCUAUGGCGUUUUAAUCCAGGGUGUUAGAUGAUGUAAUAUAUGUAUGAUCUUUGAUAUUUAUUUUUUCCUCUUGUCUUGAGAGUCAAGUCACAUAAAAUAUGUUAUAAUCUAGAUGACUAAGUUCACACAUUCAAACCGCCCAAAGUCACAAAGUCUUCUUAUGUUACUUAAGAAAAACAUAAAAUGCCAAAGAGGAGAUUUAAAAAAGAAAAAAAAGACGACUUCAAACAUUUACAUCUACUCUUUUGGGCGUCCAAUCCCUAUAAAAAUCUAUCCCCUAUCCUUCUCGUAUUAUUGAUUAAUUGCUAAUUCUCAUGUUCUCCUAGCUUGCUGGUUGGCAGCAAUCUUUGAUCAAGGUACACAUCAUAUUCUUUUCCUUCCACUAAUAUUGGAAUUUUUUCCCACUUAAAAUACUACUAAUAGUUAACAUCUUGUUUGGAAAAUUCGUUCAAAUGAUUUGCUUUGUUUUGAAUCUUUUGAUGCAUGUGUAAGCAAUAUCCUGAGAAUGUUUCCCCCACCAUUAUAUCAAUCUCCUUCAAAGAUGUAACAAACCUUUUCUCUCAAUCUCUCAAAACUGGGUGCAUAUCCAUUCCCUUAGAAAUAUGCAGAAAGCAGCCUCUUUCCAAAAGAUAUAGCAAGUGUUUCGAAGGGUUGUAUCUGAUAUUAAAACCAUUUGUAAGGUGGUUUUAACUGCCACUAAUCACAACUCUUCAAAAUGAAAUUAUCCAUUUAACAACAUUUGGAGAUGUCCGAAGCAUGUCUAAGUAGCAAUUAUUUAUUUUGCCCAAAGUUUCGACAUCUAGGACUUGACUCCUCUCUUCAAUAUAUUCUCUCUCCAUUUUUAGUAGUGCGAAUCUAGAUGUAUAACAAUGUCUUCAUUUAUUAACAAAAAUUAGAAUUCGUCAAACUUAAAAUGAUCAGCUUGAAACGAAGACAUGUAUCAUGCAUCUAAACGUGCAUUAUGAAAAAUAGAGUGAGAAUUCAUGAGGGAGAGGAGCCAAAUCCCACAUCCAAAGUAUGUUCUGGCUUAUGGUUCGGACAGUCAAACAUCUAGUUGACUUCCUGGCAAAAUAUAUUUGCAAGCUACUUUAAACAAUAUUUGAUUGAUGUUGAGAAGAAUGAACGAAGAAAGAAGUGUAACAAAUAAAAAGUGAUAAUAAUUUGAUUAGUUCCAUACGAUAAACCGUGUGAUGCAGGUUUUGCUAGAAACAAUGUCAGGAAAUUCUGAUGAGUCCACAAUUUCCACGGUUAUGGAUAUCGAACCGGCUCGUUUUGCUAAUUUUGACCCAUCAAGCAUCACUACACUGGUUAGAACAAGAAACAGGAGGUUGCUACAAGAUCUUGGAGGGGUAGAUGGAAUAAUUAAAGCCCUGGAAACAGAUACAGAAAAUGGUAUUCGUGGCGACAGCAGAGAUAUUGAUGCCCGAAGAAAUAUCUUCAGCUCCAAUUCGAAUCAGCUUCAGGAAAGAAAUCUUGUCAAGAGCUUCUGUGUUUGUGCAGUAAAAGCAAUCAAAGACCCCUUGAUCAUCAUCGUAGUAGUUUUUACGGUCCUUUCUCUUGGUUUUGGCAUAAAAAAAGAUGGUCUAGAAUGGAUAUGGCCAGAAGGGGUGAUCAAACUCCUGGCUAUUUUCACAGUUUUGAUUGUGUCAGCUGGAACUAAUUUCUGGCCUAUUACUCAAUGCCACGAUUCCUCGGGGACCAGCAGCUACACCCCUCAGGUAGAUGUUGUGAGAGCCGGUGACUGGACCAAAAUCCCAAUAUCAAGCGUUGUGGUGGGAGAUAUUGUUUUCCUGAAACCUGGGGAUCAAGUUCCAGGUGAUGCAUUGUUCAUAGAUGGGAGCUCAUUACAUCUGGAGAACUUAAUCAAUGUUAAUGGAAGAUCAGAGUGCGUAGAAGUUGGACAUGAGAACAAGAAUCCGUUUUUGUUCUCGGGUAGUAUGGUAGUUGAUGGCUAUGCUAGGAUUGUUGUUACGGCAGAUGGGAAAAACAAAAGAAACCAUCAACAAGUGAUAUGGAUGGAGGGAAAGCAUGCAGACGAGUUAUUGAACCUUACCACUGUAGUUGGUAAGUUAGGUCAAGCAGUUGCCUUCGCAACAUUUUUCUUGUUUUUGUGUCGUUUCUUUGCUGGAAAUGUUUACCAUGAUGACAAGAAGGGAAAUAAGGCCUUAUUAGGUGACGAAAAGGUGGGGAUUUGGGAUCAUUUGCUUGCUUUUGUGGGAAUCCUAGCAGCUCCUGCUUUGAUUGCUCUGACAUCAGGGCUGGAAGGUUUGGUUUUGGCUGUAAAAAUCACUCUAGCAUAUUCCCUGAGGAAGUUGAUGCAUGCCAAAGUUCUAGUUAAAAAGCCUUCUCUGUGUCAUUCAGUUGCUUCAGUUGACACCAUCUGUUUAAAUAAAACUGGAACAUUGACGGCAUACUUCGCAGAGGUAACGUGGUUUCUCAUUCAUUAUCCAUCAUGACUUUGUACAAUAAUUGAUGAUAGGGCUAGUUUCGCUUUGCAGCUCUACUUUGUAUCUAAAACUUCUAUUUUUAGACACUUCUGCUACCUAGUCUCCCUGAUUUGUCUUACUCUUACUCAAGUCCUAUUGAUAAUAACUUGAGCAAGUUAACAGAAUAGAAGAUCGUGCAGACAAUUUCUAUUGUUUUUUGGGUGGAAGUGGUUCCUUUCUGGGGGAGGGGUGCUCAAUGUUUCUCAUAUAUUAGUAGCUUGACUUAAAAAGCAGCCAUAUAUAGAUUAUAGAGAUCGUUUUCUGGAAUACUUCACAAAUCUUAAGAGUAAAUAUUUUGUCUGUUUUCGUUUGAAUCCUUGCAAUAUUCCAGCAACAAGUCAAAGACUAAUAUAAUUUUUUCGUUUUCCAAAACUAGGUGAAAAAGUUCUGGCUGGGUCUAAGUUCCAUUGAAGAAGCACCUCACAAUCUGAUUGCACCAAACGUUCUUGAAUUACUGCAUCAAGCCAUUGGUUUAAACACAAUUCAGCCUCGUUCUGCAAAUUCUACAUUUGCACCUCCAAUAUGUUCAACUGAAGCGGCGAUUUCUGACUGGGCUGUUCGGCAUUUCGGUAUGGACAAAGAAAAUCUGAGGCAAAGCUGCACAAUUCUUGUCAUUGAACCCUUCAACUCAGCCAACAAAAGGAGUGGAGUCUUGAUCAGCAAAAACAAUGACAACACGAUUCAUGUGCACAGAAAAGGGGCAGCUGAUGUGAUUUUGCCAAUGUGUUCUCAUUACUAUGAGACCACUGGCAUUGUGAAUGUGAUUAAUAAAACUACAAGAGCAUUAUUGGAGCAAAUACUCGAAGGAAUGACAAAAAAUGGCUUUAGAUGCAUUGCGUUUGCCCACCGGAAGACAUCGAUAGAAGAGUACUUCAACUUCUCUAAGCAACAAUUAACGUUAUUAGGCCUUGUUGGGCUUAAAAAUCCAUUAAGGAAUGGGGUUAAAAGAGUUGUAAAAGAUUGUCAGCGAGCCGGGAUAAACUUAAAAUUGCUCACAGGAGACAACAUUCUGACAGCAACAGUCGUAGCUUCUCGAAGUGGCAUACUUGAGCCUAAUAACCAGCCUGGAGAAAUAAUUGAAGGAGAAGAGUUUCGAAACUACACUUCAGAAGAAAGAAUCGAGAAACUGGAUACUAUUCGUGUUGUGGCAGGAGCUACUCCUUUUGAUAAGUUCCUUAUGGUUCAAUCCUUGAAAAAGAAAGGCAAUGUGGUUGCAUAUCUAGGCCGAGGAUUGGGGGAUGUUCAAGCACUAAGAGAAGCAGAUGUUGGACUGUGUUUUGGAACUCAGGGUGGCACAGAAAUCCUCAAGGCAUGCUCAAAUAUUGUAAUCCAGAAGAAAGAUUUGUCCAUUGUUUUUGACAUUUUGAGAUGGGGAAGGGGAUUCUAUGUUAGCAUCCAAAUAUAUACUCAAUUCCUCAUCACAGCAACUCUUGUUGAUCUGGUGGUGGACUUUGUGAUGUCCAUUUUUCCUAGUGAUCCCCCGGAUUUUGAUGCUAUGGCAGUCAUUUCUUCAGGUAAAAUACCAUAUCCAGUUUUUCAACUUCUGUGGGUCAAGCUAAUUCUGGGAUUCUUUGCUGCUAUUUCUCUGAUAAUUAAACAGCCCUCUGAAGAGCUCAUGUCCAAGCCACCGAGGGAUCGAGACGAACCAUUGAUGAAUGAUGUUAUGCAAAGAAGCAUGAGUGCACAGGCGAUAUAUCAGAUUGCAGUAUUGCUGGCCAUCCAUUUUAAAGGCCAAUCAAUUCUGAAAGUUAAUGUGAAUGAGAAGAAUACUCUGAUCUUCACGACCUAUGUUCUGUGCCAAGUUUCCACAGUGGUCAAUGCCAGGCUUUUUGAAGAGAAGAAAAUUUUUCAGGAGAUGCACAACAAGAAAUGCUUCUGGGGAAUCAUAGGCCUCAUCGUUCUCCUCCAAGUAAUGUUGGUAGAAGUUUUGAAGAACCUUGCAGGUACUGCUGGGUUGGAUUGUAGGCAAUGGGGCAUAUGUAUCUUGAUUGCUACUGCAUCUACUCCACUCAGCUGGCUGCUUAAGUAUGCAACUGCCAUGAGGAUACCAUUUCUGACCAAUGUCAGAGGAACAAAUCCGAAGGCCAAAAUCGAUUAGUCGUAUGGCUGAAGUUUGAUUGAAGCUGGUUAGUUGUACAAAUGUAGGCUCUGUAUAUGCGUUUAUAAAGCUCUGAUUUUCCUUUUGAUAAUUGAUAAAUCUGCGUCAUUCAAAAAUUGGCAUAAUUCCUCUACUUUGCAUCUUCUACUUUCCAUUCUUGGGCUGUGCAAAUUGUUGCAUGUGAUCUAGUAUACCUCAAUGCAAGGAAUUCAAUUAUGAACAAAAAUUAGUUGUCAAGUCAAUUGCUCAGAUGAACAUAAUACGUCAAAUUCAUAAGAAAUUUAACAAAAGAAGCAAACUAAAACAAACAGCACGAAACAGCAGUUUCCUUCAAUUAUUCAAUGGACAACACAUAAAUCAUUCUGAAAAUUUCAAUGGGCUCAAGUGUUGAAACAGAGAUGGUUUUAUACCCAUAUUUAUGUAAUUUAAGAUUGGAAUGUUGAUAAAUCCUGCUGCUGAUCAUACAUUAGUCAUCUAGCUAGCACAAAAGAAAGCUCAGGGAUGAAAUGUACAAUAUUUCAAGUUGUACCUUUAUUUAUUUAUUUAUUUUUUUGGGGCAAAUUUUCAAGUUGUGCUACUAAUUACUUGAAAAUUUGAAAAGGAAACAACUGCCUGAAAUGAUGCCGUUUGGAAGUUCAACUGCCAAUUGAAAUGACCCAAUGAUGAUCAUCCACGAGUCUAGUUUGUAGUCCAAGACAACCCCUUUGUUUCCGGGCUAUUUAUGUGCAGGCAUGCAUUCCUUUUUGGGUCUGAUAAUCUUACAUAAAAGAUAUACAGAGAGAGUAAGCAAAGAGAGAGCGAUCCGGAGUGUGUAAAGAAGAGAGGAAAAUUGUGGACAAUUUCUUGCCAUUUUUUCGCCAAUGACAGACACCACCAAAAACAUCUCCACAACAAUGGAGAAUAAUACUGCAACCAAAUCUAAUGAGAAUAACAGUACUAAGGAUCAGAAUCAGAAGAAGAACAGGAUUCAAGUGUCCAAUACCAAGAGGCCCCUCUUCUUCUACCUUAAUCUCGCCAAGGUUUUUUUUUUUUUUUUGGUGGCUUUCCCUUUCAUUGAAAUAUUCUUUUCUAUGUUGUUUUCACCAUUGUGUUCUAUUUGCAUGCAUGCAUGCACGACCGUGUACCAUUUUUUCUUAUUUUGGCUCUCUCAGUUCUUCUAUUAAUCGGGACAAAGAUCUUUGUUUCGUGAAUGUAUAAUGUGAGUUGUUUACCAUCAUUCCAUUGAUGUGAUCUUGCUUUCUUGGUCCAUUUUUUUCCUUUACUAUAUAUGUCUUGAUAUUAUGAAAUCCUUUUUCUGUGUCAUGAGUAAUCGUUUUCUAUGUGAUACUUAUAUGCUUUUCUGAGUCUAAAAUUGGUGAUCUUCCUUUCGUUUUGAAGGGCUUUCGAGUAAAAGAAGAAACAUAAGCCCAUUCCCUUUCAUUUCUCUUCCUCUUGUUACAGAUGUUAAUUGCUCUGCAAUCCCACUAAAGGUGUUUGAUAAACUUUUUUAAGCAAUCCCACAAAAGAUUUUAAUCCUUGAUGUAGCCAUUGUUUUCCGUUUAAUCUUAUUGGGCAAACGCUCAUUUUCCCAUUACACUGGAUGUGUUAAUUAUUGAAGAACAUUAGCAUUGCUUUCGUGGAGCAGAAAUUCUACAAAUUCAUACAUUUGUUGAUUCAAAUUUUUGCAGAGAUACCUGAAGCAGCAUGAUGAGGUUGAGCUUUCUGCGUUGGGAAUGGGUAUGUAUUAUCUAUCUACUUCCCUUUUACUUAAAUCGUCAGUUAAUUUACAUCAUCAAUCAAUAAUGCUUUUAUUAAGAACAUAAACUCAAAAAAAAGGAAUCACUACACUACAUGGUUUCAUUUGGUUUUGGUGUCUCAGAUGAAAAUUUAAUUAUCAGGAAACAAAUUUCCAGAGUUAGAUUAAUACUGUAUCCUAUGCAUCAUACUAAUAUUAGACAGGAAUAAUUGCCAAACCCUGUGUUUAUCUGUACAUGGCUACUGCAGCAAUCCCCACUGUUGUCAUAAUUGCUGAGAUUUUGAAGAGAAACGGAUUAGCUACCAACCAAAGUACGUAAGAGGCUCUGUCCCAACUCUGUGCAGUAGAUGAUGAUCUGAUCUUUUUAGUCGUAUGUAAUCUUUGAUCUUCUGUGUCUUAUCACUGUAAAACAGAGGUUAUGAUAUCUACGGUGGGCAGCAAUGCUGAAUCAAAUGGUCGCUUUGUUAGAAAGGCCAGGGUUAGUAUGUCUCUUCAUACCAGACAAUAGAGUGAAUUUUUUUGGAAAAAAUGUUUUUUUUUUUGUUUGCCAAUGAUGACAUAUCUCUUUUCAUGUGCUGACAGAUUGAAAUAGUAUUGGAGAAGGCCAAGAAUGCAGAAACCUAAGGCUGCUGUUGACCACAAAUUUCUAAAAGAAAAGGAUGAAAAAAAAACAAGUCCUUUGCCAUUGUAGCGUAGGAUAUUUAAUGUUAGGUUGUAGAUUGGUAGGUAGUUUAUUUAAGUCCGACUGCUGUUUAAUUGCUCGAUCUGUAUGGAAGGGGAAGUUAUUUGUUGGAAGCAUAUCCCAAUUGGAUGGAUAGACUUAGAAUUAUAUCCCCAACCCCUCAACCCAUUGUUCACAUCAAACUUAAUCCAGUGGCUGGCUUGGCCUAUAAUUUUACUUUCUCUACAUCAAGUUUCCAUUCUGAGAUCUCUAGCUAUUGAUUUAGAAGCUUGAAGCUCAAAAGCCUGGAAAUGGAAGUAGAAAAAGAAAAUGCUUUGCUGCUACUGCCUUGAUGUCUUAAAUCAUCAUGUGCCAGUUUUGACUGAUUAAUGUGUCUUGAUGAAAGUUAGAAAAGGAAAUGAUAUGCACAAGAAAUAUUACAUUAUUCCAAGAUUUCAAGUAUUAGAUGCCAUAUAUACUUCAGAUACACAUUAUUUGAUGCCAGAAGACGAAACUACAGCUGAAGACAUCAAGAGAGGGACAAUUUGGCUAGCGUUAGUGCUAAAACUUUGACCCCGUCAGCAAUGUGGUCGAUGGUUGCAAAUUCUUCAGGCUUGUGACUAUAGCCUGCAAAGAAAUAAAGACGAGAGAGAUGAUAUUGGACAGGAUGCAAAGGAAUACUGCGGUAUCAGCUACUGACAGGACGAAAAGGCCUACCUUUAUAACAUGGUAUAAAUAUCAUGCCCAUUGGACUUACUCUGCAAGAGUAACAUUUAUGUUAACUAGUGCUUACGGCAAUCAACAAAAGCGAAGUUUUCAACUUCAGUUUUGGCACAACAGCAAGAUAUUGAAGUAAAGAUGACUAAAUGAGUCUAUAAUUCAGUCAAUCUUUUGCAUUUGUAACUACGAAUCAAAUGUAAUUUUUGUAACUUUGAUGCUUGCUAAGGAUUUGCGGUUACCUCGCCAUGAACAGUGCAUCAUGAUAGGCUCUACUAAUCAUCUUCUUGUAUGUCAACUCCAGCUCUUGGCUUGCUGAUUCUGCUGCCUUAAUUAUUAACUCAUCAGAGAGGGCAGGGGGAUCUUGAUUCACGAUUUUGUAUUCCGACAGCUUCACACCGCGCCUCUUAGAUAUACUUAAAGCAGAUUCAUAAAUUUUAUCAAUGACAGAAUUUCUCCGUUCUUCGUCAAUGUCACGUGUAUCUGCAAAACCAGUUAUUUAAGUAGAUAGAGGUAUUCAUCUUUCAUUUUCUUUUCCAUUAUUUCCUAUACAUUUAUGGGAAUCGUGCUAAUCAGCAACAGCAUUCAGAAAUACUAAUAUCCAGAAAAAGCAAAUAAUAGUUUAUGGUCUGAAACUGGCUCCCAUUACUUUCAUCAAGGAGCUUACCUAUUUCCAGGUGUGAUUUGCUUGGAAUGCUGUUAAUUGCUCCAGGAUGAAGCUCCAGAAUACCUUUUGAAACAUAAGAAAUGUAGUAAGAAUUUAAAUUGACACGUAGAACCAAAGACCUUUUUGGUUUUUCUAAGAGGAAGAUUUAGUAUACAUGGGAUUUCUAUGCGUUGAUUGCAGUGAGAAACGGAAGGAACCAACUGCUCUAUUUGAAUUAGGCUAAAUUUACAAAAAGUUUUUCAUGCUUGCUGAUGGAAAUUCUUGGCUGUCAAAACAAGAAAUAGCACAGAGGGCCUUCCCUCUUGCUGACCAAAAAAAUAAAAUACAGGCUUACCAACUGUCCCAACAGUAUCAAUAGAGCCAGACUCCAAGACAUGUUUCUCCACAGCAAGUGCCAGCUCUGCAGCAGCCAGUCCUGCAUCAUUCCUGCUCCAAAUAGUUCGUAGAAGGAACUAUGAGGAAAAUAAAGGAACAAGAGAAUGUAAUAGCAAACAUGCGAAAGAAAAGGGAAAGCAUGAAUUGCACUAAAACCUUCGACCAGAAAAAGCUUCUCUUGUCGAUGCUACGUGUAAAAUCUCAAAGACAGACAACAAUCUUACCAUUCACUUCAAGAAAUGGCAGUUGGAAAUUACUAAGACCAGUAAAGCAAAGUGACACUAACUUAAAUUCUUUCUGAGAUUGAAAGAGGACAAUAAAAUGACUACCCUCACAGGUCAAGUCGAUGCAAUCUAAUUCGUAAAUCUCAUCUCCAGGAUGAGCCAAGUUUCACUUCCCAUUCACUUCUUGUCCACAAUGUUAUCCAAUAAUUUUUGUACAGCCAUACUACAUAGCACAAGGAUGUUUAUUUAAGAGAAACAUGCCAGGUACCAGAAUGGAAAACCCAGGCCACUUUGGGUCAAGUCUAUAUACCUUUUUGGCAUCAGAACAGCUCCUGCAUGCCCCCCAGUGCCCUCAAAGUCCACUUUGAUACUUGCAGGAGCAGCAAUAGCAGUCACAAUACCAAUAGAUGUUGCUAAAAUCAUCAUGAAACAGACAGAGAUCAGGAAGAUAUUUCUCCUUCAUUCAAGUUAAUAGUAUGAGAAAGAAGAAUAUGUGAACCAGGUUACCUUCUUCUUCAAGAAUAGGACCUUGCUCUAUAUGCAAUUCUACAAAAGCAGAAUAGCUUCCCUUCUCCAGAAAGACAGUGGAUAACUUCUCCACAUUCAUGUAACCUGCAGAUUUAGCUGCAUAAAAGAAGGAAACAUUUUGACCAUCAACUGUCUUUUCAAGCUGUUGUGCAAGUUCCUUGCUUCCUGCCAAUAAACGGCUGCAAAUUUUAGAUAUAUUAGAAACCCUAAGCUAGGAGCUUCAUAACACUUCAAGGUUUGCAAAAUCUGUAGCGUUGGAACUGAAUUCUGUUCUAACCUUCCUAAACAGCCGAUUCCAAAUCUUGUAGGCUCUUCUGAAGUAAACAUAAUCACGUCCAACGACCUUUUAGGUUUAAAGCUAGAGCUGUAAAAGCCAACCAAUAAACAGCAAAACUUAGACAAAAGCAGCCAAUGGACAUUGGAUCAGCAGAAAACACAAAUAGAUUUCCAACAGCCAAAAGCAGUAAAGGUAAAGAUGUGACAUCUUUUCACAAGAAUGCCAGCAAGAUACGUGUUCUUAGCAUAAUAUAUGUGGCCAUAUGGUCUUACUACAAACCAACACCCAAAAUUUUGGCACUCCAAAGCAGUUACAUGAUCUAAAACUUCCAUAUACUAUGACCUCGUUCUGAUAUCACAACGUCUAUUGCAAACUUCGCAAGGUAUUCCCCUGCAACCAACUCAGGUAUACUACUUUGCAAUCAGCUAACAGUUUUGACCUUAUUAAACUCGGUCCUAUUCAAUAAUACACGAUCAGCUGAACCAAUCCUGGGAAAAUCUUGGAACUCAUGCAACAAGAAUUCUGCAUUCAAGCAUGAACAUUCCAUUUAGAUAAGUUUUCUAGUAAAGCCAUUGCUGUUUUUCUGGUUCCUCUGUUCUUUUGUCAUUAACAGAGACAAUGAAAGUUCCCCAAAGCAGACAUACAUACAACAAAUCUUUAUUAUGAUAUGGCCAGUGCUUAUAAUUCAUGUUCCUCAAAAAAUUCGCAUAAAAGCUAAGACCACGUCAGAAAACUUAAAAAUCCAGCAUUCUGGGAGAUUUCAUGAUUUAAGCUUUACUUAGGAGAUACUAUUUUGUGCAUUUGCACGGUUUUCUAAAUUUUCAUAAUAGAGGUUGGAUCCAUUUUUGAUUUUUUUGAAAUUUUUUUCAGCAGCGGAGGGGUGGGACUUGAGAAGAGGGGAGGGGGCAGAGGGGAUUUGAACCCAGGACCUCCAAUGCCUAGGACCUCAACCUAUAAAGGAUGGAUCCUUGGCAAUGCUUUAAUUGAAGAAAAGAAUACAAAGGACUUGACAUUUCCUUACACAUAACUUUUAGCCAACACCUCCCAAUAAAUCAAAAGCAAGCCAAAGAUGUACUGAUGCAGCCAAGUAUAGAGAUCUUGAAAUUUGGGCCAUGUUACAGUUUAAGAACACAAGAGAGCUAACAAGAGUCAGUCAAGCCAAUUUAGUCUGCAUACCGCUUUAGAACAUUGAUGGCUUCUAUUGCACCCAACACGCCAACCACCCCAUCAUAUUUCCCAGAAUAUGGUAUUGCAUCAGUAUGAGAACCUGUUGAAACUGGAGCAAGCUCAGGUUCGGAACCAGUCCUACAAAAUAUCAAAUGACAAUUUGGCGGCUUAAAGUCAUACCAAUAACAGCAUACGAGAUGACAAGGGAUUAUUACAAAAGCAAUUUUCAAUCAGGUUAAAAUUUUUUUACAUUAACAUCCAACGUCAUUCUGCAAAAUUGAGAAUUCUUCUUCUUAAAUCAUCACUUCACCCUAUAAAUAUGAAGUUUGGAGUUGAUGAUGCUUAAAGUUCAAAUUUUGGAACUUAACAUCACCAAUAUAAUUUCAAUUAUACAAUUUUUGAAGUGAUUUCAUCUUUUAUUGCUUUAAAUAUUGUCAGUGCCAACUAUUCUUUCUUAUGGACCAUAAUUCACCAAAUACUCACAGAUAAUCUUUUUAAAUAGUUCAAAAGUUAUUCAAUCACUUUUUGAAUUUUCAGUACCUUCUCUUAAAAAAAAAAAGUUACAAAAAGAGAUCAAUUGGAAAUAAAUGUCUCUUUCAACAUUACAAAUGGUAAAAGGGAUUCCAGAAGUUUGCUUUUCGCAUCGAUAAUACCAUUGUAUCCUACAGCUCAGAAUGAGGAAAAAGUGGAAGAAAUGUAUGGCUGUAGUUGUACAAGGAUUUACUUCAACUUUGGAUUUGCCUAAAAGGCGUACAAAAGUAAACAUCAAUGCACAGGAAAGACAAUGAUGAAAGAUGAUGACAAAAGAAUUGAGACCUGUAAUGUCUAACUUAUCUAAAAGCAUUUCCCACAAAGUGAGAUAUGUAUUGUCUGACUUUUCUAUAAACUAAUGAAACUAACCCAUGCGUUGGCUAUGCAAUAAAGCAAGAUUUUGAAAAGACAAGGUAUUAGCUUUACACUUCACAAUCAUCCAAUUGAGUCCUCAUGCAUAACAUUGGUCUAUUGACUGAGAUGUUCUCCUGUAAAUGGGAUUACCAGGAGAACAAAGUUGUAACUCACCACCGACCAAAGAUGUUCCCAAUAGCAUCCUCCCUGACAGAAAGACCUGAGGCUUCCAUAAGGUUUUUAAUAUACCUGCAUGGCCAAAUAACUAUGUUAUAUUCUGGCAGUCAACCACCUUUUCUAUGAAUGGCAAGAGGUAGACAAGACAAUUCUAGAGACUCAUUCCGCUAUACUCUACAAUCUCAGUUUUACCUUACAUGAAAGGAGGUCACAGAAAAAUAUACGUCGACAGACAAACAGGUUCUUGAGAGAGUAAGACAAGGCAUUGGAAAAUACACUUAUCAAACAAUCAAUCAUUUAAGAAGCAAUAGAUGUUCAAUUAAGGAGAUCACCUCAAGCUGUAGUGUUUAACUGUUAAUUGCAAUCAAAAUGGCCAGAUAAGCUUCUGAUUUUACCUUCUUGAUAAUACAUCCUUCUCACUGUACAGGAUCCUAGUAACCGAUGGUGCAGGUGAAUCCGAGAAACUUGAAAGCUCAUCAAUCUUAAAAAAAAAAACAUAAGUAUAUUGUAAAUUCUAUUUCUCUCAGAAACAACCAAGCACAUGUGCACGGCUAUGCUUGCAUUACGAAUCUAACAUAGGGAAUUCAGGAUACUGAUGACAAUAGGCAGUUACCAAUUCCUUGGUUUUUGCAAGAAAUAGCAGAAAGAAUCAAAAUUCAAACAUUUACAGAUGAUCCACAUAACUCAAGCUAAGAAAAACUCCAUCUUUCACUUUUCAUAUAACAUCCAUCAGAACCGCUUGAUUCCAAAUUGAGUGCCACCACUAAAACAUCUACUGCACAUAGUCAGACAUACACGUGAAUGCACUAGCACCUAAGAUUACAGAUACAUCGCUUUUGGUUUGCAAAAAUGAAGUAAAGCAUCUUACAUCCUUCAAAAUUCAAUCUUUAUCCUACAUAAGCAGUCAAACAAGUAUCGCCUUUAUCAUACAUAAAACAGCAGUUCAAAAGAAAAAAAAAUUUCUAGCGUAUAACUUAGUGUACUCUUUCAGAAACAGAUUUUGCAUAAAAGCUAAAUAAGAAAAUAAGAAUAUAACUUUACCCGGAUUGAGAAUCCUUUGUGGAUAUCAAAGGGACUCCAGUUUUAGCAUUAAAAAAAAAACAGAAUCCAGUCGGAUAUCAUUGAUGAACUAAAGUUUACAAAAAACCCACAAGUCAAAUACAAUCUUUGCAAAACUUAGAACAACUCAGAAGACAAAAAAUGAUUGAAAUUUCGUAUCUGGGAUUUCUUGUACAUACCUGCUUCUGCAGAGUUUCAGCGUCCACUGAGAGUGAAGAUAGGGAGUUUAAGAAGUGGGAUUCGUGAAUUGGGUAGCCAGAGAACUCCUCCAUAGUCUUGAUUGUAGGGUCAUCUUCAUUUCUGUGAGCUAAAUUUACAGGGCAAUUUGAGAUGAAAUAUACUGAAAGAACAAGAAGCAUGUAGAUAGAGAAUCUCAUAGCCAUGAUUUUCAUGGUAUGGAUAAUUGCUUGUUUGUUAUCCGUGGAUUCCUAGACUGCUGUGUAUAGUGUUAUCUGGCUUGGACGUAUUUAUCAUGCUUGAUACAUAGUGGAGUGCUUUCUAGGAUUUGGAUUUUAGCGUGCCGUUUUGGGAGCUGCCUCUGCAACGAAAAAGGAAAACACAUGUUUAGAUUGUGGAGUAACACGUAGAGCCACCGAUGAACGGCAUAGGUCUUUUUUUUUUUUUUUGCUGCCCCCGCCAAACGGAUGCUUCUAUCCACACCCUGUGCCCACGUGUGCACAUUUUUCAUUAUAUUGGUUAUUCUCUUCUCAAAACAUUAUGUUUUAAUUCUUUUUGUUUUCUUCUAAGAUCCCAAUAACUAUUAUUAGUAAAAAUUAAAUAAACAGAUUUCAAAAGUAGAUUAUAUAGAAAUCAAAAUACGCGGCAGAAAAUGCAUAAAAAAUUGAGAUUUUUUAUGCAUUUUUAUUUUUUUUGGUUUUGUUUAAAUUUUUGUAUUCUUCAUAUAGUUAUUAAUCUUAAGAAAACAAAAAAGUAUUUUAAACAUGAUGUUUAUGAAGGAGAACUGGCCAAUUAAUAAAAAUGGCGACAGAGGAAUGACACAAGAUGUGCGGACCGCAAGAUCCGUUGCUGCGCUUUAUCCCCUUUAAAAAAAAGACAAAAUAAAAUGAGUUAGGUGCCUUGCUGGAGAGUUGGACACGGGCCGCGCCACGACAGCUACGGCCAAACGCACGUGUCAGAAAAUCGGGUCGAUUUUGUGUAAAAUACAUAAGAUGUAAUUUUCUAUGCAUAUAGUAUAAUUCAUUUUUAACAACAUGUAAUUAUAAAAUAAAAUUUUAUGAGUCCCAUGCAUAGUACGAAAAACAAUAUACAAGACGUGCUCUCAAUCUUAUAUAUAUAUUUUUAGCCAAAUCUUGACAAUGAAUAUUCAAGAACGAUUGCUUUCUGCGACCAUUUCUGUCCUCUUUCCAGAGAGAGGGACAAGUAAGGUUAGGUUCUAGUAUUUGAGAUAAAAGUGAUGUACAUGAGUAAAAUGUUUGAUAUAUAUAUAUAUAUAUAUAUAUAUAUAUAUAUAUUAAUAAUACAUAUGAUAUAUUUAUACACAAAAAAAUUUAAACAUGUAUAACGGCUCAACAAAAUCUCAUCAAAUACAAUUGUAUGAAAUUUUUGUCCUUGUGGACUUACUCAAUUCAGAGCGAUAGCGUGAAUCUUUUUUCUAAUAAACAUUAUUAUUAAAAGUAGUAGUAUUAUGUUAAUCCAAUUGCAAAACAUCCAAAUCAUGAUGAUGUCUUGUUGAAAAAUCGUUAGAGAGAGAGGACCAAUUUCCUGCCUUUCCUUCAUUUCAAGCUAGAGUCUACAUCCUUACAAAAAUUGUAAAAUUAUAAUUUGACUCCAUUUCUAUUCCUUGACUAGAGUACUAAAAAAAUAUAAAUAGAAAAGUACUAUAUCUUAAAGUCAAAAUUCCUUUUUUUUUUUUUUCUUUUACAUAAAUUGCAAACGGUUUAUAAUAAGGCGGGAAGUCCUUCUUGCUCCGAGAAAGCUUCACCGAGACACUUCCCUCAAGUUCCAAUGGAUGACUACCCCAGACACACUUGCCUGAAGCUAGAAAUCCCAAUCCGAAGCAAUGAUUCGGAGCCCCGAGAGGCCUCCGAAUCCAUCUUCGUCAAAGGCACAUGGUACCCCGCCCGCUUCGACCUCGCCAUCACCGACGGCCGCGACGCCUGGAUUUGCAACGGUAAUUAGUAUGAAAAUGAUCAAUUAGUCCUGCAAUAUCAAGUUUAAUUUAUCAUUAAUUGCAGCGAUUUUUUUUUUUUGUUUUGGUUUUCGUUGAAUGAUUAAAGCAUCGGAGGAGGAGGUGAAAGAGAGGGCGUCUCAGUGGGACCAACCGGUGUCGGAGUACAAUGAUUUAGCUGAGAAAUACUUGGGGCUUCAACAACCCGGCUCCGUUUAUGGCUUCUCGGAUGCUGGUAGCGGUUUCAAAAGGGUCCGUUUUUAUUCGUUUAGUUAAAAUUACUAUCUGAGAUUUACAAGUCUAUUAACUUAUAUAAGGCCCUUUGCUCAAUGAUGUGAAAUUGUUUGUGAAAAUUGAGAGUUUUGUGCUUGAAACUUAAACAUGGGGAAGACUUUAAUUGGGGGUUUUUUUAAAAUGCUUAACUGAAAGUUGAAAUUUUUAUCAUUUUCAAAAAAAAAAAAAAAAAUCCCUUGUUAGAUGAUAAUUAGUUGAAAAUUCAGGGAAAUUGUAUGUUGAAAGCUGGAAUUUUUGUCCUGUUAGACAACUUGCAUAAUCUGAAAAAUGAUACUCUGUUGGUUUUUAAUGAGAAAGGCUAAAUCUUUUGCUACUGCUGUCCUUUCUAUUGUGUAGUAUAUAAAUUUCUGCUAGUUUUGAAUUUUCGAUGUUUAUUUGUGUUUGUGAUGUACUAUGUAGUUAACAUGGACAUUUGAGAAGGAAGGGACGAAGCUGGAGUGGCGAUGGAAGUGUCAACCAUCACCAAAUAGUAAGAAAACCACAGCAGAUAUCUUGGAUUUUCUGAUGGAUGCAAAUAUACGGCUGAGUGUAAGAUUCUUGUUAUAGCCUAGUUAUCUUAACCAAGCUUAUGACUUCUUGCUUUGUGGAUAAAGCUGUGCGAAGGGUACCCCUUUGUAAUUUUUUUCUGUUCCACUAACUAUAUGGUUCAUGAUCUUUUUGUAAUAGGAGGAAGUUGUCAGGAAAACUGACUUAUUUGAAAGGAUAAAAUUGGAAGCUGAAAAAUGUCUAGCUCAAAGUGAGAAACUCAGUCUUGAGAAGGCAGAAUUUGAAAAUGAAAUCUACGCAAAGGUUUGUUUCUAAUAUAACCACCUUUGCUUUGCCCUUCCAGUUUUAAAUUGGUGCUUAGUGCAUGGAUACUUGUGUGGUUAUUCUUUUGCCUGUCAUAUCUGAUAAGUUGCACCACACACGUACCCCUUCAUUCAUUCUUGCCUUGAGAGUAACAAUUAUGAACAGAUGACCUUCCUGCUGCCUUGCGUUCAGUAUGGUAAUAAUUUUUUUUCCCUUUAGGAAGUUUAUGCAAAACUAAUACUUGAGAAAUAGUCAGAGAAUGCUUAUUUUAAGAAGGUAAAAUCUGAAAUGGUUUAAGAAUAAACAAACAACGGCAGUAAUGGAAACUCUUUCUACAUGUCCAUUAACCAAAAGAGAAUACCUAUUCUAAAUGCCAUGUUCCCAGAUGGCAUUUGAAUAGAUCCAGUUCACUUGUUUCUGUUGUCUAUAGCAAACACAAUCUGUGGGAGUCUGUAUAUUCUUCCACAAAAGCCAUCCUUUUCAUGUGGCUGAGCAAAAAUGAGGCCUGAAGCGAUCCUGACCUCCUAUAAAUAGCUCAUACCAAUUGUGUUAGGCUUUAUUGGCAGUUACAAAGGAAUGCAACAUAGUUUGAUUUCUUUCAUUUUGCUGAUUAUGAUUUGUGUAUGAUUAAAAAAAAAAAAAGCGCAUGCGUUUCUGUGUGAUAUGAUCAGAUGUUCCUAAACAAUGUUGGUGAUGUUAUAGCCUCUUUCUGUGUCACAGUUUCUGGGAGUUCUGAACUCAAAGAAAGGGAAACUCAGAGAGCUUCGUGAUCGGCUCUCAAAACAGAAGAUGGCUGAACCAGAAGAAGAGGAGCAGCAACAAUCGACUGACAAAACUGAGAGUUUUGAUGAAAGAAGUGAUGAAGACAAAUCAGAGGAAGAGGCUGGGACUUCUAAGGAUGCUCCAGCCAGUAAAUCAGUCGCUGCUCCAGCCAGCAGGUCUCGUGGUAGAAAGAGGAAGUAGAUGUGUGUGUGACAAAAUUCAGCAUGCACAGCAAGUCUCCUUUUUCCCCCCUUCUCUUUUACGUGAGAUAUGUUUAUCAGGAGACUGAAGCUCCUGUUGUAAAUAUUUGUGAUCCUUUCACUGGGUUAGUGUGCUCGAGGCAUUUUUCAAGAUUCAGCUGGUAAACCUCACAGUUAUGACUUCAUAACCAAUUUUUCUACGAUAGUCUCUCAUUGAAUUGCGUUUGAUCUUUCCUAUGCUAUUCAGCUGGAAGGAAUAAUUGCAAAUUAGAGGAUUUCCCUUCUAAUAUUGAAUGUUGUAAUCUUCCUUGCUGAGUAAUUACUGAGAACAUGCUUUUGAACAAUCUAAUGGGCCUCAAUUCAUGGAAACUGAAAAUUUUAAAAACUACGCUUAUUUGGAAAUAAGGUAAAUUUGAUCAAUAGAAUCAUUUUGAUUUUUCAAGAUUCACUAGUUAUGAUCCAUGAGAAUUAUAAAAUCAAUUGCAAAUAAGAAUGACUUCAUCUAGAGUUUGAUCAUUAAACAUUUUAGAGCUUUCUAAAAUAUCUUCUUCUAUUAGUCUAACAACUCGUGCAUGGUUAAAAUAAACAUUUUUUGAACAUUAAGAAAUAAAAGCAGUAUCUGUGAGAAUAUAAAUUUAUAACAAAUGUUUGGAUAAUUCGCCACAAUUUAAUAUAUUAAACACCAAGUAAUUUCCAAUAGCAGUCAAAAAGUAUUACUUAAUAAAUAUUUUUUUGAGAUAUAUUAAACUACGUGUUUUACAAUUUAUUCAUAUUUACACGGUAGACCAAUUGAUGCACAAGGUUGCUCGGGUUUGGUGAUGAGAUGUGUUUUCCGAACUAUAAAUUAUGAACCUAAUGAGUUUGGGAAGAAUCGUUCAAAAUAUUUAUCACAUUUCAUCGAAAUUAAUUUUUUCAUCUUUCACUCUUAAAAUAUUAAUUUUGUGUCUUAACAAAAUUUUGUCCAAAUUAAAAUUUGUCCUUCACUUUUUGAAAUAUCCAAUCACUAUUCCUAACUCCGCUGCACUCCCCAUUUUAUUAGGAUUAGGAUUAGGAUUAGUAGUAUUUAGCCCGUUUAAAAGAUAGGAUAGCCUAUUUCGCAAGAGCGCGUCUCUGGAAAGAAGGCAAAAACGCAGUCGUUUUACGUAGGGUCGGAUCCAAGUUCGAUCCAAACAACUCAGCUCAGGCGCCCGAAUGACGUUUUCUGUAUCCUCCUAAUUCUAUACAUCUCCAUAAUCCCUAUAAUCUCACAAGCUGUAAGAUUUUGUGGUCCAUCUUCCGAGUCCUUCCACCAACUGUUUGAAGUCCUGAAUUUUGUUGUAGCGAUAAAAGGAAAACGAAGCUGGUGCUUUCUUCAUUUACAGGUAACGUGAUUAUGUUGGAGUUGCGGAUUAAUUGAUUUGCUGAUAAGCCCGCAAUCAUUUUUUUAGUUCAGCUGAUUGUUGUUCUUGUUUGAGAAAUUACAAUCUAAGUACUAAGUUUUCUAUUCGUUUCUAAAUGUUAUUGAUGGUAUAUUGAUGUUCGUGAAUGUUAUUGGUGGUAUAUUUUGCAGUUUAUUGGAGAGUCUUGGGACAUUUAUAGGAUAAAAUUAUGCUUUCGGGAUUAAAAUUCAUCCCUCGAGACAAGAUAGAAGUAAAGGUAAAGUUUUGUGAUAGACAUGUGAUUGGGUUAGCUUGUAUAAAUGUUUAUUCUUUUAGUUGAAAAUGAUAAUAAUGUAUAUUUUUGCAAUUUUUCUGCAAUAUUUUUAUUCAGGGAUUGGACGAGGAUACGGAUGGUUGUAGGAAAGAGAGAAAGAAGUCUAGAACUAGGAAAGAGAUAGAUAGGCGUAGGCGUAAAAAGAAGAAGGGUUCCCAUUAUAGUAGUAGUUCAGACGAUGAAGAUUUUGGAAGGAUAAAGUCAGGGUUUGAAAAGAAAAAGAAAUGGUACGCCUCAGAUGACGGCUUGUCUUCUUACUCAGACAGGAGUGGCAGUGAAAGUGAGUCUGAUCACAAUGAAAAGAAAGGUAGGAGUGGGAAAAGGAAAGAGAAGAGAAGAUGGAAGGAUAGAUUAGAAGAUGAAGGAGUAGGCAGUACAAUAAAGAAGAAGAAAAGUCGGAGGAAAGAUUCUGAUGAUGAUGAUGAUUACUCUUUGAAUGAUUAUGGAAAUGAAGAUUCUGAUAAUGAGAGCCACAGUAAGAAAGGAAAGAGAAGAUGGAAAAAGGAUAAACGAGGAGAGCUUGAGGAUGAUGGUAUGCUUUUCUCUGCUAUUGAAAAUUUAAUUUAAUGACAUAUUAAAUCCUACAUAUUUUGCAUGUUAUUACUCUCAAAUAAGCAAUAAAUAAUCCGACUUAGGGUCAAACUUAACUUCUGCGCUGCCCUAUCAACUAGCGUAACACCUAGCUGGGUACUGAUUGUAUCUCUUGAUUAGAUGUUGACUUUCUUUUCUGUUGCUGUUUAUUGUAUCCAUAAUUAAGUUGUGAACUUCAGUUAAAGUUUUCAUUUUAUACUAUAUCUUAGGUUUGUUACUAUAACAGGCAGUAGUUUUUCAGAUUUAAGGUUAUCUCCUGGUAAAAUAGACAAUUUUCAGGUGGUCUAGAUAUUAUUAGCCCAUAAAUUUGAUGAAAUUAUUUGACUCCUCCAAACUGUCUAUUCUUUUGCUUGAUUGGUCAGAUGAUGGUGGAGGAUCUGAAUCCCAGAAUUUGAGAGACAUUUCAAGGAAAGAAAUGGGUUUAGACUGGAUGCUGCGACCGAAGGAUACCAUGGAAAAGACUCCAGGUACAGCUUUGGACAAUCAACAGGAGGUUCAGGUUGAAGCUGAAGAGGUAAGCUUUCAAUGUAUUUAACACUUUUUUAUGUAAAACCUGCAAAGACAUAAAUUUAAUGUUUGUUCAUCACCAUUGAACAUUCUGUAGUGGCAACUUUUUAGUUUAAGUAGGUAAAAGUUCUGGUGAUGGAGAAACCUUGGGAUCAACAGUUGUGAAAGCAACUUUUAUGUUCUUUGGUUCCAAAAAAUAGCUGCCACAGACUUUUUGGCUUUGAUUGUUUGCCCCAGUUCCCUUUUUGACUGUCAAGCAAAGAGGAAAAUGAUUGGGGACUGCUUUUUGGUAAUUGGAGUUUGAGGAACUUUGUGGUUAAUGGAAAAUAGAUAGAACUAACAUUUAGGAUCUAUAAAACAUGAAAUGGAGAGGAGAGUAGAGACACUUGGAGAGGCUUUAAUGGCUUUCUUGGAGUAAUUGGAUUAAGGACAUGGUUCUUUUUCUAGUACAUUCUCUGGACUAUUAGCUUAGUAGCAAUGAUAACAUUUUAAUCCUGGGUACCUUGAAGGAGAAAAUCUGAAGCAUUGCCAUAUGGCUUUUGUUGAGUUGAGUUGUACUGUCAGUUCAUUUGUAAUAUGAUUGGUUUGACUGAUAUGUGAUUACAUGUGUUUUUCUUAUGAAUGUUGAGAUUCUUUUUCUUGCCUGUUGUAGAUUGUUCUUUGGGCUGAUUUUCUCUGUAGAUGCACAUGCCCUCAUCAUGCAUUUUCAGAUACAGUUUGGUUAUUCUAGAUUGCAUGCUAUCUUUGUUGGUUCAGAUUAAGAAGGAGAAUCCCAGGGAGCUGAAUCCAUAUUUGAAGGAUAAUGGUAGUGGGUAUCCAGAAGAUUCAGAUGCUAAUGCUCGUCGGAACCAACUUUUUUCCUCUUCACUUGUGGGUGAUGGAGGUGCAAGCUGGAGGUUGAAAGCAUUGAAACGAGCACAGGAGCAAGCAGCCCGUGAAGGACGGAAGCUUCAGGAGGUAUGUGGAGGUUUCUUAUGAGAAGAUUCUUCUUUCAAGUUAGUAGUGCAUAAUGAACUAACUUUGCACAGGUAGUUGAAGAUCGGUGGGGCUCUCUUGGAGAGAUGGCAGUUUCUGCGGCAUCUCAUAGAGUAGCACCAAAUCAUGCUCAUCUUCAUGCGAUAAAAUGUAGGAGGAGAGGGCUAAAGGAUGAAGGACAGACAGACACAGAUGGAGACAAGGGAAUAUUUACUGAGAAGGUAUGCUUUCUCCAGAUUGUAUUGUUCCUGAAGGGUGUUGGCUUAAUGAAGCAAUAUUUUCCAAUAUUAAAAGAAAUAAGUGACUAUUUUUGGUAAUUUUUCAAAAUUUUCCAUUAUUUUCCUGGUUAAAUUCUUUUUAAUGGUUUUCUUCCCUUUCUUGAUAAGUUUUAGAAUCCUAACAGUAACUUUUUGCAGGAUGGAUCUUCCCGCCAUACAAAAAUGAGAGUACCGAAAGUUCAGGAUUCUUUAUCCUGGGGAAAGCGCAAGAUGCCUGCUCAGGAUAUCAACCUCUCUGCUGCAGUGAAUAGCUUAAAUAAGUUUUCCAAUGAUGGAAGCUUUAUGCGUGACUUUAUGCAAAAGAACAAUGAUAGUUUAAAUGAUCCUGUCAGUUCAUCAAAUACAAAAAAUGACAGACUAGUGGAAUCCAAUUUGGUUGAAAGACAUGGUGAAGAUGGUCCAACUGUGAAGCCAGCAUUGACGGCAAAUCAGUUGGCUGCUAAAGUCAUGCAGCUUCGCAUGAAAGGGAAGCAUGAAGAGGCUCAAAAGCUCUUGGUAGGGAACCAUUUCAGUUUUAGUUUUUAUCUGGUUUUAUAUACAAAAUUACAUAUAUUAUGGCAUGUGCAUAAGCUUAUCUUUCUCUCAUUUUAAUCUCCAUAAAGUGAUCUUCCACUGCAUAUGAGGAAUCCAAUUUUAGAUUUUCCCUGCACCAAAUGAGUUUGAUCAUUUUCAGUUUGUAGAAAUGUAUGUGCAAUCACAUUACAAUUAUGGAGCUUAGCAUGUAUAAUAUUAUGAUCCAUGUUUAGAAUUUUCAGUUGACACUGGCCUAGUAGAUGCCAACAGGAAGGAAUGAUUAUUCUUUCUUUCUUUUUACAAUCAAAAUUUGUUAGGGUAGAAAAAUCAGUACAACUAGAGCAAUUUAAUUAAUUAACCUUAGCUAUUUUUGGGUAGCAAUUCUUUCUUUCCUUUGACAUUUUUGGUUGACGGAAAUCUUCUGGAACUGCUUUCCGUGGUGAUUUCAUCACAUAGAUGCCACAUUUCGGUUGGAGCGUUGACCAGCCCCCCCCCCCUCCCCCCCCCACACACACACACACCAACCACACAAAAAAAUCCAACUUCUUUAGUCCUGGCUCUCUACUGUUUUUUUCCCUGUUAGUUACUCCAUGUAUGUUUUUAGUCUUUUUAACAUCAGUAUUACUUACCAAAAGGUUCCAUUGGAAUAUCAGAGAGGAAGACAUGAAUGUUGUGUUGCAUCUUGUUUUAGAAACUCAAGGGGAUUGUGUAGUGUUCCCACUGAUCAUAAGUGGAAGAUCUGAAUGUCGGGUUGCCUUUGUUUGUAGAAAUUCAAGGAAACUAUCACAUUAGCUUAGAAUUUAAAUUACAUUUUAGAACCUAAGUUGCCCAUGAUUAACAAAUUUUUCUCUUACCUGUUCAGGAGGAGGCAGAAAGCACAAAGGUGAAGCCAGAUGCUGAGGAGGAGUCUCACAGACCACGGAUUGAUGGGAGCACAAGCAGGUAGACUUGAACCACCAUCUGAUAUCACUUUAUUUUAGUUGUAGUUCAUUGCAGAAUUCUCAAACUCUUUGAGUUUUAUCAACAAUCUUUUAUCAGAUAUAUCAUGCAUGACGUAUCUGCUCGACAAAAGAUGAAAGAGGAGGAUGCUGACUUGCAUCUGGCUCAAAAGAUAAUGCGAAACCAACAGUAUAAGGUAUCUGGUCAGGCAGAUGAUGAGUAUGAUUAUGAAGAUGGUCCAAGGAAAAAGACUCGGCAUAAAGGAAGGGGUACAGACCAAAAAUCAAAUGAGAUAAGUCAGGCAACUAGGAUUGCAAAUCGCCUCUUGACACAGAAAGAGAGGUGUCAAUUUUGUUUCGAGAAUCCAGCAAGACCAAAGCAUCUUGUUGUUGCCAUUGCAAAUUUCACGUACCUAUCAUUACCCCACCGGCAGCCUGUUGUACCUGGUCAUUGCUGCAUUGUAACUAUGCAGGUGAAAUUACACAAACGCUCUCUCUCUCUCUCUUCAUAUUCACAUUUGAUACCUAGAUGGGAGCAGGGUUUCCCCCUUACAUACAAAAUGUUAAUAAUCUCUCUCUCUCUCUCUCUCUCUCUCCAUAUUCACAUUUUAUACCUAGACCUGAGCAGGGUUUCUCCACUGUAAUUCUAGAGCUUGAGUGUCUAUGACGAAGUGGCCUUCCUCCUUUCUAGUCUGUUUGUAGGAUAAGCUGCAUGUCCCUCAUUCUUUAGAUAUAUCUCAGCAUUCUGAUUCACAAACUUAGACUGGUAGGAAUUGCUUUCUCCUUUCUUUUAGUGAUAUUCUGUAUACAAGUUUGACUCUUACCUAAAGUGGUUGGGUUUGCAUUUUUGGUUAAAAACGAACUAAGAGAACCUGGAUGGAUACGCAUUACUGAUGUAUCAUGAUGUGUUUUAGCUACUUGUAGUGUCCUAGUGAAGGUUGAGCAUUUGCAUCCUUAAAAACAGAGUGGGGCUGAGUGUAUUUUCUUAUCUGUGUUGUGGUUAAUCCAUAGGGCGGCAAAAGGUAAUAUACAUCAGAUUAACAUUUCAUUAGAUGUUGAAGAUGUAAAAUCUUGGAAAACUAGAUUACCGUUUCUGCUUACUAUGGUGAACUUUUAUGAAGGACAUUUAAGUUUUACGCACUAACAUUGUUGAUAAAGAAAUGAAAAAAAGUUUACUUACCUGCUGAAUUGUUCUUGGAAUUAUUUUCAUCAUCUCACUAGUGGUAACAAUGGUUUUUGACCUGUGCAGCAUGAGUCUUCAACAAGAACUGUGGACAACAAUGUAUGGGACGAAAUCCGGAAUUUCAAGAAGUGCCUGAUAAUGAUGUUUGCUAAGCAGGAUAAGGAGGUUGUAUUCCUUGAAACAGUGAUGGGCUUGGCACAGCAACGCCGUCAUUGUUUGCUGGAGUGCAUUCCUCUGCCCCAAGAAGUUGCAAAACAGGCACCUUUGUAUUUCAAGAAGGUUAGUUUUCUGCAUUUUCUUCUGUUUUUGCAUCACUUGGAUGGUUAAUCUUAAAGAUGAUCUGAACUCUGGAGGUUUUCUUUCCUUUUUUUUUUUAAAUUCUUUUUCAAUUUUGACCGGUCAGUACUUGUUGAAUAGAGAAAAAUAGGAAUUGGAGUUCAUGGGCUCCUUUUUGACCAAAAUUGUGUGGUUUUUGGUUUGGUAUGAUAAAAUGUUUGCCAUGAGGAGAUUGCUGCGUAGGUACAGGCACAGAGGGUCGUGCACACUUUUCAUUUUGAAAAUUGACAGUGUUAGUAGUUAUGAAGUUUUAUAAUAGCCUUUCCAACUUUAUCUGAAUCAAGUGUGAAAGUAGUCUUUUUGAGUGUUUGACGAAUCUGAUGAUUGAUCAAGACGUGUGAAGCAAAGGUAAAAUUGAUUGAUUUGCAUGCAGAGCAAUGAUCAUUAUAAAUUGCUGGGUCAUUGCAUCAGAAAAUUACCUUAAAACUAAUUUUUCAUAAUAUCUGGUAUAUGAGUUCUAUCCAACUUUGGUAGUUACGAUCUAGCUAGAAAGGAGAAAUAUCUGUAUACUUGUAUCUAUAUUACUGAAAACUGAAGAGAGUAAACUCCUACUGUUUGUUGUUUAUAGAUCAUUCAGUCGAUGAUGAAUCAGAUCUUUUGAUUGAUUAUUUUGGUUAAUAUGUUGAUGGCUUGAAAGCAAAAAACUGCUAGAGUCUCAUGCUUGGAUACUUUGGCUACCUGUAAUCACAGGCAAUUGAUGAGGCAGAGGAGGAGUGGAGUCAACAUAAUGCUAAGAAGCUGAUUGAUACCAGUCAGAAGGGCCUCCGUGCUUCAAUUCCAAAGAACUUCCCGUACUUUCAUGUUGAAUUUGGCCUGGACAAGGGAUUCGUUCACGUGAUUGAUGAUGAAAAGCAGUUUAAGAGCAACUUUGGCUUUAAUGUAAUAAGAGGUAUGCUGCGCUUGCCUGCUGAAGACAUGCAUCGUCGACAGAAGCACGAAUCGUUGGAGAUGCAAAAACAAGCUGUAGUUGGUUUUGCUCGAGAUUGGGAACCAUUUGACUGGACGAAACAACUUGAUUAGCAAUAUUGAGCACAAAUGUUCUACAGGAUGCUGGCUAGAUAUACUGUAAUGGCUUUGUUUUGUAUUAUAGAGCUUUCAGGAGAACUGGUGAAAGUUGGCAUCCCUGCAUUCCAGGUGCAACUAUUGACUAUUGUAAACCUGAACGUCAAGAAGCAAAUGCUUUGAGAUAUAUUGGUCGGGGCAUGUUGGGAUGUUCAAUCUUCUUUUGAGUGCUUGGGUUGUUUUGUAAAUGCAAGGUCAUUUUGGUUAAGCAGAGCAUGUCAUAAGCUGUGUCAAUAAUUGGAGAACAGUUGCGAACUGAAAAAUUGCUAAUAGAUCAUAUUUUCGAGUUGUGGGCUGAUGAGGGAAAAUUGCUGGACUUUUUAAGACACCAUUGCUAGAGCUUUUAAAGGUUAGAGUGGGCAAAAUAAUUGUUUACCCAUUCCCCCAUCCUGCGAUCUGCAUCCACUUACAGUUGAUCUUGAUAAAUUAGGCAUGCCAUCUCUGGCUGUUUUUUGUUUUCUGAAAAACAAAUUUGUCUAUAUAUUUUUUAUGGGUAAGAAAAAAAAAAAAAAUUUUUGGUAUUGUUACAGGUAAAAGUCUGGACGAUGGGAACAUAUUUGUAUUGUGAUAAGCCCUUCUUUUUAUAAUUUCAAAAACAAAUCCAAAAGUUUUAUGUAAAGAUAAAAAAAGUUGCUCCACAGUAAAGCCUGCAAAAGCUACGCAUUCAUACCAUCAGCUACAUACAUUGCAAUGAAUCUUUCAUACAAUACAAUGUGUGCAAGCAAUAAAUUUUUCGUGCCUGCAUCCGCUACAUAUUUUUUGAUAGAUCAUUUUGGUGUAAAACUGACUUAUCACAUCACAUGCAAUUCCUUCAUUUCCUCCCUCUCCCGAUAGCAGAACAAGCCAAGCCAAAAUUACAACCUGCCAUUCUAUAACCUGAGCCAAUAAAAAUCGCAGAUGUUAAAAUAUUCUCAGUCCCACUAAGAAGAAAGCAAGAAAAAUACUGAUGAAUAUUCAAAAUACCACUAACAAAAAAGCAAAAGAAAAUACUGAUAAAAGUGCAGAGUGAAAAAAAAAAAGUAUUCAAACCCCAAGCUUUGCAAGCCCUCAGAAAUUCACUAGAAUACAUCUCUUUUAUACAACAAAGACUUGUAAUUGUUUAAUGAGUUAUCAUGACCAAUACAUCUCUUUAUACAAAGAAACGCGGUUGAUGAAACAAAAGGGAUAAAAACUAAAAAGAUAAUCAAUCAGAUAGAAGAUGAUCUCAAAAUCGCAUCUUCACAACCGCGGUUUCUCUGUAUAAAAAAAUGGAAUGAGUCAUUCCUGCUACGUAGCUGCCAUGAACAGACAGCAGAGAAAGAUAGAAGGCUGCUAGGGUUUUAGGCACCCUUUUGGACUGCGCCCAAAUAUGUGUGGUAGUUUUUAUAGGGGACAGAACAGAACAAAGUCGGCGACAGAAAGCAGGGGUCAAAGUGACCAAAUCUAGUAGUAUAGUAGGGCUAGGGGGGAUAUUCGAGCUCAUUUGGGCUGCUGUCUGGGCUGAGGAAUUAAGACCCUAAAAAAGUUCAACUUUGGUUUGUGCUUAAAGUAGAUAGAGUUGGUUUACGAGGCUCUCUCAUUGUACAAUUUUUGGCUUUUUGGCGAUAACCAACAAAAAAAAGUUAUUUUUAAAAAAAUCUUUUUCAAACAUCUUUUUUUUUUUAUAAUAAUUUUUUCAAACAUCUUUUUGUCUUAUAUAUUAGAUCACAAAAAAUAUCAUAAUGUACAUGCAUUGAAAUGUUGGGUCGACGAUUAGGUUGAAAAAUUAGGACCUUAACAAUGCACCGUUAUUGAAAUUUUGGAUCGACGACUAAAUUAAAAAUUAAGAUCUUAACAAUACAACGUUGUUGAAAUUUUGAGUCGACGACUAAAUUGAAAAAUUAGAAUCUUAACAAUGCAUCGUUGUUUUCGAUUGCUUGUCAAUAAGUAAUUAUCGUAAUUUAACACUCUUUAAAUCUUGUUUGGAUUGCCGUUUUUCGCCAAAAAAUUACGUUAUUUUCCAUGAUCACAUUUCCCUAUGAACGUUUUCUCUCACAUACAUCAAAUCGCUACAGUAAUUUUUCCAUGAAAAAUGCAAUCCAAACGUAACUUAUUCUUGUCUUUAUCAUUUUCCUUUUUAUAAGGUACUAAAACCUGAACCAAAAAUAAAUGCCUUUUUCAUUUUUUUAAUUACCUUUGUAUCUUAUAAAUACCAUAUCAGAAAAAACUUAAAAAUAUAAAAUAUAAAAUAUUUUUCCAAAUAACGUUCAAUAUAAGCUUGCAUUUUUCAAUAUAAGCGUACAUGGGCGUACAAAUUCCAAAAGGUAAAGUGGCUAGGUGUCGAGAAUUUUGUGUUCUCUUGCUUUCUUACAUUUUAGGCUACAAAACGAAAUUAGAAAAGGAAAAACCUCUGUAGGGGUUUUAUACGAGGGAAGUGAAGUUUCUUCUUAAUCAGAUGCUCUGGAGUCUGUAUACUCUGUUCUCAAAGCUCUUGUGCUUAGAUCUUAAAUUUUAGUACCCAUUGGAAUCCAAAAGGAGAACGGGACACUAUCCUUCAAGAGGUGUAGCGCCCGUUUUCUUGUGUCUCACCCGAAGAAAAAAAAGCUACAGGUUGGAAUUGAGGUAAAAAAUGAGCAAGUUCUGCGCCUCAAAUACCUGUUCUCUUCUUUAAAUUCAAUGGUUUGAGACCCUUUCUUCUUUUGUUUCAGCGUUUUAAGACCCCUUUAUGUAUCUUAUUGACAGGGGCAUAAUUAUCGAGAGGUUACAUCGUGGGAGAAUAUAAUGUGCAUAACUUUUUUUUUUUUUUCUAAUUUUAUGAGAUGGGUUCUGGGUUAACAGGUGUAAAUUUGGAGUUAGCUGUUUAAAACAAUAUGUUAACUACGGGUGUUAUUGAAUCAGUCAGUAGAAAGAUGUGUGCAUGGUAGAUGCUUGAUAAAAUGCUUCGAUUAGCUUGAAAGGUAAAGUUUAAGAUUUAUGUGUAUGAAAUUCUUGAUUUAGAACACGGGCUUUCAAGCACUGAAAAUAGUUUAGAAGCGCUGCCAGGCCUUCAAGAUUGCAAUAGAUUCACCAAAAUGGUUAAUGGUUGUGAGUUUGUGUAUGGUUGAUCAACAAGAAGUCUUCUUUGCCUUGAUAGCUCUCUUGGUAACAAAUGUCAAUGCCAUUAGUUUUCCUUCAACUCAUACAGGCAGCAUAAAGAAGAUGCAGAACAAAUUUGUAUUGUUUCUGGAAUUGUACGAAUAUUGAAUGGACGUGUAUGCUGGAAUUGUAGAUUUCAGCAGUUCAGUUCCUUAAUGUUACAUUGAAAAAUCACCCCGGAGGUGCAUGAUUCCACAGAUGAAAGUUAAUAGCAUAAAAUAAGUUUGCCCAAAUUUUUGAUGCUUUAUAUAUAUUAAUAAGAUAUAGUUGUGUUUUACUAGUUUCCCAAGGGAAAUUGGGAUAGCAUCAAUAAGAAAAGAUCAGAGAAGAAAGGAAGUCUGAUGACUUCCAUACUUAAGACGAACCAUUUCAUUGGCUUACCGUGAAUGGAUCCUAAAAUUUCUUGCAAAUUUUGUUGCUAAUAGCAAAUAGCAAUUACUUUGAUAUAAUUUACCAAAGCAAAAAGUAAAAUUACGGUGAUAUGACAUUAGUGGUGACGAUUAAAUUCAAGCUUAACUAAGUGUAAGAAACAGUUCAUUAGAUUAACAACAUUAGUUUCCUAUCAGUUUACAUGUAUUCCACAUUCUAAUGAGAGUUUCCCUUUGGAUCAGUUUGUAAAAAUUGAUGAAACACUAAGUUCAUCUCCAGAAAUUCUGGUUGUGAUAUUCAUCUUUUUUCCUCUGGGACUUUCUAAUGAGUGAAAGAAACUUUUAUCUCUAACCAUGCAAAACAGCAAGAAAAAGUUAUCUUCAGCUAGUUUGGGAAAAUGGAAUUAGGAGAGUGUUGAACUAUCCUUAGUGGAAAUCUAAUGCCACUAAACUUAAUUUACCUAUGACACUGUAGCCACUGGAAAGAUGUGUCACUUUUUUGCAUGUUGGAUUAGUACCUGCAUCAUAACUGAAAGUGUUGAAAGUUGAAGAAUUAUGGUAUCAUGCAAGGUUAGUUGUUUGGGAUAUUUAGCUUUGCAUACAUGACCAACUCACUCUCUCUCUCUCUCUCACAUUUCUAAGAUUUAUUAGUCCGAGAUACUUGCUUUUGUUUAUAUACUGCUGAUAUAUUGCUUUCUUGAUAGCGUUAAGAGUGAUGUCAGGAGCAACAUCUCUUGGAAAGCUUGCCAGACAGUUCAGUCAAAUCAGACUAUAUGCUACCCAUCUCAAUGUGGAUGCUCGAUAUCCAGUUCGCAGCCUGAGAAGUGCAAGUUCAGUUUUAGACAGCCAAUCCAGCAGUGAUAGAGUGCCUCAGUUCCCCGAUGAAGAUGCUGGAGCUUUGUCCAGGAUCCGAAUAGGGGAAAAUAUCUCAAGGAAGGAUAAGGCCAAGUUUCUUGUCAGUACACUCGAACUCAAUGAUAGCAAAGAAGCUGUGUAUGGUGCACUUGAUGCCUGGGUUGCAUGGGAAAGGAAUUUUCCUAUAGGGCAACUGAAGAAUGUGCUGAUUAACCUUGAGAAAGAGCAACAGUGGCAUAGGAUUAUCCAGGUUAUAAAAUGGAUGCUAAGCAAGGGGCAAGGAAACACAAUGGGUACAUAUAAGCAAUUAAUUCAGGCGCUAGAUAUGGACCACAGGGCACAAGAAGCGCAUGAAUUUUGGAGGAGGAAAAUUGGCUCUGACUUGCAUUCAGUUUCUUGGGAACUAUGUAAAGUAAUGAUUUCUGUUUAUUACCGAAAUAACAUGUUACAGGAUCUUGUAAAACUAUUUAAGGGGUUGGAAGCCUUUGAUCGUAAACCGCCAGAGAAAUCUAUCGUGCGGAAAGUGGCUGAUGCAUAUGAGAUGUUAGGUUUACUUGAAGAGAAGGAACGAGUAUUGGUUAAGUACGAGGAGCUAUUCAAGGAUAACAUGAAGGGGCCUUUUGCAAAUAGAAAGAGGCAACUUAAGAAGAAGACUUCAGGGAAGCACAAGGAUGGUCCAGAAAUUGAGAGUCAUAAUGAUGUUUCCCUGAGUGGGCUAUAGAUUGUUUGUCCAUGCUCAAUAUGUACAAAAUGCAGCAUUGCCUUUAGUUUCUCUUCUGAAAUGGAGUAUAAGAAAAGCCUUUUCCUGUUCCAUUUAUUAUACUGCUGAGGAUCUUCUGAUUGUUAUUUCGUAGUUAAACAUCCUGCAGGCUUGCAUGUGUUUGGUUGAUUAAAUCUUUGGAGGUCCAAAAUUCCUAGAAUUCUUCUCGCCAGGACUCUGGUUGAGCUUCUUGUCGGGACUCGAAAUGUUUAAGAAUGUUUAGGCCAUAAGCGUCAUGUCGUUGAGUACUUUGGAAUAGGGGUGGAGCUGAUUCAAGCUACUCGACUCGAGCUCGAUAUGUACUCGAUCAGAAGCUCGAGCUCGAUCUCGCUUCAUCGAGCUCGAGCUCGAUCUCGAGCUGCUCGUUAGAGCUAUCGAGUCGAGCUCGAGCUCAAAAAUUUGAUACUCGAGAGCUCGACGAGCUCUAUCGAGUAUCACAUAAAAAAUUAAAAAAAAUUAUAUAUAAAAUUACUAAUAUAGGUAAAUAAAUUCUGAGAAAUUACCGGUGAGUACCCUUAUCGAGUCGAGCUCGAGCUCGAGUAUAAUUAUAUUAUAGCCGAGUCGAGCUCGAGUAUAGCGGUACUCGAGCUCGACUCGGCUUGAAUACACCCCUACUUUGGAACACACGCGAAGCUCGAAUUGCAGCUCCUCAUCAUGAGAUCCAGGCUGCUUGAAUGGUUUGGCCCGUGGACCUUAAGAAUAUUACAACCAAAACCCUCAAAUUUUCUUUUUGCCCUUUCUUGUACAAAAUAAUCUGCAUUGAAAAUCAGGUCAUUGAAGGAAAAUAAUCUGAAUUAGGGGUCUGUUUGAUUGGAAGUAAAAUUUUCCGUGGAAGUAAUUUUCCAUGAAAAUAAUUUCCCUUUCAUCAUUUUCAGGUGUUUGGUUAGCUUGUUGAAAAUAUUUUCUUACUUCAUUUUUCUGGUGUUUGUUUAACUUUUGAAAUAUUUUCACUUUUAUCUCUAUCUUUACUUUCUACAUAUUAUAACUACAUACUUCUUCCCAUACAAAAUAAUAAAAUUUAUCUCAUUGUUUAACUUUAAAAAAUCUUGGAGAAAUGUAUAUAUGAAUAAAAAAUAUCUCCUUAAGCAAUAAACAAAUUGCUGGUCAUUUAGUGUCAAAUAUCAAUCACAUGCAAUACUUAUUGUGACAUAUAUCUUGCACUCUCACUGCUGAAAGUUUCUCUAGAAAAGAAUGUCCCUAUCAUACAUAAUUAAUUACUAGCAUAGGAUGAGCAGGAUGAGAUUUUUUUUUUUAUUUUGAAUAUACUAAGGGGAGGGUUGGGUUGGGUUGGGUGGUACGCAGGAGGGAGUGUAAGGAAGAGGUCUUGGGUUCGAGUCCUCCUGUUUACACUAAAAAAAAAAAAGAACAUACUACAAGAUGUUUUCAGUAAGUUUGGAACAUACUACAGGCGGGAUGCAUGCAUUUCGGAAAACAACUUCAGUAAGUUUGGAAGGGAAGUUGUUUUCCAUAAGAUGAGUGAAAAUAUUUUACAUAGGAAAAUGUUUUCAGCAACUUUUGUGCAACCAAACACGGGAAAUUAGGAAAAUAUUUUCCUGGAAAACAUUUUCACCCGAAACAAACGGACCCUAGGUUGCACUCGUUAAAAGUGUGAUAUAAUUUAGUUGUAUCAAAAAGUGUCCACUAUUUAGCGAUUAGAAAAUUCCUAAAAACAAAGCAAGUUUUGCAAUUAAGUUUUACAGAAUUAUAAUGGCAAUUUCAAUUAAUUCUUUACAUCUAAAAAGAGUUGUGCAAUUUAGUUUUAUAGCAUUAUAAGGGCAAUUUCAAUUCAUUCUUUACAUCUAUAAAAAUUUAUUCUGUUGGUUGAAUAAGGAAAAAUACUCUGCAUUGAACAUCGGGCUUAAAAAAAAUAAUUUUUUGCAAUUAAACGUUACAAGUGUAAGGAAACAACUGAAAUUCACAUAGAAAAGAUAAAGAUAAAAAAAAAAUAAAAUAGCCGGACUAUUAUGGGCCUGUUUGGAACCUGAGUUUUUUGGGAGUUUGUCUAAAACUUUACUGUAGUGCACUGUAGAAGUUUUUGAAAAAAUUUUGUAGAAGUUUUUGUAAGGUGAAAAACUUUUUUGUAGAAGUUUUUGAAAUGUUACUGUAGACGUUUUUUGGAUUAUUUUUAGAGGUAUUUUUAAAACAUAUUUUUGAGUAUUUUAUAAUUUAUAAUUUUUAUAUUUUUAAACAUUUAUGCAUUUAUAAUACAUUUAUAAAUAUUUAGAAAUAAAUAUAUUUAUAUAUUUAUUUAAAAAUAUAUAAAUGUAUUAUAUUAUAUGUAAUACGUAAUAUACAUAUAUUUAUAAUUGUAUAAUUAAUAUAAAUGUAUAAAUUAUAAAUGAAUAUUAUAUAAAUGUAUAAAUUAUAAAUUAUAAAUGUAUAUGAUGAUUAUGUAUAAAUGUAUAAAUAUAAUUAAUAUAAAUGUAUAAAUGUAUUAAUAUUAUGUAUAAAUGUAUAAUUAAUAUUGUUUAUAAUUUAUAAUUUUUAUUGUUUAAAUAUUUAUAUGCAUUUAUGCAUUUAUAAAUAUUUAUUAAUAAAUAUAUUUAUAUAUUUAUAUAAAAAUAUAUAAAUGUAUUAUAUUAUAUAUAAUACAUAAUAUACAUAUAUUUAUAAAUGUAUAUAUGUAUAAUUAAUUUAAAUGUAUAUAUUAUAAAUAAAUAUUAUAUAAAUUUAUAAAUUGUAACUUAUAAAUAUAUAUAUGAUGAUUAUGUAUAACUGUAUUAAUAUAAUUAAUAUAAAUGUAUAAAUGUAUUAAUAUUAUGUAUAAAUGUAUAAUUUAUAUUGUUUAUAAUUUAUAAUUUUUAUUGUUUAAAUAUUUAUAUAUAUUUAUGCAUUUAUAAUACAUUUAUAAAUAAAUAUAUUUAUAUAGGUAUAUAAAAAUAUAUAAAUGUAUUAUAUUACAUAUAAUACAUAAUAUAAAUAUAUUUACAAAUGUAAUAAUUGUAUAUUAUUAUAAAUGAAUAUUAUAUAAAUAUAUAAAUUAAUAUAUUAUAAAUAUAUAAAUAUAUAAUAUUAUGUAUUAAUAUAAUUAAUAUAAAUGUAUAAAUGUAUUAGUAUUAUGUAUAAAUGUAUAAUUAAUAUUGUGUGUUAAUAUUAUGUAUAAAUGUAUUAUGUUAUACAUAAUACAUAAUAUAAUUGUAUAUAAAUAUACAUAAAUAUAUAUACAUAAAUGUGUAAUAUAUAUAAUAUGUAUUAUAUAUAUUAAAUAUAUAAUAUAUAAUAUUUAUAUAAAUGUAUAAUUACAUAUUUAUAUUAAUAUUAAUUUAUAUGGUAUAUAAUAUUUAUAUAAAUAUAUAAAAAUAUAUUUUAAAUAAAAUAAAAUAUUUAUAAUAUGUUUAAAUAAAUAUAUAAAUAUAUAAUAUAUAUAAUAAAUUUUUGAGGGUGAGGGACUCAAAAAUUCAAAAUAUUUUUUUGAGGUUACCGGCGGCGCCGGAAUAAGUGACCGGCGCCGGGAGAGGUGGUGGAGGCGGUGUCUGGUGUGGUGGGUUGGGUGAAGGAGGAAGAAAAGUUUUUGAGAAAUUUUUUGUGUAUAGAUUUUUGAAGUGUGUAGGUAAAAAACUUUGAAAAGUUUUUUGGGAUUCCUGUAGCAAAAGUUGUUAAAAAACUAGUAGCUAAAAAACUUGGUAAAAAACUAGGGUGCCAAACAGGCCCAUUAUUUUUGUUUUCGAAUCUCAGGCCCUCUUCCAAGCCAAGAAUUGCUUCUAAUUUUUUGGGCUAUGGAUGCUUCUAAUUUUAUAUAUUUCAGAAGUGCAAAUUGAUUCAGAACAGCAAAUAUUAACACACAAAAACCCUUGAAAAACACUCCAUUAUUACAGUCUCAACAAACAAGAUGUGAUGUUUUUUUUUUCACCCAAUUCUUCUAGGUUGGAUGAGAGAUGAUGAUGAUCAUGAAUAGAAUUCAGAGACGCCCUUCCCCCAAUACAUCAUUUGCGUUGUUUCGUUAUUCUACCUCAAAUGCCACAACUACUAUCCAAAACCCACCUGAAAAAUCACCAUUCUUGAAGAAGAUUGUUCGAAACCAAGUACGGAAAAUGUUGUCAGUGAAAAGCAAAACAGGAUUCCGGGAUUUGAAUGAGGCACUUCGUCUGUUUGAUGAAAUGACCCGAGUGCUGCCGCCUCCUUCAGUCGUAAGUUUCUGCCAACUUCUAGUGGCUGUUGUUAAGAUGAAGCAUUAUGCCCCUGCUGUUUCUCUUUUCAAAAGAAUGUGCACUUUGGAUAUGCCCAUUGAUGCUUAUACCGUGUCAAUAGUGAUCAACUGCUAUUGCCAUUUGAAUAGGGUGGAUUUGAGUUUUGCAAUCUUAGGCUGGUUACUGAAGAGUGGUUAUGAACCUGAUGUUACCAUCUUCACUAAUCUGAUAAAGGGUUUCUUUUUUGGGAACAAUGUUGUGGAGGCGGAGGAAUUAUUCAACAAGUUGGUCAGAGAAAAAAUCUGUGAGGUCAAUGAAGUAAUGUAUGGGACCAUGAUAAAUGGGCUGUGCAAAUCUGGUAAUACACAGAGGGCGAUUGGAAUGUUGAGAAUGAUGGAGGGAGGAAAUUGCAAGCCUAAUUCCGUAGUGUACAACACUGUUAUUAGUGGUCUGUGCAAGGAUAGGAUGAUUGAUGAUGCUCUCCAACUUCUUUCAGAAAUGAUUGAGAAGGGGAUUCAACCUGAUGUUAUCACAUGUAGUUCGUUAAUUGAAGGCCUUUGCAAUUGUGGCAGAUUGAAGGGGGCUAAAAAGUUAGUUUCUGACAUGGUGGAAUUAGAUGUGUAUCCAGAUGUUAUUACCUUGAAUAAAUUGGUUCAUGCUUUUAGCAAAAAAGGGCUAGUUAAAGAGGCAGAGGGGAUAGUUCAGAUCAUGGUUCGAAGUGGUGAAGGUCCUAAUGCAUUCACCUACUCUGCGCUAAUGGAUGGAUAUUGUUUGCGAGGGGACAUGAACAAAGCAGCAAAAGUCUUAGAGAUCAUGAUGGCUAGAGGAUGUGCACCAGACAUUUAUUGCUACAGUGUCCUGAUAAAGGGAUAUUGCAAGAAAGGGAACAUAGAUGAUGCUUUAACCUUGUUUCAUGAGAUUCCUCAGAAAGGACUGAAGCCAACAGUCAUCACCUACAACACUGUGUUACAGGGAUUAUUUGAUAUAGGCAGAUCUGCCGAUGCUAUUGAGCUUUUCAAGGAGAUGCAAGCUCAAGGAGUGAGUCCAACUUUAUCCACUCAUAAUAUCUUGAUAACUGGCGUGUGCAAGAAUGGAUUUGUUGCAGAAGCUCUUUCAUUAUUGCGGCGGAUGGAAAAUAGUCACUUAAAUCUUGACAUAAUAACGUAUAAUGCUGUCAUUGAUGGGCUAUGUAGGGAUGGGAAGUUUGAUGCUGCCAAAGAUUUGUUUGACAAACUUCCAUCUAGAGGAUUGCAGCCUGAUGUCAUAACAUAUACUAGUUUGAUAAAUGGCCUUUGUCGAGAAGGGCUACUGAGUGAGGCCAAAGAGUGGCUUAAAAAAAUGGACAAGGAUGGUUGUCCACCCAACAGUGUGACCUACAACACUAUUGUUCGGGAGUUCCUUAAAAGGAGUGAGCAUCACGAGGCGAAGCUACUUCUGGAGGAAAUGAGGAGGCUUGAUUUCUCCCCUGAUCAAUAUACUCGUUCUUUGGCACUAGAUCAGCAUCUAUCUGAAGGGCAAGAGCCUGUUAUCCUUGAUGAGAUGAUCAGUCCCUUGCCGCCAGAUAAUAAGUUGAAGUCUUCAAAUGCAAAUUGAAGGUUAUUCAAUUGUUUUGUGACUGCAUAAAGAUGAAAUUAAGGUAGUUCUAUGCCCCAUUAAAAUUUUGACCAACAAAAUCAACUUGGGAGUUGUGAAGGAAACUAUUUUUUGUUAUAUAUGUCGAAUUACUGAAAGCUGCACCAGUGGCAGCAAAUACAUUAAGGAUCCUUCAAAUCUGAAGAUAUUAACUUGGAGUUGUCAAGGAAAUUAUAUAGGAGGUAUGAUUUAACUCAAGAUUAACUAUUUAGGUGGUGGAGAAACCUCUCCUGAGCUUUCUAACACUUGCACUCACCUCCCUUGUGGUUUGAGAAAUAGCACUGAUCCCCUUGAAGUUAUUGAUUCUUUGCAUAUUCAAUUCAGGAGAUUAAAAUAUUGUUUUAGGGAGUGAAAUGAGAAAUUUGUGUCAAAUUUGCCCUUUGUGCUACAUAUCAAACAGUGUUAGCAAAGAAUUACAAAGUACUACAAAUCAAUUAACAAUUAAUAAAUUUUAAGGGGUGUAGUUUAUAAGCAAAUAAACAUUACCUAUUCAAAGUACCAGUUCUUUUCGGACAUUUUACUCUCAAACAUUUAAUUUAUGAUAAAUAAACUUGUAGGCUAUAUAUUUAAUAUAAAUUAAAUAUUUUUAAAAAAAGAAAUGGUCCAUAAAGUAUUAAUUUUUUAUGGCUUUCCUUCAUUACAUGAAUAAAGUAUUGAGUCUUUAUGAGCAUUUUAUUCUGAAUUAUUUAAUUUAUGUUAAAUACAAAAAUGUUUGUAACUAAAAUUGAAAAAGUGUUACACUAAUAUUUUUACGAAAAGGAAACUGGCAGGUUUUGUAUUUAACAAAAAUUAAAUAUGUGAAAGUAAAUACAAAUUUAAAUAGAGGUUUCAGAUUUUGAGGUCAUAUCACAUGAAUAGAGGUAAAAUACAAAUCUUUUUUAAAUUUAAAUUGCCUGAUAGAGGUAUCAAAUUUAAAUUUGUAUUUACUUUCACAUAUUUAAUUUUGGUUAAAUACAAAACCUACCAGUUUCCCUUUCAUAAAAAUAUUAGUGUAACAUUUUUUCAAUUUUAGUUACAAAUAUUUAUGUAUUUAACAUAAAUUAAAUGAUUCAAAAUAAAAUGCCUAUAAAGAGCCGAUACUUUGUUCAUGUAAUGAAGGAAAGCCAUAAAGAAUUAAUACUUUAUGGGCCAUUUCUUUUUUUAAAAAUAUUUAAUUUAUAUUAAAUAUAUAACCUACAAGUUUAUUUAUCAUAAAUUAAAUGUUUGAGAGUAAAAUGUCCGAAAAGAACUGGUACUUUGAAUAGGUAAUGUUUAUUUGCAGAUUCAAUUAAUUGUUCCUCAAAGCAUACAAACACACAAAAAGAAAGUGUAAAUUUAGAAUCUUCAGUUGCUUUUCGUUAAAAUCAUAUUCAAGUUGACCAUUUUAAAAUUUUCGUCAAAAAACAUUUAAAUUUUAUACUAUUACUACCUAGUAUCUACUUAACCCAAAAGCUAGCUCUAAGAUGCAUGGGACUCAGGACAAACCAAUUUACUGAAAAUGACCGCUUUGUUUGGAUACAUUGGCUCUGUUUGGAUUAGUUGUUUUUGGAAGUGUUUUUUAAAAACUUUACUAUAGUUGUGCAUAUAAAAAACUUUUACUUUAGAUGUUUUUUGGAUUGUUUUUAGAGAUAUUUUUAAAAUAUAUUUUUGAGUAUUUUUAUAAUUUACAAUUUUUUUGGAAUACUUUUUUUAAAAUUUUACACGACCCAUCACUAUCCCUUCCCUUUUCCUCCCCCUCUCUCCUUUCUCUUCCUCUCCUUCCCUCCUCCUCUCUCUUUCUCUCCCUUCUCCUUUCUCCCCCCUCCCCCCAACCCCAAACCCCUCUCUCGCUCGCGGGUGGUGAUUACGACUUUAGUUACCACUCUAACCACGACCGUCUUGGUCACGACUUCUGGUCGCGAUCAGAUUUGAUCGUGACUAGAAAGGUUGCGGUCAGUCGAAGGGAAGGAAAUUGGGGGGCGGGGAAAGGGAAAGAAGAAAGGAGGAAGGAGAAAGAGAGAGAGGAGGAGAAAAAAUGGAGCAGGAGGAGGAGAGAGAGAGGAAAGAUGGGCGAAGAGAGAGAGGAGAGAGGGUCGUGGGUGUGGGGGUGGUAGCAGUAAGGUGGUGGCCGUGGUGGUGGAGAAUGAUGGGUAGUUGUGUAUUUUUUUGUAUAUUUGAAAUUGUUUUUGAUAUAUUGUAUAGAUAUGGUGUUUUUGGAGUUAUUUUUUGUUUGUGUGUUACUGUACCAUUGUAGAUGAAAAAAUUAUUUUUCAAAAAAGUCUGAAUCCAAACAGAGCCAUUAUUUUUUCAAAUAAUAUUUCGUUUACGUCAUAAACAUAUUUUUCAAUUCACUUUUUUAUAUUUUCAACCACCUUUUUAUGUUACAUACAUCACAUCAUAAAAAAAUGCUACAACAAUUUUUUCAAAUAAUCCUAAGAAUUUUAGGGCUUUUUUAAUUCAUUGGGAUUUGGAAACUGAUUUUGGAUGAUUUGAUCCCGUUGGUUUGAAAUCCUAAUGCCUAACGUUUAAUGGCUCAACAGAUUUGUCAUAAUUAAAUAUGCAGUGACUAAUAAGAGACAAAAGUGAAAGCUAACAGUUGAAUUUCUUGCAAUUACAAAAAUUACAAGUUCUUACUGCAUCACUACGAACCAACUGUCAACUUCUUACCAUAUUGUAAUUAUAAAAGUUUACUCUUCAUUGGAUGGCUCAUUAUCUCAUGUGCCUAGAUCUACUACUGUCUCAAAGAUCUACAACUACUCAAAUAGUUUUUUCUUUCUCAAACAAAUUGGAAAGUUUAACUGCAAUAACAUUCUUGAAAAUUACUUUUACCUGUAUUUUUAAAUUUUUUGUUUUCUUGAGGAAGCUCUACUUUUGAUUUCGACUAAAUUCCCAACUUACGGUCUCUACCAUGAAGAAGCUUAUUAGUACACGAAGGAUAAAAAAACAAAAACAGAAACAAGUAAUGGACCUGAAAGUGUUCAAACGUUGGACGACAAAGGGAUAAUUUCAGAAACCUCCCUUGAGAUUUUCGACAAUUUCAUUCGGUUCCUUGGGGGUUUACAUAAUUACAGAGACCUCCCUUGUUAUGAUAAAAAGACAAUAAUGUCCUUUAUUAAUUGUCAACUUAUUAAAAAACUCUAUCAAAUAUUAAAAUUCUCUCAUCCAUUAUUAACCAAUAAUUCAAAUCACAGUUUUUUCUAUUUAACUAUCUAUUCUCUUACUCAUAUAUCUAUUUUUCUUUCAAACUCAUUUGUUUAUUAUUAUCAAUCAAAUGUGUACUGUCACUACUAAUAAAAUCAUCAUACACAUUAAACCACCAAUACUUAUAUAUCUUGGUAUUUAUUCCCAAUUCUCAGUUUUUCAUUAUUAGUAAAUAGUUUCCUUGCGCCCAGUUUUGUUUCCAAUUUUUGAUAGGUAUUAGCAAAUUGAAAUUGUCAAAUGACAAAUUGAGUGUUAAUUUCAUUAUCAAAUUAGAUGGAGAUGAAGAUAGUGACAGUGAUAAAAAAAUAAAAAUUAAGGAUAAGAAGUGAAAUAGGAACUAAAUAUAGGUUAUAUUGUUAUGGUUAUUAUGAAAAAAAGUGUUCUUGGUAUAUAUCUAUAACUGCAUUGUGUUUCUAUUUUUUAUUUAUAAUUAUUGAUAUUAUUCCUAUAGAGAGAAUUUGAUUGAUUUUGAACUUUGUGCCAAUGGAAUAUAUUGGAUAUUGAUAUUAGUAGUGAUGGUUUAGAUUAUUUUGUAUUAAAAAGGUGGUAACCAUAGAAUUGAAAUUUUGGGAUAUUGAUGAAUAUUGUAGUAUAUUAAGUAAAAUCUGAUAUUGUUAUGAAAUUAUAGGUAAGUUUUUGGGUAUAUGAUGUAGCAUUUAUAGUUUAUAUAAUGGUCUGCAUCAGAAAUUUUUAGGUAAAAGAGGAACAUUAGAACAAAGAUAAGUUUUUAUUUAGUAGUGAUUUGGAUGUUAAUAAGUAGGUAAUAGUGGUAGGAAAUAAAUAUAAAUGAAAUAGAGACUGUAAACCAUUUUUUUCCUUUACAUUUUUGUUAUGAAUUAUAACUCAAGGGCAUUAUAGGAAUUUUGAAAAAAGUAUAACCUUUUGGGUCUAGAAUAUUACUUAAAUAGUGAAAAUAGGGAAGGUAAGUGUAAUUUUUAGAAAUUGAGGGGAGUUUUCUGCAAUUGAUAAAAACCUCAGGGGAGGUAUGUGAGAUUAACCCGACGAUAAAACACUAUCCAUCCUGAAAUAUAGCCGUUGGGAAACACUAACGGCUAUAUCUCUAAUCAAUGCCCAAAUCCCAUCAGCUACUCUUAUAUUGCUUCUUCCUUUAACCCCAAAAUCUCAAUCUGAUUCUCCCUCACUUGCCAUCUGAAAUUCAGCAUCCGCUCCAAUUUCUUGCUACCUGAAAAAAAAUUGUGUUUCCAUUUUCGUCUGCCUUUUCUUUCUCUAUUUUUAGCACCCAACCAGGAAAAAAAAAAAGUCAAGAUGAAUGAUUUGAUGACGAAAUCCUUCACAAGCUAUGUCGAUCUAAAGAAAGAAGCAAUGAAAGAUCUCGAAGCCGGUCCAGAUCUAGAAAUGGGGAUGACCCAUAUGGACCAAAACCUCAGUUCAUUCCUGGAAGAAGCAGAGCUGGUCAAGAAAGAAAUGAAUUCAAUCAGAGAAAUCUUGGUUCGUUUGCAAGAAGCCAAUGAAGAGGGGAAGGCUCUGCACAAGCCCGAGGCCUUAAAAUCUCUUCGAACACGCAUAAAUGCCGAUAUUCUGGCAGUGCUGAAGAGGGCUAAGAGUAUUAGGUCUCAGCUGGAGGAAAUGGACAGGGCUAAUGCAGUGAGUCGGCGACUUUCCGGGUGCAAACAGGGGACCCCAGUUGAUCGGACCAGGUCUGCGGUGACUAAUGGGCUUAGGAAGAAGCUGAAGGAGCUAAUGAUGGAGUUUCAGGGGUUGAGGCAGAAGAUGAUGACUGAAUAUAAGGAAACUGUAGGUAGAAGGUACUUUACUGUGACGGGGGAGUACCCCGAUGAGGAGGUGAUUGAGAAGAUUAUUUCUAGUGGAAAUGGACAGGGUGGUGAGGAAUUCAUGUCCAGGGCCAUUCAGGUUUGAAGAAUUAAAACUUUUAGUAUACUUCAUAUUCUAUUCAUUCAUUUUUUUAAAAAUUUUUCUCAUUUCUGAAAUUUAUCUUAACUUUUGGAUUUAUAUUGGUUCUUGGUUUGAGAUUUUAAUUAGUUUCCCUUUUUCAAUUUCGAUUUUAAAAUGGGCCUUUUUGCUAUAAUUUUUUUUUUAGUGGGUGAGGAGGAAAGGGUACUUCAAAUUCUAAUGAUCUGAUAGUUCAGAUUCUUAACUAAGAAGUGCCAAUUUUAGAAUUCUCUAGUAUAAUUCAUCUUGCCUGGCAUUUGGGAGCUUUUGUUCCAUAACCUAUAAUCGAACAAAGUUCCUUCAUUUGAUAUUUUACUUAGUUCUUUAUCUUCUUCAAAGUUGUAUGCAUCUCAAAUCACCCUUUCUAUAUGAUCUAUCUAAUUGGCCCGUUCUAUAUAUGAUAACUCUCUUUUUGUCGCCAGGAACAUGGGAGCGGAAUGGUGCUGGAAACAGUGGUGGAAAUACAGGACAGGUAUGAUGCAGCAAAGGAAAUAGAGAAGAGUUUGCUAGAGCUGCAUCAAAUAUUCUUGGACAUGGCUGUGAUGGUGGAGGCACAAGGGGAGCAACUGGAUGACAUUCAGCACCAUGUGAUGAAUGCUGCUCAGUAUGUGAGUGAUGGAACCAAAAAUCUCAAGACUGCAAAAGACUACCAGAGGAGCAGCAGAAAGUGCAUGUGCAUUGGGAUCAUCCUUCUCCUUGUGAUCAUUCUUCUUGUCAUAAUCCCAAUUGCUACCAGUUUUAGCAAAUCAUGAAUUUCACAUCUUAGUAAACAAUUCUUGUAUUCUUUAAUUGAUUACAACUUUACAUGAGAUAGUGGUUUGCAAGACUCUGUUGGUCCUUUUGUCUUAGGACUGACUGACUAUUGUUCAUUUGAGGGGUGUUACAUUGGUUACUGCUGUAGCCUUAGUGGCUCAAGCAAAGGCAACUUAAGGAACAUAUAUAUAUAUAUAUAUAUAUAUAUAUAUAUAUAUAUAUAGUCAUUUGCUUCAUUUCUUUAUGUCUUCUGUUUUCAUCAUAUUCUAAUGAUUCAUCUACAAUCCUUCAAAGUUUUUCUUCGUAUUUUCUCUGGAGACGUUCUUGACUUCUCAUCAAAGCAAUUUCUAUUUGAACUACAGACUUACAGGAAUUUUGCUGGCUUUUCUUGGCCCCCCCCCCUCCCGCCUCCCAAAAAAAAAUUACCAGAUCCCAAUUUCAUGACAACCAGGAGAGCAAAAUAUGUUGAACACUAAUCACACGGAACAGAAAAGAAUGUUCUUGGAUUUGAAAGUGAAACGUUGGAUGAUUUCAAGCCGAGAAACUCUCACUCCUCCAACCCAAAAUACCCCUUUUUCCCAUUGAGAUCAAUUCAAUUUUCAGACUAAAGUUGUUAUACGUAUUAUUCUCAAACAAAGAGAAUCCUUUUUGUAAUUUCCCAAAAUAUAUGAAAACCUGUUAUGAUUAUAUGAUGAGGAAAUUCUCUAUAGAAUGAAAAGUACCCCAAUAUUAUGAAACACAUUUCUGACGCUGCCACCAUCAAAUCCUGAUUAAGCUUCUUGCAUGCCUCCCAGCCAACUUAAAUCUUAUAAAAUUACGUGUGUUAUUUGUCGUAGCACUACCAUAUAUAACGCAUCAAAAUGCAAGGAAAUAAUAACAAAAUCAUGAGGAAAUGCAAGAACAAAGAGAGAAAAAUGGCAACAAAAUUCAAAGGUAAUUGCAAAUGUUUUGGUACUUUAAUUUACAUCUGAGAUUGUAGGAAUUCUUAUGUUAGUCCCUCUGCACUAUAGUUGACAAGAUUCAAUUCUUGUAGCAAGAAAAAUUAUUCAUGGCCUUGUCAAAUUAUCAUUGUUAUUAUAGGUAGGGAUUCUUGGCCAGAGCUCGUGCCUGGUGGGAACCGAUGGUGCAGCAGCUGCAGCAACAAUUAAGAGGGAAAACCCUUUAGCAAUCACUGCAAUAAUUUUAGGGGAAGGACCAGCAGUAACUGAUGAUCUUCGUUGUAGUAGAGUUUGGGUUCGGGUUGACACCAACAGGAUUGUCAAAAGAAUUCCUUCUAUUAGUUAGAGUGCUGAAGAACCCAAAAACCUGAUUGAUACUCAUGCACGUAUCACAAAUGGACCAUGUACAAAAUAAUGCACCAGACAAAUUUAUUAAGUUUGUCUUUGCUGUCAUAUGUAUAUUUAUGUGACUAUGAACUUGCAAUUAAUGAAAGUGGCUUUACUAAUUAUCCUGUUCUUUUGGUUGAGAAAGCAUCAAAGCAUCUUGAAGCACUUUAGAAAACGAAAAUAAACCUUUAAUUGUUCUAAAGGAAAAAAGAUUUAAUACUAAUGUGGUAAGGCGUGUAUUAAACAAGAAUUAACUUAGGUAUUCGUAUCAUCUUUCAAAAAAAAAAAAGUAUUCGUAUCAGCUAACAAAGGAUGUUGUAUCAACUUCACAAGUCCAAAGAAUUUUGGAUUUGGACCCAAAUACAGGUUUUUUGAUCGAUGGAGUGAAUCCUGUGAGAACUUCUUGGAGUGAGCCAAACCCAUAUGACAUUUCUAGACUCAGAAUGAACUGGUCUGAAAAAAGUAGUCCUAUACCUAACAUGCAUAAAGCUUUAAAAUAAUAAUAAUAAAACGAGGAAAAGAGAUUUUUGAGAAAAUUAAAAAAGAAGAGUAAGUGACUUUAUAAAAUGAUCUUCGAGAAAUGAAUCAUAUUCUGACUGACAGGCGAUAAGGAUGAGAAAAUUAUUUGUAGAUUGAAAAGUAAACAUUCCGUGCACCAACAGUCAUUUCAGACGUAGCCACCAUGGAAUGGAUGAUUAAGCAUUCUUGUAUGCUGGACCUGAAAUUUCAUGCAUAUUCAAAGUGGCUGUAUCAGCUUAGUCAAAAUCGUACCAAACCUGCAUUUCUUUCUUUUAUGCAAGUGGAAGCUUAAAUCUUAUAAAAUUGCACGUAUCUUUGUUGCAGCACUACCAUAAAUACGCAUAGUUCACCAUUGAAUAAUCACAAACUGAGAUCACUGGCAAAUACAAGAAGAAAGUAGAGAAAAAUGGCAACAAUAUGCAAAGGUAAUUGCAAAUGUUAUAUUGCUUUGAUUUGCAUUUGAGAUUGCAGGACUUUUUACUUGUGUUAGUUCCUAUGUACUGAAGUCGAUAGGAUUCUAUUUUUGUAUCAAGAAAAAUUUUGCAUGGCAAAAUCAAAUUAUAGUGGUAUUUUUGGUCUUGUUAUAGGUAAGGAUUCAUGGCCUGAGCUCCUGGGAACGGAUGGUGCAGUAGCUGCAGCAACAAUUGAGAGGGAAAACCCUUUAGUCACUGCUAUAAUAGUUCUGGAAGGAACGGGAGUACCUGAAGAUUUUCGUUGUACUAGAGUUUGGGUUUGGAUUGACACCAACAACAUUGUCACAAGUGUUCCUACUAUUGGUUAGAGAGUGCCCAAGAAUCCAACCAGCUGCAGAUCCAUUGACACUAAGUAUCACACAUGCUAGCAACUAGCUAGUAGUAUACUAUUUACGCCAUGAACAAAAAUAAUUGCCUCGGAUAAAUAAAAUUGGAUUUCUCUUCGUUGUCAAAUUUAUCCAAUGUAACUUCUGGUUUCCAAUAAAAGCGGCUCGGUCUAAUUUCCUGUGUAUUAAUUUGUUUUCAUCUUAUUUUGUGUUCUUUUGGUCGAGAAAGCAUAAAAGCACCUUGAAGUAUAUUAACAAAUGAGAACAUAAACCUAUAAAUGCAUGACUGGACACUAAUAUUUUUCUCUGAUUUUCGAGUUUUAAUGGAGAAACGUUUAAAUACUAAUGUGUUAAGGCGUGUAUUACACAAGAAUUAAGUUAAGUACCCCUUGAACUGGGGUAAUCACUCUUUGCCCACUGAGCGGAAAGAACUCGUAAAGCCUUGCCAAGGAAAGAAAAGAAGCAUAGACAACCUUGAGACUCAUCAGGGGUAGAAAUGCAUGCGAUCCAAAGCCUGGCAAAACUUAAUUACAUUUGUUGCAUAUAUAUCCCAACCAAAAAAGUUUUCGUGCCAUUGAAAAAUAAAUAUUUCUUUAGUCCCAAUUGUAUAAUAUGCUAUGUGAUGAUGACCAAAAAAUACUUCUUUAUUAUUACUAUUAUUAUUAUAAGAAGGGGGGGGGGGGGUUGGGGGGUGGGGUGGGUUUUUUAAAGAAACCAGAGAAAUCUAGAGAACCCAUCAUUUGCAUUUCGUAUUUCUGCAAACUUGGCAGGACCAGAAAAGGUACCAUCAAGGAGUUCAGUGGAAGAAAAAGGUACCAUCAUUUUAGUUGAGAUCACGAAAGGAAUAAAUCAGUGAUGUUAUGGCAGAAUCCAGUUUCAUAAACGCAACAAAGCUGUGGGAUCGAUUUUGAGGUUGUCUAAAAAGUGUGAUGUAUGAAUUACUUGAUGCACGAACAACCUGAAACAACAAGCUUCGGAUGAUUGAGCAUUGGUCUCUUAGCCAGCCAACAGUAGUGGCCUCAAGUAUUACACAAGCAUCAGCUUACGAUCCAUCUGUUGCAAAUGUCCUCCCGAAUUUUGAUGUUCCAAAACCAUAUCUAAUGAAAGUUAGUAUUGAUCAGCUUAUUGUAAAAAAAUAACGGAAUUUAGCAUUUAAAAUGCUAGACUAUUAUUUUCGUUUUAGAUUGUCAACUGUAUAAAAUAGGAUUAACAGACUAAAUAUUCUUCUUCUUUUUUUUUAUGUGUGGUUGAAGGUAAGGCUUCAUGGCCUGAACUGCUGGGAUUGGAUAUUUAUAGACACCAUCUAAGACAUGACUAAGUAAAGAAGUAGUUGUGUUAGUAUUAAUUGCGUAUAUGCUGCAUGACAAGCUAAUGUGUGCUAUGCGAUCAGGCAUGUUGCCGUCAAAAUAAGACAAUAUAUUUCUGUCAAGUCGGUUGUAUUAAUUUUAGGCGAAAUCUUAUAUAUAUUGAUAGUAUAUACAUUAUCAUCAUUAUAUUCAUUAUCAUCAUUAUAUUCAUGACAUAUGUGUAAAAGUUAAAAUUCAAAUUCGAAUUUUUCAUAAUUGUCAUUCAUCUAACGCUGAUAGUGCAUAUACUAUCAGUGUAAGAAAGAUUAAUCACUAAUUUUAACUUUUGAUUCGACUAUGGAAAAAACACAAAAGUGAUGCUGUAAAUAGUGUGGCUUAAUUGGGAUUCGAUAGUAAUAUUUACAAGUGAAUUAUGGAAGGAGAAAUUUUAGUGCGUAAACUUUGAAAAAAUUCACUGAAUUAAUUGACAUGGCCAUAGUCAAAGGAGCCAGCAUCUCAAACUUUUGGAAUUGAUAUAAAUAGUAAAAUCAAAAAUCAACUUGCCCGAGAUGUAGGCAAACAAGUUCUAGAGCUAUUAUGGUCCACAAUGGAAUGCAUACAACACGUCUACAGCGAGUGAUCACAAGAAAGUAUCUUCAAGUUCAAGAGAGUACAAGAAGAAAAGCAUAGAGAAAAAUGGCUGAAUGCCAAGGUAAUUUGAACCAUUUAUUAGCAGCUAACCACGUUUCAAUUUUUUUCUAGUCUAGUUUAAACCCUAUUAGAGAUUAAACUAUGGUUUUUUAAUGGCAACAUUAAUGCUUUUUCUUGUUGGUUUAAUCUAUAAUUUCUUAGGUAAGCGUUCAUGGCCUGAACUCCUAGGAUUGGAAGGUGAAGUAGCUCAAGCAAUAAUCAAGAGGGAAAAUCCUUCCCUAGAUGUUGUGAUUGUUCUUGAAAAUUCAUCUGUCACAAAAGAAAUCCGCUUUGAUAGGGUUCGGGUUUGGAUUAACAAGGCCGGGUAAUGUAAUAUUAACUCCUUCAAUUGGUUAGAAUACAAUAGAAUUACCAUCUCGGCAACUCUUUUACUGCAAUAUUACCUUAUUCUCCAUGUACUCGUUUGUGUGUCAUGCUCAUGAUCUCACUUUACAUUUUGAAUUAUUGUGCAUGAAACAUCAAAAACUGAUAAUUGGAUUAUUGUCUUCUCUAUCAAUCAUGUUCACCAUUUUCCUAUUUUAUUGCUUGCAUUGCACUUUCAAUUUACAAAUUUGGUGCACUCUGUUUCAAUCAUUUUUUACCCUGAAUUCAACAUCUAAUGGAGGUCAACUGGUUGAAAAUUUGGGCCAUCUUGUUCCAAGAUCUAGUUAUAUGGGCUUAGACAAAAGUUGGAGCUUCAUAUUGGUGGAUUGGGACCCGGAUUGAGGUUGUCCAUGGACUGAAUCUGGUGCAAGCUGAAUACCACUGGACUCGAAGAAACCCAUUUAAUUUCUCUAGGCCCACAUUCAACCAGUCUGAAAAAGAAGACCCCAACCAACAGCCUUUGGGCUGUUGGCUACCACCGAGUCUUUAAGGUUUGGUGAAGUGGAAGAAUGUCAACUGUUCAACCCUUAUCUCCCAUCAAUUGUUAUAAUAUACGGUUUUUCUGAAAAAAAAUCUAUACAGGUGCGUAGUACACCCGUCUAGUCCGAUGUUGAUUUAGUCCCCACAAGUUCUUCUUAGACUCAGUUGGACCUCCCUCUUAGAUUAGGAUAUAGUAGGAUAGUAUGAAAAAAAAAAAAAAAAAAGAAGACCCCUAAUCUAAUCUCUUGACAAUUUCUUUAAAAAAAGAAGAAGAAUGUUCUGGAUGCAGUAUGGUAAUAAGGACUGCACGUUGAGAAAUUAUUCAAAAGUUAAACUGUACAAUCUGGACUGUACAUUUUUUCUUUGUUCCCAUUUCAUUUUUGCCAAAUCAUGACCUUUAGCAUUUAGGAUGGAUGUUUCUAACAGUCAGCAUUUCCAAUACUAUCAGGACAAAUCUAUUAUUCCGGCUGAGUGCGUGACUAGACGUAGUCCGGAUCCUCAAAGCCAGAAUAAGUUAUAGGAUAAUCUGACUGCAAUCCAAUUUGUCAUGCCCAUAGGAAGAUGCAAACACAAAUUUUCAACCAAAAAACUCUUGCGUGUUAUAAGUUAUUUUAGUGGUUACAAUUGGACAAGGACUCAGUACAAUUGUGUUUGGUGCAAUUCCAUCCCGUCGUUGUAUAUGUUUAAAUUUUUGGUGUACAAAUACAUCAUAAUAUUGUAAUGAAUAAAUAUAUCAAAUAUUUUAUCAUGUAUAUCACUUUUAUCCCGACUAUAAUAAUAUAAUGUAAUUGUAGAUCAAAUAAUAUAAAAAGUAUAACAAUGGGAUCGAAUCGUACCGGACUCCAACAGCAUUGGCUCCUCUCCUAUGACAAUUUACAAAUGCAAUUUGAUUCUCAAACGAUUUUUUUUUUCAGUCAAUUGUCACGUAUCUAUGACUACUCAUGAUCUAUGAGGAUGGGAACAAAUCCAACUAGAUCAUCGAAAAUCCAAAAGAGAAUAAACCACCCUUCAUCUCCAACCACAAAACCACUUUAACUAAUAAGACUUGCACCCUUCAUCUCCCACCACAAAACCACUUUAACUCCCUUGUGGUGGCAAAGUUCACCUACCUUAGUGGUGACCAAGUUCACCUAGGUGACUUGGUUGUUUUUCGACGAUCGAUUAAGCAGAGAUAUGAUCUUUGAAAAGUUUUGCGCUGGUGCAGACUGCUAAGGAUGAGAAAUAAUAGAGCACUACCUUCUUUUUUCUUUUCUUUUCUUUUUUUAAGAUAAUAGAGUACUACCUUAUCUUAUUUGGUAGCUUGAAAAGUACACAUUACCAAGUUACGUGCACGGAAAAUAUUAUGAAACAGCCCUUUGCUGAUCUUUACCAUGCACCUUUCCACAAACGUUUCAGCCUAUGCUGAUCUUUACCAUGCACAUUUCCGAGAUAGCAAGCAUCAGCCUUUUUUUUCAAAGUAACAGGCUAGAUAAAUCAAGCAAACUCAAACUGUCCGUACGAGCAAAAGUCAAAAUGGAGCUAAUUUUCAAGAAAUCUUUUGUUAAUAGCAAAACCUCAUACUUCAAAACUAAUUUGUUAAUAGUCAAAUGAAAACUAAAUAGUAGGCUGUAGUUGAAAUUUCCAGAAUGUCGACUAUCUAUAAAUAGAAAGCAAUUCACCACCGAACCAUUACAAGCAAAGAUCAAUCUACAGCGAGCACAAACAACAACAAAAAAAAAAGAGAGAGAGAAAAAUGGCAACAGAAUGCAAAGGUAAUUCUGUAAACUUUUAAUUUUUAGCAAAGAAAGGAUUAGUAUUAUUUAUAAUCAUGCAUGUUUCGCUAUUAUGGCGAUUUAAUUUGUUACGAUUAAGUAUGGUAUAAUAAUUCGUUAAUGCAUGGUCUAACCUAUCUAUGCAUUCUUUCCUUCCCUUUUUUUUUUGGUUUUGCAGGUAAGAGUUCAUGGCCUGAACUCCUUGGAGUGGAUGGUGAUUAUGCAAAAGCAGUAAUUGAGAAAGAAAACCCUCUGGUUACUGUUAGGAUUGUCCCUGAAGGAUCAUCUGUGAUCCAAGAUUUUCGAUGUGACAGGGUUUGGGUUUGGGUUAACAAGAACAACAUUGUCACUGAAGUACCUCAUAUUGGUUAAAGUGCAAGAAGCUGCUGAUGUUCUCAUGUCAUAUGUACUACUAUUAUUGUCAAUCAAUAAGUGAUUGUUUAAGGUUGUAAUUUUUACGUAUUCCACUGUAUGGGCACUUGUAGACGUUGUAUUUGUAUUUCAUAUGGUUGUGAUGAAUAAAUAAAAAAAAAAGUGAGAUUUUCGUUGGUAAAUUAUGUUCACGACAUGCAACUCUCUCUUUCUCCCUCUCUUUGUGUCGAAUUGACUUAAAUUGCAACAGAGGAUGAACAAGAAUUGCUAUAUUUCCUUAUUCUUUUACUUUUUGAGAAGGGAUGAUUUCAAAAAACUCCCUUGAGAUUUCUGACAAUUUCACUCAACUCCCCCCAAUUUUAGAAAAUUACACUGACCUCCCUUGCUUUUACUGUUUAAGUAACAGUAUAGACCCAUCAAACUAGAAUUAUACCUAAGUAUCCUACCUUUAUGCUAUAUCAUACAUCAAAAGAAAGUGCAAAAAAAGUAACAAACGCUUUCAUCCAAACUUACUAUGCUUCCAUGAUAAUUAUAAAUCCAAAACCUCGUCAAUCUGUUCAAACAAACUCCAACUUAAUCCCCAAAUUCUAUCAAUUUUGGCAUCACUAAAAUCCCAAAUUUUACCAAAAUUGCACUUCAACUUAAUCCCCAAAUUCUAUCAAUUUCGGCAUCAUCAAAAUUCCAAACUCUACCUGAAUCACUUCCUCUACAAAUCCACCAUAGCCACCACCAACUAAAAUACCCUCAAAAAGCUUCCUGCCCCAAAUUAACACUAUUGUUUGUCUAUUGAAUAAUCUCACACCUCAAAGUAUGAACCAACACCUAUCGCCUAUCACCUGCUUUGAACAGAAAAUGACGUGACCAACCACUAUUGAUGCCUAUGCCAAGAGCAACCCCAUACUCCAAUGGCGUUAGGAAUAGAGAAACUAACUUUUGUGACAAACCACUACCAAUACUUGUAAAUCAAACGAAAAUGAAACCAAAUGAAGAUAUUAUAUUCUAGUGCGUAACAUACAUAAUAGCAUAACCUGAAUUCGUCUCUUUUUCUCGUCCAACCAUAGCCCAUUAAUUUCAUUUUUCCCCUCUAUCACAAUGAUCUUCAUCAUCUCUAUCUAAUUUGAUCAUGAAAUUUUCAUUUGCUCCCUCAAUUUGUAAAUUUGAAAAUUUUGAUUCUUUAAUGUAUGCAAAUUAUAAUACAAGAAGAAAUAAACAAGAGGAGCUGAUAGUUAAGUACCGUGGAAAGAGAGAAAUAGAUAAGAAAUAAAGACUUCGGGUAGGUUUACAUGGUGGUGUAGUUGAUGGGUGGAAAAGACUAUGGGGUUAGAGGCAGGAAGGAGAGAAUCAUGAGAGAUAGAAAAAAAAAGGGAGGGAAAGAGAGAAAAAACUGCUGUUAAUUAAAGUAGAGUUAGAGAUGAUGACGAGUUGCUGUAGGUUUUUAUUUUUUCUUUUACUUUUGGUUUGGCUUUUGUGUCCCACAUAUGUGGUAAAUUAUCUAUUAAAAGAAGGACAUUAUAGUCAUUUUAUUGAACCGAGAGAGGUUAGUGUAAUUUUUUAAAUUUGGGGGGAGCCGAGUGAAAUUGUCAGAAAUCUCAAGGGAGGUUUCUGAAAUCAUCCCUUUUUUAGAAACACCAAAUUCCCCAGGAGCUUAUUAAUGUAACUAAAUGUUCUGCUUACCGCUUCGAUGGCCGCAUUUGGCCCAAGACAAAAGUUCCAUCAAUAAGUAAUGGAGGUAAAUGAAUAACGUGAUAUCUGACUAUACUAAAAUGUUGUGAGAGCCAAUAAAACGGUACAUAUUUGGUUUGAUGCCUAAGGUCAAUAAGACGUUGGCCAUUUCUCCAACUAAGUGGGAAAUAAUUCCCUUUAAUGUUUAGACUCAGAUUAGCUUUAUUUUCAGCGCUUCUUAUAAAGUAGAAAUACAUGUGAUCCAGCCUACAAAACCUAUAUUUGCUGCAAACAUUAAACCAAGAAGUUUUAUGCCCUCGAGAGGGAAAAAAACUUUUAAAUCCCACAGUUAUAUACUAUGUUUAUCUGAUGAUGAACAAAAGUAACUUCUUUAUUUUAUCAUUAAAAAAGUGAAGAAUGUGGAAUGAAGUUAUCAGGAGCAAAUCCUUGCAUUGAAUCUACUUGAUCAGAAGGUGCAUUAUAAAGUUGUAGUAAUGGGAGAGAGGCAAAACUGCCGAGAAACUUCGGUCCUCCGGACUGAUCCAUUUUGAGUUUUCAAUUACUUAAUUUUUCGUUCAAGUAGAGUAACAUAAAGUUAAUAGAUAGACUUUCUGAGGGCAAAAUUUUAAGAAACCAAAGAAUUCUAGAGAACCCAUCCAUUGAAUUUUGUAUUUUGCAAACUUGACAGGACCAGAAAAGGAACCAUCAAGUAGUUCAGCGGAAGAAAGAUUAAGUGAUAGAAGUGUCAUUUUAGUUGUGAUCACGAAAGAAGUAAAUCAGUAUUUUAUGGCAGCAUCCCAUUACAUAAACGCAACAAAGCUGUAGGAUUUUGAGGUUGAGGAUGUUUGAAACGUGUAAUGUAUAAAUUACAAUGAGCAUGAGCUAUACCUGAGAUAACAAGGUUUGGAUGAUUGAGCAUUGCGACAAUAGUUUGGCCUACAAGUUUUGCACAAGCAGCUGGCUUGUCAUUUAUUAGCUUAAGGUCGAUUUGGUUGAAAUUGUUGCACAUUUCCUUUCCAAAACUUGAUUCUCCACUUAGGAGGAUUGAUCUUCUUCUUGUCAAAACAAUGGAGUCUAGCAUUUUAAAUGCUAGACUAUGAUUUUUGUUUUAGUUUGUCCAACAAGUGAAAUGGAAUUAACAAUCAUAAGUCCACUUUACCAAAUGUGUGUAACAGCACAUCAAUGCUUUAGGGGGCAAAAAAGUGUUAGAAAAAUUGUUGCUUUAAUCAGUUUUGGAGAGUCAAGGUUAUACAGGGAAGACAAUAGAUUUUAACAACACAAAUAUGGCAAAAAAAAUAUUAUUCCCCCCCCCCCUCAACAACCGCAAAUAACACACACACCCAGCCCAUAAGCGAAACCCAUAGUCCAACCCAAAAAGCAUGCUGACUUUCAGGCCACACUGAAGAACUUAUGAGCUACGCACACACACCACACACAAUCGAUGUGGGAUAGAGGGAACGGAGGAGGGGAAACACCAAAACUAUUGUUAAAGGCUCACCAAUGGCUUUUACCACUCCUUAAUUUUCCAUAUCCACCUCAACAACCGCAAAUAACACACACACCCAUCCCAUAAGCGAAACCCACAGCCCAACCCAAAAGGCAUGCUGACUUUCAGGCCACACUGAGGAACUUAUGAGCAAUAUAUUGCAAAAAAAAUAUUAUUGCAAUAUACAGUUUUUUAUCCUCUUUUCGUUCUUUGUGCUUAAUCUGUGCAUUCUUUUAUUCCUUUUCUGUUUUUGUAUGUAAGAAUUCAUGGCCUGAGCUUCUUGGAGUGGAUGGUGAUUAUGCAAAAGCAGUACUGAUUGAGAAGCAAAAUCCUCUUGUCACUGCUGUGAUUGUUCCGUUCCACAAGGUUCAUCUGUAUGUAAUCUUAAAUUUUCAGUGACGGGGUUCAAUCACUGCUGUGAUUGAUGAUAUUUGACUAUAUAUCUUAACUUUUGCCUUAGGUGAGAGCCACUAAAAUUAAAAUUCAUUUUUCCUUAAAUUAACUAGCUAUUUGGCCUGCUGUCUAAGGUCCAAAAGACUUUGGCCAUUUCUCUGAGUGGAAAUACAUCCCUUUCAUGGUUAGACACUUAGACUCAGAUUAGCUUUAUUUUCAACGCUUCUUAUUGCCAUUUCAUGCAUGAGCCAGUCUAUAUAUAAAUUGGUUCUCGGUUUUGUACUCAAUUUUACAUGCCUUUAGGAUAAUCUUUUAUGUGGUAUAUCUAAGGGUGGUCGGAUUCUGCCUUGUUAUUAAAUCAAGGUAUAUACUGAGACAAUUAGAGGCUAACUUCUUGGCUCAAUUAGAGGCUAUAGGCCCAGAUUCGACUGCCAUUCUUUAUUGCCUAAAUUUGAAGGACAAAGUAUAAAAUAGUGUAGGCUGUACUCACCAAAAAUGGUAGAAGGUGUAGUAUAAUAUGGCCAUGACGUUCUUACCCCCCAAAAAAAAAAUCAUGUAUUAAAUAUUGCUUUCGGUUUCAGAGUUGUUAACGCAAGAAAUUGUUAUUGCAGAAUUUAGAUAUUUUAAUAUAUUAUGUAUAAUAUUGUCCAUCUUAUGCCAUUUAUUCGAACGUGUAAAAUACAAUUACGACUAAACGAAUUAAGUGAUAAAAAUAAAGAGAAUAAUGCUCCACUUCAUCUGAGAAAGACAGGAAAAAUAAGGAUUAGCUGUCAAGUUAAUCCUAACACUCAUAAUCCUAACGUCCAUACUAUUCUCUUUGGAAUACGGUGUCGAUGUUGAGCCGUCAAUUCAAAAUUCGCAGACAUUUGUCCCCUAAAUUAAAUGCCAACCUCAAGAACAAGCUUUUUAGUUAACGGUACCAAGAGUCAAGGUCAAGGGUGGCUUACAGGGUGGAAAUCUUGGGCCGGCAUGAAUACUUUUCGAGGUCUGAAGCCCAAAAAAAUAAUUGGACUAAUUGACUCCGGCAGAUUUGAAUUUUGAACCUCAACUGAUAGAAUUUUUCCAACUCGACUCGAGUGAACGAAACUAAAGAUGCGUUUGAUAAAAUUGAUGUUUAAAAAUUGAAAUCUGAAAUAUAAAAAAUUAGUGAAUUAUUAAGUAUUAAAUUGAUACAUUUGAGUGUAUAUCACAUUAAGUUUUGGUUAUCAAACGCAUCGUGUCUGAAUAUGUUAAAAUCUGAAUUUAUUAAAUUUAAAUGUUAAAUUGAAUUAUUAAACGGAGCCUAAGACGACAACCCGAUUCAUUUCUCGUUUUUCAUUUUUAACUAUAGUAAUAAUGACGAAACAAAUAUAGCUCUUAUUCAUUUUCUUUAUACAUAAGUGGGUCCAGGUGUCGAUGGAUCCAAAGUUAGCUAUAACUAAAAGGCAAGAGAGAAAAUUAAACCAUCAAAAUCAUAGUCGUUUCUGUCCAGACGAAACUAUAUGAUAAAAAAAAAAAUGAAGAUUAACAAUACAUAUACAUAUAUAUAUUGCAAACAUUACCCAGGUAUUCAGCCGGUCACCAUAUGAGUUAAAUUGAUAUUUCAUUGUCUUCAUAAAUAUUGUUAUAGUAAAAAAAUGCACCUAUAAUUAUGAUAAAGAUAAGAAUUAAUCAUGCAUAUCCUAGUACUAUACACACUAACAUCUUUAACGCAAGGUAUGUAUAUAAAAAAUAAAAUAAAAUUCAGAUUCAAUUUAAGAUUAAGUGGCAUAUAUUUGAGAGUGCUAAUGUAUACAACAUUAAUUCUAAAGAUAACACUGUGUGAUUGCGAAACAAAAACCUAUUUAAGUACUAUUAUACCUUUAUUUUUAUUAAAAAUAAAAAAAGCACUACUAAACUUAACAACAAUCUUGGUUGCUAAAUUGACCCACUCUCUUAAUGUUCAAAAAACUUCUUAUCACAUAUAAAUGUACACAAAGUAUCAUGAAAUCUAAUGCAAUCAGAAACUGGAAAUUGAAAGAAAGAUUACAACGAAUCAGCAUUUCCAGCUACUCUUUGACCCUUCCACCAUUUGUCUGCUCUCUUGUUAUUUUUUUUCCCUCUUUUUCGGCAAGCAAUCUCUUGUUUUUUCCGGAGGACCAUGUCAAUCAAAGUUUCCAUAUAUACAUUUUCUCUGGCCAUCCGACAAACAUCUUCGACGUGUAAAAUUGCUUUUAUCUUGUCUGCAAUUGAUGCUUUCAUGGCCUAAAACUGACAAUCAAAUCCGUCCAAUGGGCUUCGCUCAGCAUCAUUUCACCAAGUAAUUAAAAUAGGUACGACGUACGAGAUAUGCAUUAUUGCCUUGAUGCCUUCCUCUGUCUUAACGUUACAAACUUACUAUCGAAUGCUACAAAAUUUGCUGGCCAUCCAAUUCUAAUUGUACUAAUUAGGAUACAAUUUCUUCUUUUUUUUUUUCUUUUGGAUGCUCGAAUUCAUCUUUUUCCGGCUAUAAAUAGAAUACCCAAGCCCUUGUUGAAGCCACAAGCACUCGUGAAACAUCAAAAGGAAGGUCAAGAAGAAACUAGCACUCAAAGAAGCAUCAACAAUGUCUGAGUGCCCUGCAGGUAAGCUUUCGUCAGUCUUGACAACAAGAAUAGAGUAAUAAGACUGUUUAUAGUCAUGAAUUCUUGAAUUAAGAACCCCUCAUUCUUUUAUCCUACUCAUUUUUAUAUAGUGGCAAAAAUAACUCAUAUCACAUAUAGAUGAAGUCUACUCGAUGCCUUAAGGCACAAGAUGUGAAAUGUGGAUUACAUGCAUGUCACUUUUUUCAUAAAUGUAUUAACUUUUUCCAAAAAGAAAAAAAAAAAUCAUACACAACCCAAGGGAGGAACGGGUAUUUUAGAGUUUUUUUUUAAGUCAAAAAUCUUUUUUUUUGUAUUAUAUUUCGUGCCAUGGCGUACGAUUUAAAGAAAAAAGAAAGAAAUCCAUAUAGUUAAUGGUAUGGAAAUUAUAUUACAUUUGGAACCGUACCUAUCCUUGUGCUAAAUUAGAAAAUAAUUCUAGUACUACUUUCUUAUCCUCUGUGAAGGCAAAAACUCUUGGCCUGAGCUAGUAGGGGAAGAUGGAGACAUAGCCGCGGCGAAGAUUGAGCAAGAAAACCAGAGAGUGAAAAAGGCCAUCGUUGUGGAUGAAAGUGCAAUUGUCACCACCGAUUUUCGUUGUGCCAGAGUUUGGGUCUUCGUAAAUAAAGAAGGCAAAGUUUCUGUGGUUCCCAAAAUUGGUUAAUUAACCAAAAGUGGCACAAAGUUUCCAUAUUUGGGCCUUGGCUUUUUUACCUUACAAUAUUUCAAUUUCUGAAUUUUCGAAGUGCGAAGUCAUGCAUGGCUUCAUUCACGCAUGCGUCCUCGUUUGAUGUUUUCUUUCAUGUUAUUCACGUACUUGUGAUAUGUGUGGUUAUUAUAUAUAUGGAAGUCAAUUUAGUUAUGGUGCAAUUGAUCUUUAUGAAUAAAAAUUAAAUUAAUUUCGCUUAAUGCGUAGUUAAGAUGUAAAGUCAUCAAAGUGUGAUUGAUGGUUUAGUAGCAAUAUUUGAAUAAACUAGUACUUCGAAUUUGUUGGGGCUAGAUCAAGAAAAUUAAUGAUUUGUCUGUCUAAGUCUAACUUGAUGGGCGCAUUUGCAUGUCUAAGGGGCAAAAGAGAAUGAAAGUACCCAUUGUAAUUUGUAGUUGGACGGACCCCUCAUCUUGUGGGAGUAACCAUUCAUGUUGAUCGAGCAAAUUUGGUAUAUAUAUAUAUAUAUAUAUAUAUGGUCAAUAAAUUUGAGUUUGAAAGGCCAGUUAUAACAAAGAGAUCGAAGAAUACAAUUUAGCAUUUUCCCUAAUUAAUUUGUAUUGUGACAAUCAUAUAUUCAUUCUCAAGUUUUCUUCAUCCGCCAGCUUAAACUCAAACUAUCUAUCACUCAUUGGAUUGAAAAAUCUGCGUCUUCAUGUAGAAAUUAACAUGUUCCUAUUCAAACUCGUGAUCUUGGCCAAGUCAACAGCAAAAAAAUCAAUUCUGGGCUAAAGUCAAAGAAACACAUAGCCUCCUUCCUCCCUCCUAGAAUAAAACACAUAAUUAAACUUACACUUAGUUACUAUAAAUAUAAAUUCAUAUUUCAUAAUCCAACAUCCCCCAUUCUCAAAUCCUGUUUCUCCCCAGAACCCAUAUUCUCAAUUUCCUUUGUCCUCAUAUCCCUCAUUAAAGCCCUCAUUCAGGCAUCACAAGAACAUGUCUCUCUCAAGGAAAUUAAUCCUCAGAUUAAUGUUGAUUUUGUGCAUAAUCUCCUUCACCUCGACAAGUGUAAACCCAGCAGAAGCAAUUAGGCCCUUCAAUAUUGUGGUUCAACAGCUAAGCAAAGGAGAAGGUACAACAACAUUAGCAAUCGAAGCUCUUCCUAAAGGUCCCGUGCCACCUUCUGGUCCAUCUCCUUGCACUUACAUUCCUACUCCGGGCAAUUCAGGCAUAUGCCGCCGUUUGCAAGGCAGUAUGAACUUCGCUGGCCGUGGUACCGGUAUGGCCGGUCGGACGGUGGCUGUCUGAAACAGCCCCUUUGGUGGCAAUGAGUAUGUUUGGAUAGUCAAUAUUUGGUUCUAAAUUAUUUGUUUGUACUACAAACACAGUUUUCAAUACAUUUUUUUUUAUCUUUUCAAUCACCUUUUUUAUCUCAUAUACAUCACAUCACAAAAAGUGCUACAGUAAUUAUUCCAAAUAAUAUUUCAAAUAAUAUCCUAUCCAGAUGAAUUUUGUAGUAGCCAAUACAUUAACCUAUAAAAAAAAAAAAAACCAUAUCCAAGGACAAAUAUGACAUGGGAGUUUAACAAUUAAUAGCAAGGGAAUCAGCACAUUCUUUUUUUAUGCACUUGUAGAAGUAUUUCUUACAAGAGUUCUUCUUCCCCCUUUUUUUUCAUAUCCAAUGAAGCAUGGUAUGAUAUGAAUUGCAAUACAGUGGCCAAGUACAAGGAAUUAUGAUUCCUUGAUUUUUUUUUGUUAAAUUAUUCCUUAAUCUGAGAAACUUGCAACAGAGAAAACACCCCACAAUUUUUAAUCCGUAAGUCAUGUGUGCACUAGUCUAACCUAUUCCUUUUUAAGUUAUAGAUUAUUACCUAUACCAAAAUUUUUGAUCUUGCGAACGUUAUUAUAAUAAUAAUUAUUAUUUUGUUAUAAUAGAGUAGUUAGAGACUGAUCUUCGCUUGAAAGGUUAUGAAACCUAGGUGUUAAAAAACAAUUUCUGCGGCGUUUUUCUUUCUUUGUGUGUGUGUGUGUGUGUUUUUUUUUAAAUUUUUUGGUCAAUAUCAAAUCAAGUUUCGUGCUCAAAGGCAAUCUUGAAUUUCAACUCAAGAAUAAAUUAAAUAGAAAGGUAAUCUGGUCAGGGCAGCUCUCAAAAUUUUUUCAUGCAUAUAUUAUUGGAUGAAGCAGUCGAACAUGGACUUUUGGACUCAAGGGGUAUAUUCUCUCUUGAAUCUGAACUGUUGAAAUUUCAUCCAUUUUGGACUAUUCUCUUGCCUUGUACGCCAAACCAGAUGUUACUUAUUUUUAAUUAAAUCUACCAAGUCGGUGGCUUAGAACUGGUAUUUACUCCAACGUAGCUCCUAAUACCAACUGAAGAGAUAGGGGAAGUACAAUUUUCCGAGAAUAAUUGCCAACUGAAGAGAUGGAUAUAUGUGCAUAAUCUCUAUUGAUAUCUAGAAUCCAUUAUAUACAACCUUUCAUUUUUAUCUAUCUAUCAGUGCCGUCCAAUAUCUUGUGAACAUUUUCCCCAUUGUGAGUCCAUAUAUACCUUUGAAGAGAGUAAGAAAAAAAAAACCAACAUGAAAAGGAAGCAAGUUUAUUAGGUUCAAUAUCCUUCACCAAAAAUUUCAAAUCACGCAAUUUUUUUUAUCUGUGAAACUUGAGAAAUAUACCAAGUGAUUUUUUUUUAUAUAUAAAUAGAAAGUUUUGAACCCGUGAUCUUUCACUUAUACUCCUUUCUUCCGUACCAUCCAACCAAUCUCUCACCCUUGUUAGGUAAAAUUUAAUUGACAUAUUGCAUACAACUUUUUUUUCCCACUAGAUCGAGGCUCGUUGAUAACAUCUAAGGAUUGCUAAUUACAUACCAAAAUUUGAUAUUACUGAGUUUUAAAAAAAAAUUGUGAAACUAUGAGGCGACCUUUUCAUUCGUGAUGCUUGACUUUGGUAUAAGUUAGGGUAUUAAUUAACUGUUUAAAGAGCUCUUUCAUGGAGUGAAGACUAUAAUCAAAAAUAGCCAAAGCAGUUUCCACGAUGUCUGGAAACCUCACAGUUUAAUUGGUUAAAACGCUCCGUAGAUUAGUCAGCAUAUCAUUCCUCAUUUACCAGAAUCGCAUUAAGCAUAAAAGAUAAAACAAGGAUGCCAGAUUUGACCAGUUGCUGCAAUAAUAUUCAUAGAAAGACUCCUUCAUAUUGGCAAGCAUUUCUGACCAGAAGUUAAAAAAAAAAAAAAAAAAAAUUUACUUGGUUGGUCUACCAACUAAACUCGGCAUUUUCUGCCUGUUUUAAACAUUCAGUCAUCCAAGAAUUUAUUAAUUGCACGCAUACGCUAUGUAAUUGUUUAAAAGUCAUCUGUGGCCUACUUAUUAGUCAUUCUCCACUAAAAGACUGCAUCUUUUAUUUGAGAUUAAUCAUCUCAUUCCAAUCCCAAAAGUUCCCAACUCAAGAAAUGAAAAUGAAACAACAUUUGACACUACCUCUUUCUGAAACAAGCUAGAUUCAUCGCAUCUCAUGAUUGCUUGGAAUUUUGCUUGGGAGAUAAAAAAAAAGAAAAAAGAAAAAGAAGAAGAUGGUUUUCCCAUGGAUGAACAAGCAUAUGUCCAAAAUGAUCAUCAUCACUAUGCUUGCUCCAUCUUCUUUAAUUUAUUCAUGGAGAUCAAGAACAAGUGCGCAGCUAGCUGAUGUGCACUAAAUAUAUGGUGCCGUGCCCAUUUGGGAUUUACUUUUUAGUCAGCAUGUAUUUUUCAGUUCUCAUGAAUGCAAAUGGUCAACUGGUGGCGCCAAUAUCUAGCAGUUGUGUCACCGGACAGCAGUAUACAAACAGUUUUCGCCCGAACAACCCAGAAAAUUUUUCAUCUUUUCUUGUAGCCUCCGAGAAGAACAAAUGGCGAAAUAGAAAAAAAUAAAAUAAAAUAGAAGAUCAAAAAGAUAGACAAAAACAUAUAUGAUUUAGUAUAUUAGGAUAAAGUGAAUCUAUGGUUACGAAGCUACUUCAAUAUCUCAUGUUCAAAUGAUGGACUUGAAGCAAGUCCCGGAGAAUACAGCUUGCUUUUAUGAAACAUUCGUUUGUCCGUGGAUUGUAAAACUAAGAAUUGCAAAGAUCAACCAGCAAAGAGAUAAUUGAAUAUAUAUGUAUAUAUAUAUUUUUUCAUUUCAAAAGAAUAACAAGCUGAUAUAUAUACAACAUGAGUCUACAAAUUAAGAGAUCAAAGAACGAAAGAAAAGAAAAGAAAAGAACAUCCUGUAAAAAUCAAUAGAAAAAGUAAUUAAAAAAAAAUACCAAAGGAGAAUGCGCCAUAUUCCCCUUAUGGAAAGAUAGCCUUUGCUCCUAAAAAUCACCUCAGACAUGGAAAAUUCAGUCUGAUAUGUAAAACCCAUCUCUCAAACAAGUCAACUUGAAGGAUGAACUUCAUUGCUGAUUAGAAGCAACACCAAAGCGAACGGCGGGCUCUGGAUGUGCUCUACCACGCGGCAAGGCGCUACCGGCGAAGUUCAUUUCUCUAAUCGGGCAGCCUGAUCCUCCACUUCCGGGGAUGUUGGUGCAACCGGAGGGAUCAGAGGGAGUCACUGGACCCUUUGGAAGUAACUGAAAUAGCAUAUGAGCUCUCUCCAUCAACUCCUUUUGUUGGACAUGCAAAACCCUACUUGAUUGGCCUAGCUGGAGAUGGACAAGAAGAACAAAUGUUACUACCAAGAAUACAAAGCUAAGACGUCCCAUUUUGAUGGUUUAAUGAAGAUAGUGUUUGUCUGUUGUUAUUGUUGGACCUUGAGGGAUUUAUAUACUAGGUGUUUGUUUAUUUAAAGAUCAUGGAAUUUGACUGGUGCUUAUAAAAUAUUUUUGUCAUUAGUAAACUUCUGAAUAUUGAAUGAGUCGAUUUUCUAAUUUGACCUUACAUAAUCUCUCCUUUGAUUAUGUGUGAAUUGCCAACUAAUGAGAG